UUCACAGUUUUUUGACACGCGAAGGCUUGUGAUUUCUCUGAGAAUUGUUGAAAUGUUACAUGUGUUUCAUUUGUUUGUGUACUAAUGUGUUUUGUGGUGAAAGAUGAUUUUACUCGUAUCUUUGUGCUAAAUACAGCAACCCAUUGAUCUGUUUACCCUAAAUUCCUUCAAUGCUGUUGCAACUUGCAACUAAUGUCGCUAAGUUCCUUCAUUGUUGAUGUCACAAUUUGUCUUGGUUUUGUUAGCUUGUGCUUUGUCGGCCUAGCUGGGUUGUCGAGUAUAAAUUUGGCUCGAUUUUGGUCUAAGAUGAUAAUCUUCUACAUGGUAUUACUGUCCUUUUGUUCUGCACUUCUGCUGCUGGGCUAAGAAUAGGAUUGGCUAUUCAAUCAAAAGAAUUGUUAUACUGGAAAUAAUUUGGGGGUGCAAGGUACUUCUGGCAUCGACCUCUGGACAUCUGACAAGAUGUAAACUACCUGAAUUACAUAUUCUUUCCAAAUAUAAUAUGCUAUCUUUUUAUAGCAGGCUGCCUACUGAUCUGCUGCCAGUUUUAGAUGUGAUGCGAUAUAUAUGCUGUAAAUAGUUCAUUGAAUUUCUGAUUUGUGCUUUAUAUAUGUCCAAACCCACAAAUAUCCAAUAUACUAUCUCUGUGUGCUUGAUAUAUACCACUCUCCGUUUUAGGUUAUAAGGUGUUUUAGUUAUAAUAUGUUUUGAUUUUGGUUAAAGUUAAACUGCUUUAACUUUGACUAAGUUUAACUUUGACUAAGUUUGUAGAAAAUAGUAGUAACAUUUUCAACCUAAAUUUAUUAUGAAAAUAUAUUCAAUUAUUGAUUUGAUGAAACUAAUUUAGUAUUGUAAAUAUUAUUAUAUUUUUCUAUAAAUUUAGUUAAAUUUGAAGCAGUGUGAUGUUGACUAAAGUUAAAACGUUUUAUAAUCUGAAACGGAGAGAGUAAAAAAUAAACUUAACUUGAAAACUAACUUCACGAGAAGAGUGAAAAAUAAGACUGAAUAGGUCGAGCGAUGAGAACAGGGAGCACAUCACUGAAAUUGAAGUUUAUGUCAGGUUCAUGGCUAAAUAAAAAAAGAAGAAGAAGCAGAAGACCAUCUCCAUGCAGGCACAAAAUAAAAUAUUUCAUAAACAACUAAAACAAGGAUUAGUUUCAGUCCUUAACACGCAUGGCCUACCAUCCCAAACCUUUGCAGGGUCAACCCUAUCUGCAAAGUGUAGAGGUUCUUUAGAUUGUAACUAAAAUAAACAUUAACAAAUUUUAGUGCUAAAAUUUUGAUAAUUUAGCAAUAUUAUUAAGUAUUUUUAGAUUUUUUAUGCAUUUACCAAAGUUCGAUUAAAUACUAAAUGGAUGCAUAUUUUCAGCAAUUUUACUGAACAAUGAUAUAGUUUGAAAUGAGAUCAAUUUAAACAACUCCGUAGUACCCUUCUACCUUUCAUAUUACAUGACCCGCGGAACUUCUAAAACUUAAUUCAACCUCAAAUAAGACUUGAUUCAACCUCAAAUAAGGUACACUCCUUAUAUUGACUUGCUGAUAUUUUAAAAAGAUUAGAAAUUAAGGACAAAUUUUAUAGAUACUUAUUAUUAUUUAUUUGGAACUGAAUAAUUUGCCUUCAAUCUGUAUAAUCAUUUGUAACGUCAACGUCCCGCUUAGACAGCUUUCAUAGGUCAUCCUUCAAUCAACGUCCCGCUUAUAUUUGAUAGUUUUCAUAGGUCAUAGGCUGCCCUUACAGGCCACCACAUGUCUUUUCUGCACACUUUGUCCUCAGAAAGAAUUUUCCAGUCGGUCACCCAUCUCGAAAUUGCUCCAAGCCAAGCACGCUUAACCCUGAAGUUCUUUGAAGAUCGGCUUGCAGAAAAAAAGUUGUAACUUGUUGAUAUAAGUAUUCUAGUAAUCCUAUAAGCCCUGGGCCGGGAUGUCACAAUCCUCGUCCCCUUAAAACACCGACGUCCUCGUUGGUCAACCCCAGGCCAGGAACGUCCCCUCUUGGCCACGUCUGUGUGUAGUGCCAGCGCAUGUGCCAUGCUGUGUGAUCACUCCCGGUCCACACCAGCCAUGCGCCCCAUGCCUGCACAACUGCGACACACGCGCCCGUGAAACCGCGAGAGUCGGACGUCCCGCUUCUCCCAGGCCGGACCCGCUUACAUCUGAUAGCUUUUAUAGGUCAUAGGUUGCCCUUACACAGGCCAACACAUCCCGCUUACAUCUGAUAGCUUUCAUAGGUCAUAGGCUGCCCUUACAGGCCAACACAUGUCUUUUCUGCACACUUUGUCCUCACUCGUGCACACCCUUACAUCUGAUAGCUUUCAUAGGUCAUAGGCUGCCCUUACAGGCCAACCCAUGUUUUUUCUGCACACUUUGUCCUCACUCGUGCGCACCUAGGAAAAAUUUCCCAGUCUGUCACCCAUCUCAAAAUUGCUUAAGGCCAAGCACGCUUAACCCUGAAGUUCUUUGGAGAUCGACUUCCGGAAAAAAAAAGUUGUAACUUUAUUGACAUGAGUGAUGUCACAUCAUUGCCGGAUAGAUUAGGGUUGUAGCUAUUGAGAACGGUCGUGUCCAGCUAAUCAUGGAGCAAUGUGUUGGAAAUGGACACAACAAGUGUCAAUCCAAUGUCACGCACGCGGGAGAGCGACCUAAACAGGCCCAACGCGUCGACUAAAAUCACGAGAGAUGACCAGAAAUCAGAGGACAAAAACACAAUAUUUUUUUAAAACAGAAUCAAUAUUUUUCAAAUAGAAUUAGAUUGAGAUACAGACAACCUACCACCAGUGAAAAUAUCUUACAUAAUUAUAAUAGUAGAAAUAUUCUGAGGUUGAGGAUGGCCUUUUUUUUCUUUCCAAUUUCAUUGGUCUACUGAUCAACCAAAAUGUUUUUCUUUUCUUCAUUGGUAAGAUCUUACAAUUUUGAGGUUGAUUUUUUUUUGUUUCGUCUUCAUCGGUCUGCUGAUCAACCAAAAUGUUACUGGGAUAUAUCACAUCCUCUUAAAUUCCUUAUAUUCUAGAACAGAGGGAAUACUUUGUAAAGCAAAUUUUUGACUCUCCGUUGCUGUGUUUUGGUUCAAUAGUUGCCGUAUGCCAUAGUUUAUUUUAUCAUACCCUAUCCUGCUAUCGAUGAUGCACAGUGAAGUUCAACUUCUAUGCUCAAAGUCCAAAGGAAGACCAGAAAAAUGAAAUGUCGAAAAUAGCUUGUCCUCUCUUCAAUAGCUUGUCUGGUGGUCGAUACGGAUAGGUUGUAUCCAUAUUGGCACCCAUAAAUAUGUGAUAGCACCUUUCAGGGAGUCAGGGAGGAACUCGAAACUUCUGGUACGUAAAAAAGUUCCUUCUAGUAUCGUAAAAAAGUUGAAGUAAACAAUCAUAAAAUAAUUAUGUACUCUUCCAAUAUCCCUACAGGCCGUUUAGCCGUUUAGUUGGAGGGAGCUUUCAGGAGAGAUUGAGAGAUUAGAGAGAUAAAGCUAUUCACUGUUUUGUUUAGCUGAGAGACAUGAAAAAUUUGGUGGAAUGAGAAUAAGAAAUUGAGAAAGGAACUCCAUCCUUUUUAAUAUGUAGGUAGGAGUGGUAAUUGGGAGAGAAUUUCUCCUUUACUUUGUCUAAGCAAAUUUCAACCAUUCAAUUUUAUUAAUAACCUAAUCUCCAAUUAAACUCCCUAUCAAUUUCCACCACCUCUAUCAUUAAAAAUUAAAUUCUCAUCUUAAUCUCACCAUCAAUCUCCUCUCUCCUCGUGUAAACUUCCAAUCCCCUUCCUUUGUGUUGCCCAACAAGCCAUAUCUAACCAGCUUGCAGCAUAAAUGAGAAACAAAGUCGGUUUCCAGAAACAAGGCCUAAGGAACCACAGAACGAAUAACGAAUAGUGCCCUAUUCAGCCCUUUUUUUUUUACACUUGGCCUCUCAGCCGCAUAAUAUGAGGUAUCAGCGGUAGGGUGAUUGUUUCUCAAAAAAAGGAAAAAGAAAAAGGAAAAAAAAGCGGUGGGGGUGAUUGCGAGAAACCGCAUAAUAUGUUUUAGGACUUUGGACAGUACAUGUUGGCAACUUGGUGGUAUACAUGAACAUUUUGCCCACGAAUAAUGCUAAGUCAGGCACACCUCAUGCUAGCAGAGGUUAAAAUACCUCACAAAAACUCAAGAUGCAUUACACCCUACUGAACAUGACAGCGUAGGCCUCCACUGUCUCCAAUUAGCCUGAAGGAAUGUCAUCUUGGACUGCUCAAAGAGAGUAUGAAGGUGUCAUAUGGUUUCCAUUCUAAUAACGUUGAAAAGGAACAAAACCGAUAGAAAGAAACUCACUGCUAAGAAUAAAUCCCUGAAGCAGGCUCUGAGCUUUGUCAGCCUGCUCAGGAGUACCAGAUAUUCGAACAACUUUUUCUAUGGCGUCAGGCCUUUCGUCAGCAAGUGUGACAGUGGCACCAGACAUCUGCGACCAACAAACAGUUUUAGAGGGUUAAUAAUAGGUAGAGUUGUUUGCCCUUUGUUCUACAAGAAAAAUUAGAAUAUACAGAACCUCGCUUAUUUGAGCAAGCUUGCUUCCAGCUCUCAUAGUAAGGCUUGCAACAGCACUCUUUGGUAUGACAACUUCUAAUGUGCUUCUUGUCACUAGAGGAACAGCAAAUCUGGUGGAAAAAGAAAUUAAGGUGAUCAUGUGAAAACCAAACAGAACAAGAUGGCAAAGACAAAAACAUACCGUUUUGCAGCACUUUGCCUCAUAUCAUCAUUAAUGUUGCUCCCUUGCUCAAACGACAUAUUUGCACCACCUCCACUAUCCUGAAAUUCAAAAUGACAAAUUUUAAGUCCAAAGACUCCAAAACAAUGGCUAACUUUAGAUAACCUAGAAGAAGAACAUUAUUAUGCAUUAAAGUUCAAAUACUUAACAUCCUACAUUACAAACUUUUCACAUCUAUGCAAAUCCCUUGUCACUGCCAAGUUUCACCAUGCUCAUUAUGAAAGAAAGGGAAACCAUGCAAAUCCCUUGUCACUGCCAAGUUUCACCAUGCCCAUUAUGAAAGAAAGGGAAACCAUGCCCAUUAUGAAUGAAAGGAAAAUUGAGGCCAAAAUUGGAUGGGCCAAAAGGACAAGAGAGGUCAGUGGUAAAAAAUAGAGAAAAUUCCAUACAUAGUACAAAUAUAUAUAUAUAUAUAUAUAUAUAUAUAUAUAUAUAUAUAUAUAUAUAUAUAUAUAUAUCUGUGUGUGUGUGUGCGCGUGCGCUUUUCUGCAAGGACUAACAAAGACAUUGAAGUACUAAAGAAUACCUUCCAUGAAGCUGGAACAUGCUGUGCUUGUUGGUAGGAUGGCAUUGGAAUAUCACUUCCCUGGUAUGGUCCUCUAGGUGAACCUUUUGCUGGAGAAAUGGAGCCAUGAACAGUAAUAUUGCCAAGUUGGUUAGGACCAGGAAUCUCGCGGUAGAAGUAACUCCGUAAUUUUGCAGUUAUUUGCACAAGAGCAUCCCGUGCAGCUCUAAUCUCUCCUACAAUCUGCAAGAACAAUAAUUUGUUCAACCACACAAUAUGGCAAACAUAGUAAAAAAAUCAUUCAUGUGUCAAACCAAGAAUAUAACAGUAAAAAGAAGAUAACAUGCCUACUAGGAGCACUUUGGCUUGAACACAAAUUCGAGUUAGAAGAUAGGUCAACCCAGGCUUGGCUCAAUAAGCAAAAGAAACAAGCGUAUUGUAAAUUGUAAAUAUAUGGAUUAUGGUCAUCUAUAGGGGUGGGUGUUUGGUUUCAUUGGUUCAUUCGGUUCGGCUUUUUCGGUUUCCGAGAAUCACGGUUUUGAGAUAUGCCAACAGAAGUGCAUGUCAACAAAAAUUAAAACCGGCCCGAAGUAACCGGAUUAAUUCAGUUCGGUGUGUCGGCUUCACCGAACAAACCGUAAACACAUCUAACGCACGGAAGCAGUAGACCAGGUGGCAGCGGCGGCAUGGCGUAAUCCACCAUCUACGUGGAGAUAAACCAGUCAAUUACUGGUGUAUAAAUUAGGCCUAGUUGCUAUGGGCCUCGUUGGAUGGAGGAACGUGGGCCUUGAGGUGCUAGGUGGUACCGGUGGCAUGGCGUGAUCCACCACCUACGUAGAGGUAAACCAGUCAAUUACUGGUGUAUAAAUUAGGCCUAGUUGCUAUGGGCCUCGUUGGAUGGAGGAACGUGGGCCUUGAGGUGCUAGGUGGCACCAGUGGCAUGGCGUGAUCCACCAUCUAUGUAGAGGUAAACCAGUCAAUUACUGGUGUAUAAAUUAGGCCUAGUUGCUAUGGGCCUCGUUGGAUGGAGGAACGUGGGCCUUGAGGUGCUGCCACACUGGGCUGGGAUCAUGGGAGGUAGUUUGGUUGAUCGGCUUCUUCGGUUGGCAAGGAUGGAAAACCGCAAAAAAGACCAAAAGCUGAACAAGAACCAAACAAAAACCAAAGGACAAUCCGAUGACUGAAAAAACCGAUGAUUUGGUUCGGUUCGGCUCGGUUUUGUUCGGUCUCGGCCCACCCCUAGUCAUCUAGGUAUUUAACACAUGGAUCUCCACUAUCUAGUCAAAUCCUCAAGAUAACAAAAAUGAAGGUUCUUCUGGGAAAGAAGACAGACCUGUAUAAGCUCAUCAGACUCUAGAGCACAAGAUGGAAGAGCUUGCCUUGGUAAUAUCUGUACAUUUGCACUGGUCUGUCUCUGUAUAUCAGAUAAUGAUCCAUCCCUUCCCUCGAAGCAAGCAAUUUCACUUGAAGGGACAAGUAACCUUGUUGUAAUAAUGUUGUCUUUAUCAGGACCAAGGUCUACAAUAUGAGUUUGGAGGUGCAGCAAUGCUUCCUGAGCUGGAAAAAGCUCAUGGUCUGGGCCCUAUAACAAUCGUAAGGACCAUUUUAAGAAUAAAAUAUUGAAACAUGUCAGUGAAGGGAGGGGUACUGAACCCAAAUUCCAGCUAUAACAAUGAUGGUUGAUACAAAUAGCAGAAAAUACCAACAGAAAGAACAACAUAAUAUUUCAAAUAAAAUCCAUCAUAAUUGAGGCCAAACUAAUGUUACACGCAAGCAGACACUGCUGUAAGCAUUUUUGGAACAAAGAGCUCCUCAGAUCUGAAUAGCUUACUGUAUAGGACUAUAGGUGUGGAUAAUCCAACAAGCUAAAAUCAUCUUGUUUCAUUCACAUCAGUAAGACAACCUACUUAACUACUACAAUGACUAGUUAAAAAAUAGUUGACUUUCAUCAAGCAAUACUUCAAACAUUGCCUGGACUGUGUAAAUCUAGCUAGCAAUCUAGUAACACUACUUUAGAUUAGUGAAGCAAUGAGUAGAUCAGUAGAAUUUCUCACAGAAAAAGGACCCGUCUGAUAAAUAUAACUUCAUAUGCAACUGAGAUUGGAAAAAAACUACAAAACAGUGUGCGUCACUCAUAGCAUCGUCUGUUGAAGCUGCAAAUGUAACUUUGAAAAAACCCACAGAACUGUAACCCAACCCUUCCUAUAACGUACAAGUUUUUACAUAACUUAAACAGCCAUGUCAGUAAUAGUAUGGAGAGUGGUGAACUAAAAGACAUAAGUGAGUGUGUAUUACCUCUCUUGAUGUGAUGAUUAUGAUCCUUUCGUCAGAGCCAUCAAGAGAAUCAGUAAGCCUAAUAUCAACACCAACAUCUUCCUGUAACAUCUCUAACAAUCCAUCACGUGUUCCGACUAAACUGUUAACCUUGUCACUUGGGCAAAGAAUUCGAAAUAUGAUGUCAUCGAACAGAAUUUCUGUGUGAUCAUUGAUCUUGCCACCAUUUGAAUCAAACUCAUACCCUGGCAGCUCCAUGCUAGUAUUAUUUCUAAUUUGAUCAGGUCGACCAUAAGGUUCUUCAUAUGCAGGCAUCUGCUGUGCACCACCAUAGUAUUCAUCCUCUUGAGGAAAUCGAUGCUCUGGUGAAUUCAUCCGUCCACGGAAGGGGCCACGGUCACGGUGUAAGCUUUCCUUUAGGCGAUCGGAGAUUAUCGCUACAGCCUUUUUAACACAAUUCCCCUCUCCAACAACCUGUAACAUCAUAUCAUGAUAAUAAUACACAGUAGGGUGAGAAGUGCCACAAGUAAAAAGAAGUCUAAUAAAGAGUGUCAUUUAUCUUUCUAUGCAUCCAAAUCACAAUUACAACAUGUGCUAAGAGACAGAUUUAUCAUGUUGAACCUAGAUCAUUUCAGAUCAUAAUUGAAUGAAUUUACAAAUCAAUGUCAGAACAGUUUUCACUAAGCAAACAGAAGGCUAAAGUUUUCACUUUUAAGGUUAAAGUUGACAAGAGAGAUAGUUUAAGCCACUGUUGCUAGAAGACAAAUCUGGAACAGUGUCUUUCAUAUAAUAUUUGAAAUAUAGUCUCAAAUAAUAAGUUGUUCCAUAAGUGAGCUGAGUAAAUCUAUAUGUCCAACUAUAUUAUUAUUUUAUUUCAUUUAAUACAAGAGCUCAGCAUUAAGCAAACAUCAUAUGAAUAAAUCCCCAUAAACUGUGCAAAGAGUAAUUUCACAAACUGGUAUUAAAGCCUAACGAAAACAGGUUAUUUUUAAAUUAAAUGUGUGUGUAAACAAAGUUGAAAUUAAAUACUGACUAGGAACAAGGGUAGAGCAGAUUUCUUACUGUUGAAAGCAUUAAAUCAGUUUCCACUGUGUUGCUUGUAACCAACUACACGGUGAUGACUACAGUUCAAGAAUUAAUAUAUUGUGAUAUUAAAUCAGUUAUAAUGCCAAACUCAAUGUCUCAAAAGAAGCUAAAGAUAUGAAUACUAGAGAGGUUAAUGCUAAGCAACAUUAUAAAGUUAACAGCGAGAAACAUCCAGAACUAGUGCACAGGUACUAGCAGUUAUUGAACAGGAAACAUCAUGGGAACAGAGUCAUCAGUCAACAUAAUUGUGAGAGAUAGUAGGAAAAGUCCUAGAGUACUGGAACUUGGAGCAUUUCCUAAAAUUUUCAGAUAUAUUUGGAAAAAAAAAUCAGUUCUACGGAACUGAGGGAUUACCAUUUUUGCUAUAUAUAUAGCUGAAUUUGUUUUCACCCUAAUAGUAUCACGUAUUUUCUACCACGUGUUCAGUAAAGCAAUGUUGCUAUUUGACAUUAGUUCUCCGCCAUCACAAGUCACAAGCUGUUCCCGAUCCUGUACCCUCAUAGGCUAUCGGCACUGUCCAAAUCGAAACAAGUUGCUGCUCAAUUUCACCCCUCCCAUCCAAGCUAUGAAUUCUCUCUUACUGCAGAAACCAUGGCAACAGACCCAAUAGUAUGCACAGAGUCAUUCCCAAAUAUUGUCAAUGGGGCGAAGAAGGGAUGGGGUAUGCCCCGGUUUACGUGUAUGGCAGCAGCACCACGGUUGGGUCGACACCAUCACCCCAUGACACCAACACCCCACACACUCAAGCAGUGUCAGAUCCCUUUCCUAAGCAUUCCAUUACUUCACUAGCCCCAUAAGGCCACAACUGAUCAUUCCUUCUGAAUUUGUUCCCGCAUGCUGAUUUUCUUGAGCUAGGAGGCAGCGCUCUCCAGCGACAUGCUCAUCCAAAAAGAUGCGGUCACCCAAAAGCUGGCCAUUGUGUCAGCGCCACCAUCCAUUCAUCCACAAAUCUCUGCCGUAAGUGAGCAGCAUAUGGGAUUAAACGAUGAGUGGUGUGCCUCAGCUGCAGCUGCCGCUGACCACUGUUAAGCGGUGUAUGGAGCCAACAGAGUUCAAUGGUGAUGAGGACAAGUGAAUGAAGAGCUGAGCAUGAUUUGAGGGGUGAUUCAGGGAUUUCUAGAGAAGUAUUUGUCCCAAAAAGUCUUUUAAAAAAGCCAAAGCGCUUGAUGGACAUACUAACAUAGACUGCAUAAAAACUUACGGUAUUUUUAGGUGGUAUUAAAGUGCACCAAGAAAGGUAGGUAUUAAUGCAGGUAUCUUGCAGUGCUGUGGAAACAUUUUUUUUUUCAAUAUAUUCAUGAAGAUUUUUGUCUUGUCCUGCUUUUAGAUUUGUUGUUUGAUUUGUGUCUGUUCUUUAAACCUUUUUUUUGUCGUUUUCAUCUGGGAGUGUUCAGGUUUGAUCAUCGUACACUACACAUUUUAGUGAAUCAAAUUUGGCCAAUAAACCAAACCGAACUAAACUAAACAUCACUCUAACUAGAAAUUUUAUUAGGAAAUAUUCUUCUCUACAGCAGUUCAUCAAUCAAAUGUUCGAUUCUAGCAUAUUCUAAGUAUCAAGAACACAUCUAAGUCUUGUCCAACACGUAGCAUAAUCUGUUUAGCAUUUUGCUUUCCUUUUAUCCGUACAUUAAUAUAUAACUAUGCAACUAAAUUAUACACAUAACUCCAAGUUAAUGUACCAUUGUCUAAAGUAAAAAUUGAAAUUUUUUUACCAGAUUAUAGUAAGCAGCCUCUUACCUGUACAACCUCCUCCGACAACGAUACACACCGCGGCGUGUGCUGGUCGCGUGGCAGGAUCCUGAUGUGCGUUUUGGUCUCGGCCCUCAUCUGCUCAAUGAUCUUGCCACCCUUACCAAGGAGGCACCCAACAUGGAGGCGCGGCACGAUGAGGCGCGUGGUCACCUUGCCUCGGUCCCUGGCAUCCUUGGCCCUGGGCCCAUACUCGCCAUCCUCAUCGCCGUCGUCUGGUUCCGUCUCCAGGAUCCGCCGGUGCACCAUGAGGAGCGCCUCCUGCGCCGGCGAGAACGAGGGCGGCCGCCCAUCCGCCUCGCGGCGCGCGCCGUCGGACGUCUCGAUGACGCGGACCGCGUCGCCAGGGUAGGGCAGGUGGAUGGUGACGACCGCGUUGGUGUCGUCCCGCACCUUGGCGAUGAAGCUGGGCGGGAAGCCGUAGACCUUGGACUGCGGGCACAGGAUGCGGAAGGAGGUGGUCAUGCCGGGCCCCCCGCCCCCCGCCGCCGCGGAGGAAGGCGGCGGGGGUGGGGGCGGGGGCGGGGCGGCGUCGGGUGGCAGCUGGAAGCCGCCACGGCGGUCGCCGCCGCCGCCACCGGGGGGGCCGCGGCGGUGGUAGCUGUUGUUAGGGUUGGGGCCGCCGCGGCGGUCGAAGCGUGGCUUGGAGCGGGGCGGCGGCGAGUCCUGGUCGUAGUGGUAGCCGCGCUUGGAGGAGCGCGGGCGAUCCAUUGCCGGAUUCGAGGGCUCCCCACCCUCGUCCUCGAAUUCGUUCGAUUUUGGUUUGAUUGCUCGGUUCGGAUUAGGGUUUAGAGCGACAAGGGGGAGGGCGCCAUGGAUCGGAGAGUGAGGAGGUGAGCGUGUGUGCUCACUGCUCUAGGUAGGCCACCAACACCUUCUCAGACUCAAAAAGUGUGCGGUACGUGUCAAAGGAGGGAUUUGUAGCAGCCCAAUUUUGUUCUCUCAGAUUCAUCUCAUUUGUGUUGAUUUUUGUAUGUGCAGUAGAUUAUUAUUAUAAUAGGGUUUAUAAUAAUAAGUCAUAAUUUAUAAACUAUUUUACGUGUGUCUUACGCUAUAGGUUUAACCAAACAUUAUUACAUUUAUGGUAAUUAAUUGUUAGCCACGUCUUUUAUAAAAUUGGUAGUGAUAAGGUUAGUCGUCAUCAAUUAAGUUAUCUUUACUUACUAGGGUGGUGUUUGGUUAGAUCAAGGUAACGCUAAUGUUAAUGGGAGUGGUUCCGUCCGUAAUCGAUACCAUUGUAACAGAUAAGUACUUUGUUUGGUUUGUUGCGGUAACACAUCCGGAGUCACUCACGCUGUUUGGAUGCGCGGCUGCACGCUAGCCGCUAGGUAAUAGAUUCAGUGAGCUGCUAGUUGAAGCUGAGACGGACACAAGAAGCAAAUACAAAGCAAAUGCAUGCAACGAGCAGAGUUUUGACAGAUAGUUCAUAAUAUGCAAAACACCGUCACCUCAUGUUUGGAUACAAAUUUUGACAGUGAGAACUCGAGACAAAAAGACAUAUUCUGCAGAAUUUAAUCAGUGAUAUACUUUUAAGAGUAAAGUCCAUCACCGGUCCCUAAACUUGUACCGCUGUGUCAUCCUGGUCCCUAAACUCGCAAAUCGACCGUUCAGGUCCUCAAACUUGUUUAACUAUAUCAUCCCGGCCUCUAAACUUGCAGAUCACUUGUUUAGGUCCUCCAACUUGUUUACUUGUGUCACCCCGGUCCCUAAACAAGACAGUCUAAAAACUUUAUAUCAAAAAAUAAUUUAUAACUUUUUCAUGUGAAUUCUAAUGAAGACAAACUUUAUAUCAAAAUUGUAGCCUUCGACGCGACUUACAACUUUGUAGUUGAAAAGUUUUUGAAUUAAAACUGUUUAGGUCCCAAAAUAUUGUUGCAUGUUUAUAUAUUUUGAAAUUUUAAUUUUAAAAUUACAUUUUGGGACAAAAAAUGACUUAAAAUAAAAAAAACUCAACUACAAAGUUGUAGAUCGCGUCGAGGGCUACAAGUUUGAUAUAAAGUUUGUCUUUAUUAGAGUUCACAUGAAAAAUUUAUGAAUUAUUUUUAAAUAUAAAGUCUCUAGACUGUCUUAUUUGACCCAGAUGAUAUUCAAAUCUAAGUUUAGGGACCGGGGUGACACAACUGAAUAAGCUGGAGGAUCUAAACGAGUGAUGUGCAAGUUUAGGGACCGGGGUGACACAGUUGAACAAGUUUGAGGACCUGAACGGUCGAUUUGCGAGUUUAGGGACCGGGAUGACACAACGGUACAAGUUUAGGGACCGGUGAUGGACUUUACUCUACUUUCAAAAUUUAAUCAACAAAGGAGUGGAUGAAAAGUUGAUCCAUGCUGGAAGUGAUAACUUCAGAAGUUCAAUGAACCAAACAACAAGAGGAUACAUUGUGAUCUGUCUAAAUAAAGUACUGAGGAAAUAUAUGGAUGAAACUACCAGAUUAAACAAUAAGCUAGGGGCAAUACUUCUAUCUGAAAACAGGACAGUACUUUGAUCACAGAAUAUGUAGACUGUCAUGGUUCAAGCAAAUAAAGCUGAAGCACUGAAACUAAACAUCCUUAGGACAUAGGUAGUCUCUAAUCCCCAAGGCAUACGCUUAUAUGGAAUUCUAAUAAUUAAAGAACAGAUAAUGAACAUCUUGUAUAUCCUGCUUGACAGCCAGCACAUCAGUACAUCAAUUUUUCUUUGCCUCAUCUGAUAACAAAAAAUUUCAGAAAUUAGUGAAAGAAACAUUAGGUGAAAGAAUAUAUAUAGUGCUCAGCAUCAUACCAAAUUAAGAAUAUUCUUGCUCAUACAAGCCAUAUAUGAUAUUCAGAAAUAGGUAGCAUUUUUUAACUUUAGGAGUACAAAAACUCCCUGUUAGGUGUAUGCAAGUAAGCAAGACCAAGCACAUACUCCAGUUAGAAGUGAAUAUGAUAUUACUAUAGCAUUGAGAUGGACAGCUGGGCCCAUUGAUGCAUUAUACUAGUGCAAGGCAAAUAAUAUGAAUGCAUAUAUGAAAUGCUAAGUGGUAAAGAGCAAUAUGCUUACAAUUAAUGAUCUCAAAAUAAAUAUGUUGCCUGUUGCAGUUGCAACGCUACAAGAGUGAUCAAGUGAAUUACCAGCAAGUAUUUUUAGCACGUACUCCCUCCUGAGAGACUCUGAAAGAGCGACAAGCAUACUCAUUUGAGCCGGCACUUUUACAAAAGCAGCUGCAACAUUGACAACUUCAAUACCAGUCAAUCCAAGCUUUUGACACUCAAGAAUAGCUUCGUUGUGAAAUUUUUGUAGUUGGUCCUCCUCAGCCAUUGCUUCUCCGCGUUUUGGUACUUAAGGGAAGGCGAGCCAUAGCACUCUACAAAUACAUAAAACAAAAGCAUUAACCCUAUGUCCAGAAUAUAUCCUGCUAGCAUGCAUAAUACAUCAAGCUACCAUUCAAACAAAAGACAGUACAAAUUUAUUUUUGUUGCUAAACAUAAGUAAUUCACCAGAACACAAUAUCAAGCAUCCAUUCAAGGAGCAUAUUUACAUGUAUGUGCUGUUUUACUAGAACAUAUUUAACUACUGGAAUAUAUUCUGUCAAACAGGCAAUACGCAAAACUUUUUUCCCCAAUCUGAUAUUGUGCAAAAUAAUAUAUCACCUGGCAGUAAUAAAAAUCAAAAUUCUCAAAAUCUAGAUAGUAAAAUGAGUUGGUCCAACUUCCCUACACUCAAAAAAAAAAGAACCAUGUACUGAUGUUCAACUUUCAUGCAAUCGAGGCAAAUAGAUUCUACAUAACCCAUGUGAGGCAAACAGAUAUGAGGCAGGAACACAUGUGAUUUACUUGUAUAAACUACUACAUGAUUUUUUAGAAGACUAUUACAAGAUCAUCACUCACCAGCAUCACAAGUAUAUCACCAUAAAAUAAGGUGGUUUCAGUAGGGGGAGGGUUCUCACUGGCGAGGUGAUCGUUCGACAGCGGCAACGACGAAAGACGAAUGUAGUUGAUGGCAGCAGAAUCUCCGACUAGCCUCCUGCUGCACGUCCUUGCCCUUCCCGUCAAGAUCCAUUUUCCAUGGAGUUCUUCCCGUCAAGAUCCAAUCGCCAAGAAGGUGGAACUCCGGGGAGGUGGCAACGCACGUUGGACGGGGCAGGAGGGACUCUGGAGGCGGAACUCCUGGAUGUGGGGAGCACCGACGCGCCGGCUUGGCCAAGCGGUGGUGGAGGAGCGCACGAGACGGGGGAGCAGUGGAGCGUGCAGUGGGAGGGGGCGGCGCUGGCGACGGGCGCGGGGCGAGGGGGCGACGUCGGCAACAGACGCGGGGUGUUGGGGCGGCGCCGGCGACGCGUGCGCUGCGAGGGAGUAGUGGCGGUGGCGCUCGAUUUGGCGGUGCUAGGUCACGCUCUCCUCUCCAUAUCGGUAUCACAUUCCGCCCGUCUAGGAGCGUAAUCAGAUUUGUAUUGGGCCGGAAUUCGUUUACGGGCUAUCCGAUUACGGUCCAUCUGAAACAAACGAGUGUAACGAGAUCUAUUCACGGUGGGAACUGAUACGGGCCAAAAACGACCCAACCAAACAGCUCCUAGGUACUUGUGUAAAUACCGAAGAUUUUGUCGCUCCUUCAAUUUUCAUUUAUGUGUUUUUUUUGUUUUGAUUUAAUUUUAUGCAAGUCUUUUACAUGGUCCUCUAUUUGAUUAGAAAUAUUUGACAUUUAUGAUCAUCAAUGUUAUAUUUAAAAGUUUAUAAAAUCUAUUAGGUUCAAAAUACUAUGAUAGUACUUUCGAGGAAAAAUCUAAAGUACUUUUUUUUAAAAAACUAAGCAUUAUAGAAAUUAUUUACAGUCGGAGUUUUCAAAAAUUUAAUCAAAUUUUAUCAUAAACGUCAAAUUUUAUGAUCAAAGAGAAAAUCAAGCAAGUAGCAGGCAUUCAAUAGAGCAAAGCUUACAAACAAAAGGAUAUUUUUUGUACAUCCUUUUGAUUUCAAACUACAGAUGGUAGUGGUGCUGCACGGAAUAGGCUUAUUAUUCACUAAAUAUAUUGCCUAUUUUUCCAACCUCGCAUAGGGUAAUUCAUAGCAAAUCGUAAUAGUAAGUUGCACUAGGUUAUCUUAAUUUUAUAUAAGUUCCAUAAAGGGAGUAAAUAGGCUAUUGGUGAUGGGCAUUCCAUUAGCACAUAUUUCUUGGGAAAUAAAAGUACUUGCGGGUGAAAAAAUCAGUUAAAAAAAUGCAUGUCAGUCGUGAUAAAAAGAUCUUUUGUGUGAUUGAUGGAAAGCACAAAUUGCUAAGGAGUAGGAUACUAUGCGCAAUGAUGCUACACUAUUAAAGUCGGUAGCCAAGGGUCUCUUAUUCCACUAUAAGUGGCAUUGUUCCAUUAGAAUUCUAGCUAAAAAAUCUAUAUAGUUUAACGCUAGUCAAUAAUAAAGGGGAGUUGGGGAUUUGUCCCAUCACCUUAUUUCUCAUUAUUUAUUUAUUUUUAUAUUUAUCUUUUUCUUAACAAAUUUACUGUUGUGUGUCUUAUGACAGAAACCGGAGAUGUAAUCCAUUUCCAUUAUCUAAAAAAACACCAAAUAUAUGUAUAUGUGAACUAGCAAAAAAAACAUGUUUAAUAUAACACAGAGAGAGGAAUCGCAACCUAUUUUUAUUAAUUUUAUAACUUAAGUUAGUAGGCAUGUUGAAUUUGGUUGGUUGGUUGCAUAUCGACAUGAUGAUAUUGAUGACUAGUGCAUCAAUAAUAUAGUAGGUGAUGAAUAAAGGUGGUAAAAAAAACAUCUACCGACUUAUUCUUAUAGGUACGUGCAACACGCAAGUAGAUAUCGCUGGAUAUUUGAUGAUGAUAUAAUAUUUUGUAUGUGCUAUUCUAUAAGGACGAGAAAGACUGGUUUGGCUCGAGUAGAGUUGGAUAUUAAUUCAUUUAGCCAAUUCAUAUAUUAACAUUAACAGAUUUCAAGGCUCUAAAUGGGUUAAACAAUGUCUAACAAUUAAAAGCUUAGGUUAAUUAGCUACAACUAGCAAGUUGAACAAUUAUUGUUUGGUUGUGGCUAUGUAUAACUUUUCCAAUUUAGCUCUUAGGAUCAAUUUGUUUGUGCUAUUUGGAAUCUACUACUUUGUUUACUGUGAUUUGUGAACAUGCCUCCUGAUAUGCUAAACAACGCUUUUCUUAAAAAAAUAUAUAUCAAAAUUUAUUUGAAAAUCAAAUUAAUGUAUUUUAAAAUUGAUAAUAAUUAAUACUUAAUUAAUCAUGUAUUAAUUACUGGCCGUGUUUUCUAUGUCACAGUUUUGUUUAGCCGGACAUCUUAGAUCGAACCAGACCUUAGUCUUAGCUUUGCCACCUAGUUCCCUAGGUUAGUUGGUUAAGCGGUCGCUCCUGACUACGUCUCGGGGUAAACUACUUCUCAACCUUACCUCCAUUCAAAAGUCCUAAAAUAUAGUAGUACUCCCUUCCCUCCGUUUCAUAUUAUAAGACUUUCUAGCAUUACCCAUAUUCAUAUAGAUGUUGUCUAGAUUCAUUAACAUCUAUAUGAAUAUGGGUAAUGCUAGAAAGUCUUAUAAUAUGAAAUGGAGUCUAGAUUCAUUAAUAUCUAUAUUAAUGUGGGCAAUGCUAGAAAGUCUUAUAAUAUGAAACGGAGGAAGUAACUUUUAACUCUAAAUCUGGAUUUGCACUUGUUCAGAUUCAUAACUAAAAAUGUUAUAUUCUUGGAUGGAGGUAGUGCUAGAGAAGCCAAACCAACAAUUUCGGUUUAGAUUGAAUGCUUUAAACCAUGACUCAGACCAAUUACAAACGAUUUAGGCCCUUUUUAGUUUAGGGGUGAAAUUUUUGGCGUAUUACAUCGGAUAUACGGACACACAUUUGAAUUAUUAAACAUAGUCUAAUAACAAAACAAAUCAUAGAUUCUACAUGUAAACUGCGAGAUGAAAUUAUUAAACCUAAUUAAUCCGUCAUUAGCAAAUGUUUACUGUAGCACCACAUUAUCAAAUCAUGACGUAGUUAGGCUUAAAAAAUUUGUCUCGCAAUUUACACGCAAUUUGUGUAAUUAGUUUUUUUUGUCUAUAUUUAAUACUCCAUACAUGCGUCCAAAUAUUCGAUAUGACAUGGUGAAAUAUUUUUGCGUGGGAACUAAACAUGACCUUACUUCCUUGUUCCAAAACAACAAAAGCUAUAAUGGGUUGGAGAUACGAAGUAUCACGCUAUAACAAUUUUGAAUAAGGAUAUGUCACAUCUAGAUUGAGUUAUUUUAGUAUAGAUGGAGUAAUUGCUAAUAUCAUGAGAUAUUAUUGACCGUGAUGAAUGUUGAGGAUAAGAACAAUUCUUCCGAUCAAUAAUAUUUGAUGUUGAGUAAUAUUAAAAUAGUGAUAAGUAGACCAAAUAUUCUUAAGGCUCAUUUGAAUUGCAAAAAUGAAAAAACGGAGGAAUAGGAAAAACAUAUGAUUCUAACAUGAAUGAAAGUGUAAAACAGAGAAUUGUAAAAUAACGGGAAAAACACAGGAAUAACCGUUUGAUUGGACCAUAGAAAAAAUACAGGAACCAGAUGAGAGAGAUAGAUUCGAAGGAAAUUUUCCAAGAGGUUUAAGCUCUCGCUAAGUUUUCUAUGAAAUCUCUGUAGGAUUGUCUAUCCCAUAGGAAUUUUAAAGAAUUGAAUAUAAUUCAAUCAUUUGAUUUAAAGACAUUUAUAAAUUUUUUUUCUAUAAGAUUAAAAUUCUCUAUAAUUUUUAUGUUUUUCUCCAAAUCAAAAGAAGGAUAUUGCUUUGCCUUUCAUAGAAUGGAAAAGUGGAAUCCUGACUAGUGGAGUCGACAGUUGCGCUGCUGCUGCUGCCGCCGCCGCCUGCUGGCCGAUCCGAAGAGCAUUAAAAAAUACAGCGGGCGGAGAUGCUGGUUUCUCCCUCCUCCGUGCGUGCCCUCGCCUUCCUCCAUCGCCGCUUCCCUCCCCCUCCCCCUCCCCCUCGCCCCCACCUCCUCCAGCCCCCCACCCACCCUGCUCCCCCGCGCUCUGCCAUGGCCUUCUCCGCGGAGCCGGCGGCCGAAGAGGCUGAGGAGGAGGCCCUCCCGCCCGUCACCGGCCCCGGCGAGGUCACCGCGGAGGAGUGGAGGCGGUGGGGCACCUCCUCGCCGCUCCCGGCCGCGGUGGCCGCCGUCGUCGGCGAGCUUCUCGAGAUGGAGGCCGAGGCUGGCCAGAAGAUGCGCUUCGGCGGCGUCGGCUCCAAGAUUAAGGUAAACGGCUUGUUGGCUUCAUCUCAAUCCCCUUCCACGUCCUGGAUGCUGCUUGCAGAUUCCCGAGGUGAUACAGCAUUGCAGGAAUUGAAACUGAUAUCGGCUCAUGGUUUGCUUGUUUCUUGAACUGGUUACUCAUAGGGUGAUUUCAAAGACAUGGAGGACAAGAAGCACAGGGCUGUCUACCAGACGCUCGCCGACUCGGACAAGAAGCUGCAGUACUUCUCCGCGCGGCAGAUUGCUUGCCGCUUGCUAGGGAGUAGAGGAUAUCUGUGCCAGAAGGUGAUGUGACAGUGUCAGCUAGUAUAUGCACAUCUUGUCAAUCACUUCUUUUUGCAGCGAUCAUACACAAUGCAGCAAUCAGGCCUUAAUGGUUUAUUCAACUGAAGCUUAUUUUUGCUACUAACAUUUAUGUGCCCUUUCUUUGCUCUUCUUCAUUUCCCACAGUUUGCCUGAUCUGCCUACCUCUUAAAACUACAGUGUUGGCUGCCAAUGGAAGAUUGUAUGUGUGCGAAGCUUGGUUCUUGCAAUCUAUGGCAGGGAAUUAGAUUCUGGCUAUAUAUGCAUCCGAAGGUCUCUUCAAAGGGGUUUAUGUUGAAUUUCUUGUUCUGUUCUUUCUUCUGGGUAUGCCAGUAUCUCUAAUACUCUAUUGUUGCAGGACUUUUUGCGCCAAAACAAUACCGGAAAGUUACUAUGGCAAGUAUUUGGCAUCCAAGCUGCACCCUUGUGUCUCUUUGGCAUCCAAGAGCACGAAGACAUUAUGUGGGAUGCUUUCCAGCGUUCAGGUUGUUACAAAAGUCAAUGCCAACUUUCAUCUGUUAAACAUAUGAAAUCAGUUACAUUAAAAAAGUAUACUAAUGCUUUCAGGAGCUCCCAUUUUCUGUAUAGUAGUUUACAUUAGCUUCACUUAGCAUGCUUGUUCAACGUUUUUUUUCUCUUAAGCUUCUUUGGCGCACACAAUCUCUCCCGAUGUGUUUAAAGUUUAAGCUCUUGUUUAUGAUCUGGAAACAUAACUGGCCUUUAGACUCUCAACUGCUGUUAAGUAUUCUUCUUGGAAGGGGCAGGGAAUUAGUGCGAACUACACAAAUUAUGCUAGUGAUUACACUGCAACAUACCUUUCUUUAGAAAUGCAAAUGCUUAGUAAAAGAUUAUAUUUGCUCGUUUGGAAUUCUCUGUGCUAGUGUCUAGAUAAGUGUAUUCCUGUCCCAACCCUCUUCACAUAUUGAGUGGCAUUUUUAAUUUAGAAGGAGCUUAAAAAUGUCCACAUUUACUGACAAUCUAAUGACCAGGGGAUCUUUUCUUUGUUAUUUCAUCAAUGCAUUGCUAGUACUGAAAAUAUUUGCAUUAUCGAUGUUCCUUUUCUGUUUGCAUUCUAUCCUUCUAUUUUAAUCAUUGCAUAAAUGAAUAUACUGUUGCAUAUUGGAAGUUGUCUUCGUGGCUGCUGUUUUGAACCUGUUGGCGCAUUGAACAACUAGGGUAGUGUUUCACAGAAACAAAUCCAAACCAGAAGUAAAAAUGUAUGAACUAGUAAUAGAAAUAAGAUUUGAAUUAAUUUUCUUGUGGCCCAUGGAAGAUUAUUUCAUUAAUUUGUCGUCUAAUAUCUCUACUCUCCCUGCUAUAUUUAGCAAGGAUAUAUGUAUCUGUGCACUUCAUGUUUAAAUACUGUAUAUUUCCAUUCUGAUAUGGUUUUUGCCAGGAAAGGGAAAGGUUUCAUUUCUAUAUCCGAAUAAGAGUACAACCCCCAUGUCUGUCAAAGAUCUUAAAUUUGAUGGUUUGAACUUGAGUUGUGAUCAUCCGGAGGAGGUAUUUAUUCUGUUCUUUAAGCUGUGUAUUAAUAAGUUGCACUGUUGCACACCCUGUUAGAAUUUCAAUGGUUACUCUCAUUGAGAAGAGGAUGGCACUCGAGAUGGGGCAAUUUUCUGGUUUUCUUCAUUCACAAAACACAAAAGCCAUACCUACCCGAGGGAGGUUGGAUACAUAUAUAUAGCCAUAGCUGGCUGCUAGCCUAUUGCUGCACCCUCCUAGUCUAAAAUUCGAAAUUUGAAUGGGAUGCUGUCCUAGAGGGCAUCCAAACUGAAUAAAGCAUAAAAGAGGCAUAAAGGAGAUGCUAACUGCUGCUGUCCUACUAACCGCAGCUGUCCUAGCAACUGAAAAAUAUGCUAAAGGGUAGAUGCUGUCCUGAAAAAGGUGAAACUACCCAAAAGCAAAAAGAAGAAUCACAACCAAGGACCACAAAGACUUUUCCAACAUUCUCCCCCUAAGUCUUGUGCGUCGUCUUGUGGGGAAGUUGGGCCAUCCCGAUCCUGGAGUAGAGCUCGAGGAACUUGAUCCUCCCAAGAGGCUUGGUGAGCAAGUCCGCAAGCUGGUCCUUGGUGUUGAUGUAGCUCGCCUUGAUGCUCCCUUCCUCCAAGUAGCUUUGGAUGAAGUGGUACCUCACCCGGAUGUGCUUGCUCCGUUCGUGAAAAACGGGGUUCUUUGCCAGGGCCAGAGCGGACUUGCUAUCCACCCUGAGCUCCACCGUUCCAGUGUCUCUGCCGAGGAGAACACUAAGCAGUCGAGCAAGCUAGAGCGCCUGGGUCGAAGCGGCGGAGGCCGCCAUGUACUCGGCCUCGCAACUGGACAGGGCCACCACCUGCUGCUUGACUGACUGCCAGCUAACGAGGCACUUGCCGAGGAAGAAGAGAAUCCCGCUCGUGCUCUUGCUGGUGUCGAUGUCGCCGGCGUGGUCGCUGUCGCUGUACCCGACGAAGUGUGCCUUGCCAGGACACCUCGGGUAGUAGAGACCGUGGUCGAGAGUCCCCGCAACGUAGCGGAUGAUCCUCUUCACAGCCUGCUGGUGCUCCGUCGUCGGUCGCUGCAUGAACCGAUUGACGUAGCCGACGGAGAAGGCCAAGUCCGGCCGUGUGUGGGUGAGGUAGCGAAGGCUCCCCACAAGACGCCGGUACUGUGUAGCAUCCACCUCCUCCGCCGUGCUGUCGCGGCUCAGCUUCAGUCUCUCCUCCAUCGGAGUGAGAGCUGGGUUGCAAUCGGUGAGCCCAGGCAGCUCAACGACGCGCUUGGCGUAGGCGGUCUGUCGAAGCGUGAUCCCGGAGUCGUCCUGGUGCACUUCGAUCCCCAGGUAGAAGGAGAGAGGCCCCAGAUCACUCAUCUGGAAGGUGGCCUUCAUCUCCUCACUUGAACGCCGCGACCUCCGCAUCCUUGGUGCCGGUGAUCACCAAGUCGUCGACGUAGACACCCACCAGCAAGGCAUUUCCUCCAUUGCCCCGCCAGUAGAUGGCCGCCUCGUGCGGGCUUUGCUCGAAGCCAUCCCCUUGAGCGUGGAAUCCAACUUGGCAUUCCACGCCCUCGGUGCCUGCCGCAAGCCGUAGAGGGCCUUGUGCAGGCGUAGCACCUUGCCCUCCUUGCCGGGGAUCACAAAUCCCGGCGGCUGGUGCACGUAGACCUCCUCCUUCAAGUCGCCGUUCAGAAACGCCGACUUGACGUCCAUGUGAUGGACGCCCCAGCCUUCCUGAGCAGCCAGCGCAAGAAGGAGUCGCACGGACUCCAUCCGUGCCACGGGAGCGAAGGCAUCAUCGUAGUCGAUCCCCUCCUGCUGCACGAAACCGCGUGCCACCAAGCGAGCCUUGUGCUUGACGAUGGCUCCGGCUUCAUCCCUCUUCAGCUUGAACACCCACUUAAGGGUGAUCGCUCGGUGACCACGAGGGAGGUCAGCAAGCUCCCAGGUGCGGUUCUCCUGAACCGCGUCCAUCUCCGACUGCAUCGCGGCACGCCAUGCCGCGUGUUUCUCGGCCUCUGCAAAAGACCGAGGCUCACCGUCGUCGCACGCAAGGUGCAACUGCGCCUCUAGGUCGCGAGGCACCAGUCCUGGCACCGGUUGGUCGCCGAGAAGAUCCUCCAUCGUACGGUACCGUAGCUGCUCGCCGUCGUGGUACGCGUCGAUGCGCUCCCUGUCGUGGGAGAGCGGAGUAGCGAACUCCACUGGGCUGCGCUCAACACGAGCUGGCGUCGGAGUAGACGUGCUUGGAGGAGUGGCUGUUGGUGCUGGAGCAUGUGGAGUCACUGGCUGGGGUGGUGUCGACGAAGAGCUCGUCGUAGUCGAAGUCGUGGCCCGAGGGUGUGUUGGUGUCGGAGUCGGUGGAGAUUCGAGGGCUGGGGUAGACACGCUCGGUGAAGAAGAGCUGCCUACUCCCCCAGCUCCCUCGAAGUGGAUGUACUCGACGGUGAAGUCGUCGUACGUCGGAGUCGAACCAUCGUCCACCGCCUUGUCCCAUACCCACCCUCGCCCUUCGUCGAACACAACGUCGCGUGCAGUGCGCACACGCUGUGUCUCCGGGGUCGAGGAUACGGUAGGCCUUCGAGCCCUCCGCGUAGCCGAUGAACACCCCUGGGGUGCUCCUGUCGUCGAGCUUGCCGAUGUGGCCAAGCUCCUUGGCGAACGCGAGGCAGCCGAAGACCCGCAGAUGGGAGACCGCCGGCUUGCGCCCAUGCCAAGCCUCGUACGGUGUCCUGCCAUCGAGGGCCUUGGUAGGCGAGCGGUUGAGGAUGUAGGCUGCCGUCACCACCGCCUCCCCCCAGAAGAUGGCCGGCAUCCCCCUCUGCUUGAGGAGGGCCCGAGCCAUCCCCACAACCGUCUGGUUGCGCCGCUCGACAACGCCGUUCUGCUGCGGGCUGUACGGCGUGGUGUAGUGGCGCUGAAUGCCCUCAUCAGCGCAGUACGACGCGAAUUCAGCCGCUGUGAAUUCGCCGCCGUUGUCGGUGCGCAGCACGCGCAGCUUGCGGCCGCACUCCGCCUCUGCAGCAGCCUGCGCAUGCCUGAUGGCGUCCGCAGCCUCUCCCUUGCUGCCGAGGACCAUCACCCACAUGUAGCGGGAGAGGUCGUCGACGAGCAGCAGGAAGUAACGUCGUCCUCCUGGUGUGGCCGGUGUCACUGGGCCACACAAGUCCCCGUGCACGAGCUCGAGCCACUCCUUGGCUCGGAAGCUCGUCUGCUGGGGAAAGGGGAGCCGCCGCUGCUUCGUCACCACGCAAACGUCGCAGAGCUGCUCCACGUGGUCAAGGCACGGCAUGCCUCGCACCAUCUCCUUGGCACUGAGCUGCUUCAGGGCCUCGAAGUGGAGGUGCCCGAAGCGCUCGUGCCACUGCCACGCCUCGUCGUCCCGACGAGCGGCGAGGCAAACUGGUUGUGCGACCUGCGCGCUGAGGAUGUAGAGUCGAUUAGUGCCUCUGGUUACCUUGGCAAGAAGGCGACGACGGCGAUCCCAAAUCCUCAUGAGUCCGUCCUCGACCAACACGCGUGAGCCGUUCUCAUCCAGCUGUCCCACGCUGAUGAUAGAAUUCCUCAAUGCGGGGAUGUAGUAGAUUCCGGUGAGCAGCCUGUGCUCACCGGACUUGGCGGUGAAGGUGACGGAGCCAACACCCUUGAUCUCCACGCCGGAGGCGUCCCCGAACUUGACGGAGCCUCGGACGCCGGAGUCGAACUCGGUGAAGAACUCCCGUCGGCUGGUCAUGUGAUGGGUGGCGCCGGUGUCGAGGUACCACUCAUCAGCCUUGUCGUUGCUGGAGCCGUUGCAGAGGGAGACGAGUACCUUCGGCUCAUCAAGGUGGAGGAAAGCCGCUGCGGCCGGUGCCGCUGGAGGUAGCUCGAUGCUUGCGUGAGCCAGGAGCAGAGCCGGCUCUUCCUCUUCCACCUGUGCGACGUGGGCCUGGCCGCGUCGUGGCUGUCGAUAGUCUUUGGCCCAAUGGCCAAGCUUGCCACAGUUGCGGCAGGCGUCGUCUCGUGCCUGCUUGUGGUUGCCGGUGGCAACGCCCUGGGCGCCUCUGCGGGCGCCACCCUCGGCACGUCUUCGCGCCCACCGUAGCUGGACACCUCCCCGCGCCUUGCGCGGCUUACGGCCGCCUGUCGGGGAAGAUGACUCCCUCUUCCUCCCGUCACCCUGAGAGGCCUCCCACUGCUCCCGAGUGAGAUGGAGCUUCCCGCCGAUGGUGAUGGGCCCCGAGAGAGGCUGUGGCUCAUCACCAUCGACGACCUUGAGGCGACCUAACGCCUCCUCGAUCGACAUUGUGGAGAGGUCCAGCAGAGAUUCGAUCGAGCGAGCGAUCUGCCUGUACUUCUCAGGGACGCAGCGGAAGAGCUUCUCGACAGCUCUCUCCUCGUCGUAGGUGUCGUCGCCGUACUGCACCAUUUUCUGCAAGAGAGUGUUGAGACGGAGAGCAAAGUCAUCAACAUCCUCACCUGGCUUGAAGGCCAGGUUCUCCCACUCCUUGCGGAGUGCCUGCAGUGUGGACUUGCGGGCGCGGUCGCUGUCGAUGCGUGCCGUAGUGAUGGCGUCCCAGGCCUCCUUGGCAGUCCGCUUCUGGGAAAGCGAGAACUGCAUCUCGGGCGGGACUGCAGCGAUGAGGGCAUCCAGUGCCUGCCGAUCCUCGUCGUAGUCGACGUCGCCGUACCGGACUGCCUCCCACAUGUGCCGCACCUGGAGCCUCACCCUCAUCACCGCGGCCCACUCGAUGUAGUUGGUUUUGGUGAGGGUAGGCCACCCACCGCCGGGACCAAAGUCCCUGACCACCGUCUGGACGCCGUGGUGACCAUGGCGCCGGUCAGGGGAGAGCCGCGCUGUCUGUGAGGGCCACGUGUGGGCUCCGGGCUGCCGCCGGCACGCCCGCGCCCGUCUGGGUUCCCGUCGGCGGGCGCGCGGUCCCUUGGGCCGCCGCCACCGCCGUGGAGGUGGGCUGCUGCCCACCGCUCUGCCCGCUCCCGUGCCCUUCCUCUUGCCAGCUCCUCAAGCUCCCUGUCGGCGGUGAUGUCGCCGGCGAUGGAGCCGUUGAUGCUGCUGCGCAAGGUCUCAACCUCUACCUCCGCCGCACGUGCCGCAUCUUCCGCCGCCUCCGCCUCCGCCUCCGCCCUGGCUGCUGCCAACUCCGCUGCCGCCAGUCUGGCCGCCCUCGCUGCUGCUGCAGCGGUCUGAGCCGUUGCUCGCCUGCGCUCUUCUGCUGCGGCGAGCUCGGCGUCCUGCUGACGCUGAGUGCUCGAGGCGACCGAACGCCGAGACCGAGCGUCGGACAUGGCGCACCUCCGGGGGGCUGCUGCGUGGAGAGGGGGAAGGGAAAGGGGAAGGAGGAGCAACCGGUGCUGCUGCUGCUGCUGGCUGAGAGCUCAACCGAGCUUGGGAAGGGGUGGAACAAGAGAUGUUUAGCCUAUAGGAAAGUGUGGCUCUGAUACCAGAUGUUAGAAUUUCAAUGGUUACUCUCAUUGAGAAGAGGAUGGCACUCGAGAUGGGGCAAUUUUCUGGUUUUCUUCAUUCACAAAACACAAAAGCCAUACCUACCCGAGGGAGGUUGGAUACAUAUAUAUAGCCAUAGCUGGCUGCUAGCCUAUUGCUGCACCCUCCUAGUCUAAAAUUCGAAAUUUGAAUGGGAUGCUGUCCUAGAGGGCAUCCAAACUGAAUAAAGCAUAAAGGAGGCAUAAAGGAGAUACUAACUGCUGCUGUCCUACUAACCGCAGCUGUCCUAGCAACUGAAAAAUAUGCUAAAGGGUAGAUGCUGUCCUGAAAAAGGUGAAACUACCCAAAAGCAAAAAGAAGAAUCACGACCAAGGACCACAAAGACUUAUCCAACACACCUAUCUUUAGUAAAGUUUCUAUAGCAUAAACAAUGCUGCCUUCUUUGGAGGAUCUGUUUUUCCAAUCACCUCCUUUUAUCCAACAUGAUAAGUACUGAUGGUGUUUGGGGUAACUGGUUUCCCAUGCUAAUGCAGUUAGAACAAGUAUUUUCUUGUAGAAGUAACAUGGUACUUCCUCCAUGCUUUCUUACUUCUCAUUUUAAGACAUCAAUAAGAUAUCAAUUACCCACACCCAUUUGACCAUUCCUUUUUCUAGUUAUAAGUUCUCAAAGAUUACCUUUAUGAGACAUCUACACAAUGUCAUCUGCACAUGGCACAUCCAAAUAGGUUCGCUGCACACUCUAAAACAUCAUGUAAAUAAGUAUGGAUGAAAUAAUGAAAUAUCUUUUGCAAUGUAGGAUGUGAAAGAUGAACCUUUUAACUUUGUUUUGCUUGAUGGUACAUGGAGUAAUUCUGCUGCAUUAUACAGAAGGCUCAAGGUUAGUUCAGUGAGUUUCACAUUCAACGUAAUGCACUCCCUCUUUAGUCUGGAUUUCUGUUUACAUCUAAACAUUAUUUGUUCAUGUUAUCUUGAUACCAUGAUUCAGACUAGAUAGUUUACUAAAACAACUGAAAGCUCCAGUGAGCUCAUUGCGUAAUUAAAUUAUAGAUAAUUCCGAUUUCCAUAUAGGUAGUUGGGUGGGCUCAUUACCUAGUUAAGUAAGUAAUUCUGAUUUUUGUGUGUCUGGAAAGUAGCAACAUAUGUGUCUAGGUGCAUUUGUUCAGUGAUACAUGAUACAGACAUACAGUAUUGGAGCAUGAAGAAUCUGAGAGAUAGUAUGAUCUCCCAGAAACAGCCCAGUAGACCUGUAGACUGUAAAUGUUUCUGCUUCUCCUCCCAUCAGGAUUCCUAAGCUUUGUUAGCAGGAACCCCAAUGCCACUUCGACUGCUAAUCCACUUGGUCCAGUCAUUCCAGUCAUCUACCAUUUUCUGCCAAUCAAAUCCUGAUGGAUUGAAGAGCCAAGUGAUAACCAAGAGCUAUAUUGAUGAUGUCAGAAGUAUAUAGGCAGAUGAAUCCGUAGCAACAUCACCUUAAAACUGAUAGACUACUAGCAGCAACAUCAGCUCAAGUCCUUUCACAAAGUGGCUUCUGAAGUACAUUCUGUAUUUCUCAGUCAACCUUACAUGGCGAACAAAAAAACAUCUGCCAGUUGCUCUAUAUUUUGCACCACCAUGGAGAAUUGUGUGUCGAAAAUAAUGUGACUUGGUCCCAAGGUAGAAAGUGAAGAACACUGAACAGAGCUGAAGCGUCAUGAUUAUGAAAUCCCCCAGGGUGCUUCUGAAACCUCUUGCUAGUUCAGUCUUGGCUAAGGUCAUCAAAAGAUCUAGCUGCACAAUUGACUGAGAUCCCAUAGCUUCUUGAAUUGCACUAUUCCCCCUCAUCCAUGCUUGCUUCAUAAUUGAAAACUCAGUCCACUAUUAGCUAGGUAAAGUCUUCCAGAUUCAGGACUAUUUUUGAAGGAACUAAAAAUAAUGCUCCACCUGGAAUCUGAAGAGGCUUACUAGAUUAAAAAACCAUGUCAAGGAACGCUUGAUGCUACAUCAUGAUUCACGGAAAAAGAAAACAAAUAUAACAGGGAGUCAGCCAAAUCAUCCUUAUUUGAUAAGAUAAGGCAGAUGGUAUGAUCAAACUACCUGUUCUACAAAGUGUCUGCCCUCUAAGAGAAGCCCAAUGACGAAGCUGUAGGACGUUUUCCUCAUUUGCCCCGACUUCACUUCCUCUUUUGGAAUUAAUUCUUCCCAUGAAAUUAUUCCAUCCAUAGUCAUCAGGAAUCAUAAUUAAAGAAAGAGUGGAAAACUUGGUAACUUAAUAACAAAUAAUUGAAGCAUGAAGAUUGAAGGGAAACAAAACAGAAAGGAAACCUGGAAAGAGAUCUUUUGUAGAUAGAAUAUAAUUGUUCACCAUCUUCAUUCUCCAGAUCAAGAUCACUUUUGGAAUAUACUGUUUUUUCACUGUAGUAGGGAGUCAUAAUACUGCCAAGUACAUAGAGUGACACUGACACACAAUUAUGUGGGCUUCAAUCUUUUUUAUUGAAAUUCUUAUUAUAGUACACUUGAACAUAACAGGGUUAUGAGAUAUUACCAUGGUGAAUUAAUUUUUUUUAUCUUAUCAAAGAAUUCUUUCAAUUUCCGUAGAGAAUAGUAUCUGAUCCGAACAGAAGGGGCGGGAAACAACUGUAGCUCCCUGAUUCCAUACACAAGUUAGGCUGUGUUCUUCCCCAACCUUUCCCAACUCAACUCUCUCGUUUUCCGCGCACACGCUUCCCAAACUACUAAACGGUGCGUAUUUUGAAAAAAAAAAUUCUACAGGAAAGUUGCUUUAAAAAAUCAUAUUAAUCCAUUUUUCAAGUUUAUUUUAGCUAAUACUUAAUAAAUCAUGCACUGAUCGUCGCUCCGUUUUGCGUGUUGGGAGUGAAGGUUCCCAACCCUCGCUCCCGAACUCAGCCUUAGAGCCUUAUGAAAGAGGGAAGACUGUUAUUAAUAGCAACUUUUCUUCAGACAAAAAAAAACUGCUAUUUGAGGGAAUGCCGCAUGGGCCCUAUAACUUACUUUUCUAUUUCCAACCAAAGCUAGAAAAGCAGCGCAUCUAUCCCGAGUUUUCCUUUGUCUAUCCUGAGUUUUCGUGUCUAGCUUGCUUUCUCACUCCCCAUAACGGCGUUCAAAGAAAAUCUCAUUCUGAUCCUAUAACUUAUAACUAAGUAGUGUACUAAAGAGAAGACUAGGAUGAGUAAGCCCUUACCUCAAGUCUAUGUGUGGCAACUAGCUAUAUUACUAUUUAUUAGUCAGACUUUUUCUUGAUGGGCCUAUUGCCGCCUAUUUAGGAUAAUAAUAAAGUCUUCUACAAUUAUUGGCACAUUGGCAUAUAGUUACUCCUAUUAGUGAGAAUUGUAUUCGGAGGAGAGAACCUUGCGCUAAAAGGGCUUUGAUUUAUGGUAUAGAUUAGGAAUUGGAAUAAAUAAGGCUAACUACAAGAGAGAAGAGGGUCUACAGCCAUUCUAUGUCAACACUGAAGAAUAAGACAUCUAUCCUUACUCUUGCAUCAACAUAAGACAAUCUUCAAGGGAGGAGAGUAUAUUGAAUAUGAGGCUGCCCUUUGGCAAACUCAUAAUAAGGCUGAUGAAAGCGAAGCAGAAUUGAAAACAAAUAUGGUACUCCCUCUGUUUCAAAUUACUUGUUCUAUAUUUGUACUAAGUCAAACAUUUUAAUCUUUGACCAUCAAUUUCUAUAAACUCAUACUCCCUCCAUUCCAAAAUAUAAGGCACAACCACCAUUAACCCAAAGACCAAAAAAUAAUUAUUAUCAUCUUAUAGUUUAGAUCAUCCUAAUAAAUAUAAUGCAUGCAUCCGAUAGGAUUAGAUAACAUAGAGAGUGGAAUAUUUUAAAAAAGUAGUAAUUUAAUAGAGAUAUGUCAUAGUUAAUUGCAUGCUUGCAUGCAUGCCUUAUAUUAUGGAACAUCUAAGAAAAGUGGUUCUGCCUUAUAUUAUGGAAUGGAGGGAGUAUAGUUUAACAUUAUAAGAUUUAUAUUUUUAGAUUCACCAUGAGAAAUACUUCUAUAAUAUAUAAUUCACAUGUUAAACUACACAAUUUUCUAAAAAUUAAUGGUCAAAGAUAGACAUGUUUGACUUAGGACAAACCUUGAAACGACAAAUAAUUUGAAACGGAGGGAGUACGCUGUUGAUCCUUAUAGCACAUCUUGACUCUGACCAUCUCUAAGGUCAACCUUAUGGUUUGAUGGAAUAAGUCUUGUGGCUGAUUAGUCUUUGCAUCUUUUUACUUUUUCAGCUUUUAGGAUGCUCUAGGCAUAAUCUUCGUUUUCACUUUCUGUUUUAGAUGCUCUAGGACAGCAUCUUCCUUUUUCACUUUCUAGGACAGCAUCUAGACUAGCUCUAGGAUGCUCUAGACUAGCUGCAGCCAGCCAGCUACCAGCUAUAAAUAUGUAUCCCACCCUCCCCCGAGAUGGUAUGGCAUUCAUGAGAAAAUAAACAGAAAAUUGCCCCAACUCUCCUAGCGCCAUCCUCUCAAUGAGAGUAAAGAUUUUGCUACUAACAAGUGGUAUCAGAGCCAUUCUAUCCUGUAGCCUAGACAUCUCUUGCUCAUCCCCUUCUUGAGCUCCCCUCUGUCCUCAGCCGGCAGCAGGAACACCGACUGUUCCUGCUCAUCCCUUUUCCCCUGUGCUGACAAGCAGCAGCUCAUCAGAGGCAGCCUCUUCCCCACGUAGCAGCCUCCCAGUAGCGUGCCAUGUCCGUAGGACAGUCUCAGCGCUCGGUCGCCUCGAGCGCGCGGCUCCGGCAGGAGGCCGAGCUCGCCGCGGUAGGGGAACACGAGCGAGCGGCGGCAGAGACUUCUGCGAUGGUAGCGAGAGCAUCAAGGCUGGUGGCGGCGGAAUUGGCGGCGGCAAGGGUAGAAGUGGAAGCAGCGGCAGCGGCAGAUGCAGCGCGUGCGGCGGCGGCAGAGCUCAAGGCUUUGCGCGACAGUAGCACCAAUAGCUCUGUCUCCGCCUCCGACAACACCGAUGAUGAGCUGACGAGGGAGGCAGCUCGUGAGCGGGCGGAGCAGUGGGCAGCUGCGCAUGCAGGGCCGGCCCUGGCGGGGGGCGAGCGGUGCCGCCGAUCUGGGCCCCCAGAUUGCAGGGGCCCCCACCCACCUCCCCCACCCCCCUCCCUCCCGCGUCCCUGGGCCACAGAUCGAGCGCAUGCAUGCGCGGAAGCCGGAAAGCGAAGCGCCCCGCGGUGAAAAGAAAACAGAAACGCGCGUGAUAGCCGCCGCCCACAUCCCCUCCUCUACUCUUCACGCGCACGCGCUCAGCGAUCGGCGACCGGGCGAUGGCGAAUUGGCGAAAAGCCAAAAAUCAAAACUGCAUCGCGUGUCGCCGGCGGCCGGUGCCAACGUAAUUCACUCCAUGGCCAUCACCAGCUGCUCGGCACCGACGCAAUCUCCCUGGUUGCUGCUGCCAGCUGCUCAGCGACGACGCAAUCUACUGCGUCGCUGCUGCUCGGCAUCUCCUAAGCCUCCAUCGCCUGCCUUCCCCUCGGAAGGUUAGUAAUCAGCACACCAAUACACCAUCUCCGUAGCCCAAUUAUUAAUUUAAUUACUGCUGUCUAAUCUCUCGAUAUCAAAACAUAAACAUAUGUAGGUCAUCUCGACGCAUGGCGUCGCGGGCAUUAGCGCUUAAUUGUUUGUUUUGUAGUAGUAUGUUAAGGGCCCCAACAUUUAGUUUCGCACUGGGGCCCUGAAAACUCAGGACCGGCCCUGCGCGCAUGGAGAGAGAUGUAUGUGGCUCCUCACAUACAAACUGAAUCUGAGAGACGUGCUCAAUCAUCCGCAUCAGGUGAGGAGCAUAUGGAAGCCCCCUCCUGUACUGAAGAGAUGCCAUGCGGAUUUCCUCCCAAACAAAUUGAAAUACAUGAAAAGGGACGACAGGGAGGAUUGAACCUGAGGAGUACGGAGCGGGAGUAAUGGUUGAUGUUGUUUGCAUCACCAUCCUUGGGAGUCAGAGUCCGCCUCAAGAUGCGGUCAUGGCAUCUCUUCAGUACAGGAGGGGGCUUCCAUAUGCUCCUCACCUGAUGCGGAUGAUUGAGCACGUCUCUCAGAUUCAGUUUGUAUGUGAGGAGCCACAUACAUCUCUCUCCCUGCGCUUACCCAAGCGUUGUUCUGUGCCUCAGGACAUCCCCUCCACAUCCUCUCAGCCUCCUACUACCUCGUGAGCGUCCCUCUCUUGUGGCUCGUUGUGAGCAGUCUCCCUUAUUCCGCAUUUUGCUGAGUCUCUUUGGCCUUUGCUCUGCGGAGGCCAAAAAGAACCGCAGAGCGUGGAACGAGGUCAAGAAGACGGCUCGGCGCGUCAAGAACAUGUAGGCGCAGCUCAAUGAGCAUUUUCACGUGGAUGUCUCUCCCUCCCCUUCGGGCUUUGAGGCCGAGCCCGAUGAGCAUGGGUAGGAAGAGAUCGAGGAUCCUUUUGCUGGGAUGCCUCCGGAUUACGAUUUCUUCAAUUUUGGCCAUGGCUUUCGCUAUCCUCCUCUUGAGGAUCCUCCCAGGCGCCGUUUGUCUGAGUUUCUCUCUUCGUCCUCUCUUUUUGGUGCUUCGAUGCCAAAAAGGGAGAAUAUCUAUCCUUUUAUUAUGGUCGAUCAUAGUUGGUUUUUCUUUGUAUAAGACUAUGUGUGGUUCUUGAGUUAGUUUAAUGUUAUUGUAAGACCUUAUUGUUUAAUUAUGGAUGUUUGGAAUGUAAUGGAUAUUAUUAUGCUUUAUGAUUAAUGUGAUGCAAUGUCUCAUUUCCUUUAUAUUGUGCUUGUGAUGAGAUGUAAUGGUUAUUAUGCAUAUGAAGUGAUGUAUGUGAUGAGUAAAAUGUGAUAUAUUUGUUGUCUUGUGAGAUUCAAUGUGGAUGCAAAGAUUUACGGGGAGCUCUUCACUUGCUUUAAUGCACACUUUGAGGGGGAGCUUUCACUAAACCUUUGCACCAAAAUCAUCUAUUAUAUUCAUUCUCUCUUGUGAUCUAAUCGUAUUGUCAUCAAUCAGCAAAAAUGGAGAGAUUGGAAGUGCAUCUAGGCCCCUAAUGAUUUUGAUGAUUGAUUACAAUACGAUUAGAGAGGACUAACUUUUUAUUCAAGCAAAUGUGAAGGUUGUUAUUUCCUCGACGUGUUGUAAUGUGAUGCAUACUAGUAGCCAAGUCCAAUUACAUGUAUUAUCAGUAAGAGUACAUUAUAAUAUAAAGAUAAGAAAUAUUUGAAAAUAAAAAACCUCAUUGGCAAUUAGAAAAAACCAAUUACUCUUAAUUUUUAUCCUAAAAAUGCCUAGACAACAUACCUAUAUUGGAAUAAUAUAUCCAGAUAAUCUGUAGACAGUAUACCCAUAUUUGAAUAAAAUGAUAACAAAGUAUAUCACAUACCUAAUACAUAUUAAUAUUCUUGAAAGUUUUAGGAUAAUUAGUAAUUCCUAAGAAAUAUCAUUGCUUGAGUUUUCGCUAACUCUGUUUUAUCAUUGGAAAAAGUACGAAUUACCCCCUGAACUAUCGCGGUCAAUCGAAUUACCCCCCUGAACCCAAAAACCAGACAUUACUCACCCCCAACUUUUAAUACCGGACGAAUUACCCCCCUCAACACAGUUUUGAGCGGUUUUCACUUGAGUUUGCACACGUGGCGUCUACGUGGCAAUCCAGUCAGCAAAUAAAAAUAAAAAUGCCUUCCUUGGUCCCACCUGUCAUACCCCUCUCUCUCCCGUGUGCACGCUCAGGCAGGCGGCUCCGCAGGUAGGCAAUGGCGGCCGACGACGGAGGCGAAGGCCGACUAGGCGCCGGCAUGGUCCCGUUCAUGCGACUGCCUCCUCACGACCACUCGCGCAUCGGCUCGCCGCCGCGGCUCCUGACAGUGGGGAGAUGGUUGCGGGAGUCGUAGAAAGGGCCGCGUCGGCGCCGCGGCGCACGUCUCCGUGGAGCUCGUCAUGGGCUACGUCGGCAACAUCCCCGGCCUGCCCUACGAGAGCCUGGCCAUCGCUGACCCGCUCUCCCCCGACGCCGUCCGCGCCUUCGCCGCCUGGAUGUGGCCGGCCACCGUGUUCCCGGAGGAGGCGGUGCUCGCGUACACGGAGAAGCUGACAGCGGUGGAGGCUGCGGUGCGGCGGAUGGUGCGACGGUGGAGGCGCUGGAGGUGGCGGUGCAACGUCGGCGGAGGCCGGGGAGGCGCAGGCAGCGGCGAUGGCGUUCAUGCUUCGGCUGUCGGAGUACGUGGCGCCUGGCAGUGGGGUGGAGGUCGGCGGGAGGCUGGGGCUCCCUGCGCACCAGGACACGAGCUUCCUCGCCGUGGUGACGCAGAACGGCGUCGACGGCGUCGAGGUGGAGUGUGGCCGCUGUCCGCCUCCGCUGCCGGCUGCCUGCCGCCUCCACCUAUGGCUGCCUGGUCCGCCACCGCCGCCGGCUGCCCAGACGAGGUGGCGCCGGCGUUGGCGCCGACGUCCUUGAAGAAGGCGACCUUGUUGAGGGCGGACUGGCCGUAGAAUUGGGAGGCCUUGAGUGCCGAGGAGUAGACGGCGAAGCAGUAGGAGCUCCCCGCAAAGCACUGGAUCAGCGCGCUCGCCGCCAGCGACUACCACCGCGAGCGCGAGGCCAUCGGCGGCGUCCGGGAUUGCUUGAUCCUUGAGAUGGAAUUGGAGCAUGUGGUUACGUGGAUGAGUAGGACACGCACUCCACUCGCCUCGUAUUGAGCAUCUGAGAGAGAUAGAGACAGUGUGAAGAGAUGACACGUGGGCCCAUUAAUUAUUUUUAUUAUUUUUUUCUGAUCGGAUUGCCACGUGGACGCCACAUAGAUGUAAAACCACUCCAGUUUGUAUUAGGGGGGUAAUUUAUCCGGUUUAGAAAGUUUAGGGUGUAAAAUGUCCGGUUUUGUGGUUCGGGGGGAUAAUUCGUACUGUCACGAUAGUUCAGGGGGGUAAUUCGUACUUUUUCCCACUUAGAUUUGAAAAGUAUUCUUGAUAAGAUCACAAAGUCCAGCACCCUGCACCAUUACUCGAAAUCUCAAGACAAAUUCCAGAUCCCAUUCACAGUAUAGAACAGGUUUGGGCUUGUAUCAUCUUGGCCACAAAAGAAAGAUUGAGAUUAAUGAUCUAAUUUGCUUUUUUCCAAAGGAGAAAUUUUAAUUGUCUUCAAUGGCAAGGGCCUUUUUGGCUGGGUUCCAAACUGUAUUUUCUCCAAACCAGAAACUGAUGCAAAUGGGUGGUAUUAGAAGUAGAUAUUUUCUUAUGCGAUGACUUGCAGAGAUUUUUUGAUUGAUUUGGUAAAUUGUGCUGGUAGAAAAAAAAAUGGCCAUGAUCCCUUUAUCAAAUAAAGGAAGAAUUAUUGGGUCUGUGAGCACAGAUCAAACCACUCAACAUGAAUGGUUCUUUUGCAGAUGUGUUUGCAAUUUGUAGAUGAAAUCAAAUGAUAUUUCAUUGUUGUUUUGAUAGUGAUUCUGCACCAUUGAUGUUUCACUUUUUAAUUUUGUCAAAAAGAAAACAAUAUUCUCGUGCGAUCAACUCAUCACCAAACUUAAUACAUCAAGUGAAUUACUACAAAAGAAAGUUUAAGGCAAGCGAGCACUAUAAAUGAACAAAAAGAAGCUAGCUCAGACCAAAAAUGGAUGGGUUUCUAGCUUGGCUUCUAAAGGUUCCUAAGGGCAGACAACCAAAAGGAAGCUUCUGAGGAUUGAGGAAGCACUAGCCAGUAGCCACCCCAAACAGGUCCAUUGGUGGACUACUUGAUUGUACAACAUGAGCACCUUUAUCAGGCAGGUUUCUUUUGACUCUGAUGCUUGACUCUGAUUUCGGUCACUUCCAUUUAAGUCUCAGCCAAUUGUCCUAAUAUCUUUAGACAGCGAUAAUUUGUUGUCAUCUCAGCAUUUGGGAACUCUUUAUUCCUCAAAGCUCUAAUGCUUAUGCAACAAGUAGAUAAAACGGAACACAACUACAUCCAGUUUGUUCAGCUAAGUAAACCCUAAUGUUAACGUUUUAUACAGGAGAGAUGGACUGCAAUAUGGGGAGAGGAAGACAUACCUUGUAUCUCACUGUCUACGCUUAGCGCCUCAGUCAUGCAUAAGCUAAGGUGAGGUGACACAAGUUCUUCCUACAUUAUUGCUUUAAACAAUUUUCUUCUUUGGCUGCCUGCAACUCACUUCUGUUGACAUUGCUCUCAUAUUAGACCGCAGCCAGCGUGGGAUCGUACGUGCACCGCAGCAGCAGCUUCUGGCCUCCUCUGGGAAUUGGAUAUGCGGUCCGAGCUCGGUGCCUUUGAGCUGGGAAAGCAGGCUGAAGCUGUGGAGUGUUCAUUGGAUGUCUUGCUUGAUGCUCUCACGGCACGACGGCUUCGCCUGGGACGAUCUAUAACCCGAAAACAGAGGCAUAAUAGGAACUGCAUAUAGUUGCAUGCCUGGAAGCCUGGGUUCAUUUUUUUGCAGAAUAGGAAAGCUGAUUAGAUAGUUAAAGCGUAUUCCUUCACUCUUUUGAGGUCACUAGCAACUGCUGAAAUAUGGAAAACAUUCCUUUUGGCGGGAAAUUAAUAUGGAGAAAUCUUUUCAGCUGUGAUGUUAGCAAAAAACUGAAACAGCAUAUUCAAAGGUUGUAAAACAUUUCUUUUGGCAGGAAAUUAAUCUGGAGAAUGCCUAAGUUUUCAGCUGUGAUACCAACAGACUGAAACAGCAAAGGUUGUGCGGAUUUGUAGUGCUGAAAAGAACAUCGAAUACAAAUUAUCCUAUAAUGCUCUGCAGCGAUAAAAGUUCCUAUAAUGCUCUGCAGCGAUAAAAGUUCAUCGUUCUGUUUUUAUGACCUCCAUAAUCAAUACCGCCUAUCAUUUCGUUGUGUGAAAAAUUUAUUCCCUUUCUGGCUACGGAGCCAAAUUUCGGCGCUUGAUAGCAGGGUUUGAAAUUUCGGUUCGAAAUUUCGGAAAUUUCGCCCCCACCGAAAUGCUCAUAUCUUGUCCGAAACUUUCGGUUUUUUUGUAAUUUUUUGUGAAUUUGAUCAAAUUUUAUUCAGAUACAUUCAAAAUCAGUCAAAAUUUCAAAAAAUUUCGUACGAAAAAAAAAAUCUGAAAUUUCCAAAAUUUCAGUUCUAUCGCCCACCUGCGGUAGAAAUCCUACUUUCAAAAUUACAAACCCUGCUUGAUAGGAAAUCACUAUAUACGCUGAAGAAAAAAGGCUUCAACGAUUGCUGGGCUCGACAACCCCGAACAGAACAGUUCAAUGUGUAAAUUUUCGAGAUGAAAUAAAGAGCAAGUUUCACGAAACAUAAGCGAAAGAUAGUAAUGUUUCAGGAUCAACUAAUAUAGAAACAGUCAAAAUUGUCAACCUCAUUCAGCAUCUGCUUCCUAAAUGAAAAGAGAAACAAGAUGGUCAAGCUUAAUAUCCCAAUAUGUAUUGGAACUUAUCAGCAGAGUAUAUUUACACUUACAUACAAGUACUCAGCUUACAUUGCAUAAAGAGCAGCUAUAGUGGAAGUAAAAACUAUAUACAGACAAAUUACCCUCGGCGCUUGCUGAGGCGCCAUGAGUUUGGCUCGUUGUAUCUGUCAUACAGAGGCUCAAUCCUUUCUUGGCGCUUCCGCUUACUGAUCUUCGUUGGGUCUGCAGAUCUGUAGAACCUCGGUGCCAGUUCAACAAGCCAUCUUGGGUCAAUGGCUGUCACCUCCCUCAUGUACUCUUUUGUGGUCAUGACGACUUCAUGAUAGAUAACCCACUCUGGUUGCUGCUGGAAGAGAGCGCUGGCAGGGUGGAUAUACACCUGCUGAUGAUCAGCAAUGGUCCUGUAUCCUCCCUGGGGAUCCUUCCUGGCAGCGUGGAAGAAGAAGCCAGCAGUGAUGGCUUUCCUCACCUUGGUGAGAUCAUUCCCUGCAGAGACAACGUUAAGCUUAUACUUGUCCAUAAUCUCAAGGAGCUGUUUUCUGACAUCCUGUGCUCUCCUCAGGGAUGUUAGCUGGACAAAAUUCUCAUAGCACCAUGGACCUGAAAACUGCUUUGCCUUCCACGCCUGAUACACGGUGAGCAGGGUGAGGUGAUCCCCUUCUGGUUGGAAAAAGUUGCCCCUUUUCCGAUCGGCUUGAGCUUGUUUUUCCCUUGGCCGGUAGAAUAUGUUCCCAGUUUGAAUCAUCGCAAUGAUGGUCAGUAUUUCAUCACUGCAUCCGAGGUCCACACUAGCAAGGAGCAUCUUUGAAAGUGGUGGUUCUUGUGGAAACUCCGCCAUCCUUCUCCCUACUCUUGUAAGGAGACCCUCCUCAUCUAAGGCACCAAGGUUGUACAGUUGUUCCAUUGCAGUUAUGAGUGAUUGAGGAGCUGGGGGGUCCAUGAAGUCAAAUGACAGUAGAUCGUUUAUUCCCAUUGCCUUCAUAUUGAGGACCGUCUCCCCCAAGUUGAUCCUCUGAAUUUCUGGAGUAGUUGUGGGGGGCAUUUCGUUGCGAUAGGCACUUUCAGUGUAUAGACGAUAACACUUUCCUGGGCCUGUACGUCCAGCACGCCCUGCCCUCUGUUUAGCUGAUGCUUGAGAUAUCGGUGUGAUGAUCAGUGAAUCCAGCCCUUGUUUUGGGUUAUACACAUUGAGUUUUGCAAAUCCUGGGUCAAUUACAUAAUAUAUCCCAUCUAUUGUAAUAGAUGCUUCCGCUAUGUUAGUGGCCACGACCACUUUCCUCUUCCCAGGAGGAGUAGGUUCAAAGAUCUUUGACUGCAUUUCAGCUGGCUGAGCACUGUACACUGCAUAUAUCAGCAAUUCUGGUACAUUCCUACCUAGAGACUUCAUCCUCUCAUAGAGACACUGACAGGCAUGAUCAAUCUCUUCCUGGCCAGUUAAGAACAAGAGGAUAUCACCUUCAGGUUCAGUCAGAUGGAUCUGUGAUACUGUGAGCAGCGCAGCAUGCAUGUAAUCACUCUCUGGCUGUUUUGAAUAGAGUAUCUCCACAGGAUAUGUUCUUCCGGGAAUUGUAAAAAUAUUACAAUCGAAGAAAUAUCCAGAGAACUUCUCUGCAUCAAGAGUGGCGGAAGUGACUAUUAACUUGAGAUCAGUUCUACGCCUAAUUAGCUUCUUGAGUAAGGCAAAGAGAAUGUCUGUAUAUAUAGUCCUCUCAUGUGCCUCAUCAAGCAUGACCACGGAGUAACUAGAGAGGUCAGUGUCCAACAAAAUUUCACGAAGGAGCAUGCCAUCCGUCAUGUACUUAAUGACAGUAUCUGGUCCAGUGUGAUCAUCAAAACGUAUUGAGUAACCAACUUCCUCUCCCAAUCGGCAACCAAACUCUUCCGAUACUCGCUUGGCAACUGACUCUGCAGCGACCCUGCGAGGCUGAGUACAUGCAAUUUUCCCCCUCGUAAUAUAGCCUGCCUCAGCAAGGUACUGUGUAACCUGGGUUGUUUUCCCUGAACCGGUCUCACCAAUAACAACCAGAACUUGAUUGUCACGAACAGCUUCGAUAAGCUCAUUCUUCAGCCUGAAUAUUGGAAGACUCUGCCUCUGUUCCAGGAUUGAAAGCCUUGAAGUCUGACCAAAUGUUACAGUCUUCCCAUAAGCCUCUUUCUUCCACUCUGGCAUGCUUUCAGCAGAUAAUCCAACACCGCGUAGCUCUUGUGCGAGAUACCGCCCACCGACCUCAGGCACAGGAUCCUCCCAUGGCCGAUUCAGAUCCUUUGGGAUGGAGUCAACCAAUGCUCUUUGAUCCUCGUUCCUGAUAUCACGCCACUCCUUGAUAAGCGCACUCUGCAGAACCGCCGCUCGACUCAGCGACCCAUCAGGGUUCGUGGAAAUCCUCACUGGGGACACAUCAAUUGUGGACCGACCCUGUCCCCGCAAGAAUGCUGGCUCAUCUUCAUUAAGCUCAAUCUCAAGCUCCUCCUCCACACCUUCCUCCUGGUAAUUCAUCCCCUCGCUAUCCUCAUCAUCGAACGCCGGGUAAUCCUUCGCAUUCAGAACCCCUGAAGCAAUCAGCUGCUUCAUUUCCCACCUCUCCGGCGAGCUCAUCCGCCUAAUCGGCCGCCGCGACGAUGCCGUGCCAGUCUGGUUGUCCUCGGGGAUCACAAUUCCUGACACCCCCGUCCUUCUCCUAGUGGCGGCGGCUCGAUCGGUCCACGGAUUCGCCAUCGGCCUCGGCACAUCAUCCUCCCCCCUAGCACGCUGCAACGGUAGGAGGUCCUUCCCCGUGUCCUGGUCGACGUCCCGCAUCGACAGCCCCAGAUUGCGCCCCUGCACGGACACGAUCUUGACGAACACCUCCUGCCCACGCUUCACGGCGAUUCGGCGGCCGGGCAUCUCGGAGACAUGGACGAGCCCCUCGCGGCCGCGCGCGUCGUCGAGGCGGACGAAGCACCCGGCGUCCGCCAGGCCGGUGACCUUCCCGCGGCACACCUGGUACAGCCCCGGAUCCCCAUCUCUCACCCGCUCCUCCGCCUUGUCCUUCCCGCAAACCCUUGCACCGGUGCCACGGGAGGCAGGGUUUUGGGGGGCGGGGGCGGGGGCGUCGUCGGCGUGGGUAGGGAUGGCGUGGAUGACGGUGUGGAGGGUGCGCGCGAGGUAGUCCGGCAGGUCAGCGCCGUGGGCCUUGAGCUUGGCGUCGAAGUCUGCGACGGAAGGGGAUGCGCGGCCCAGGUCGACGAUGAACUCCGCGAGGACGCGGUCGCCGACGCCGAGGUGCGCCUCCAGCUCCGAGCAGACCUUGGAGACGAGCGAGAGCUGCGUGAGCCGCCGGAGCCCGUCGCGCACCGCGCCGCCGGCAGGGGUCGACACCUUGGCCGCCACCAUUGGGUUGGUUUUCGCGUGUCGAACGGCCAAUAGAAGUUCUCUUGCACCUUUUCCUGUUAAGUCAGCCGGAAGGAACGAUAGUCGGUUUGGGUUCGAGUCGGUUACUAAGGGCUGAGGCCUGAGGCUAUUGCAAGCUAAUACAAAUACAUUAAAUAAAUAUAUUAAAUGUACUAGUAAUCUUGCACAUGUAAUGCACGUAUAUACCAAUAUAAAUUGUACAAAACAUACUCUGUAUUAUCUACAAUUGUUAAUUUUAACAUGCCAUCUUACAGGUGAAGCAUUUUUAUGAUUUUAUAAAUAAUAUUAAUCAUUUUAGUACAUGCCAUGAUUCUGGAUUUGAUAACUUAGUGGUAAAUUUUGCAUCCAUGAAUGUUACAUUUCACACAACCAUUUAUUUGUAUGUGGUUUCAAUCUUUUUCGAAACAAAGGCAAAAGCUUUAACAUCUUUCAUCGAUAUAGAGAACAUAAACAACACCAACGCAACAAAGGGCAAGCACCGAAACCAAUUCACUGUACAACACCUUGAGAACACCCCCAAACUAAACUACACUACAAAGCACCUGAAACUGCGGACAACAGAACACCUAGAGCAAACAACACCCAAAGCAAGAGAUCUAAAAAAAACUAAAACAGGAUUCUUAGGUCAGAGAUCUAGAACAAUAAACCGAGUGUCGUUAGCCCAAACAAGGCUACUAAAAACUCGACAUAGUUUUCCGUUAAUCCUCCUUCAAGAGCUUAAUGCAUCAUUGCAUCUAUCCAUGGGGUCUUUAUUUAUCGGCAAGCAACUUUCAAUACACCUUCAGCAAACAAUGAAUCUCCUUUUUCUAUACAAAAUCCAUCACAUGUGAAACAUUCCCUGUUACACAUAAUAUGAUGUGAGAUUUUGGCAUUGUUACACAUAUUCUCAGCAGCAGCAUGUUGUCAGUUUAUAUCAAUGCUGGGUUACCUAGCAUAUGUUCUCUUUCUAUCAUCUUAAAGCAUUAUUUUUUAAAUCCUUAAUUCUUAAAAUCUACCUAAUCAAUUGGCAUGAAUUGUGACUCAUAAAACUGAUUCCGGUGUGUGUAAUAAGAUAAAAUUUAAGGUUAUAAAACUCUGGAAUGUGGCAUAAAAUUUAUAACACGAUAAUUACUUGCUCAUGAAUGUUGGGUUACCGAUUUAUAUCGGCACUCCAUAAAUAUGUUCUCCUUCUGAUAUCUUUAGGCUAAGUAAAUUCUGGAUACGAAUAUAUGGAAGCAAAUUUGUAACAGGAAAAUUAAUCACAUGAAAGAGGAAAUUGUUAACUGCCAAGUUGCACUAUAUAUACAAAUUAUACAGUGGCUUGAGGCAUUUCUGCACUAAAAAUACUGAUAGCAAACAAAGCAGAAUACUGAAAACAUUAUCCAUAUACGUCUUGUAUAACAGGGCACCAAGCCAUAGUAAAGCUCAAGUUUUGGAUCUAGCUAACCAACCAUCUAUUAUUAUCUAACUUGUACAGUUCACACACAUUUUGGGCACAUGGAGCAUCAGUUUUCCUCCUAAUCCUAAUAAGGAUAUGGACUUGGCCUACCACAGAAAGCAAAAGUGUGGGCUGCGUACUAAUCUUAAUACAUAUUAAAAAAAUCUAAUUGACAGGCAACAUUUAAGUGUUUUAUUAGUUUAGUAAUUGUUUACAUAGCAAAUGACGACCACGAAGCACUGAAAUAAGAACUCAAAUACAUUUCAACUCUAUUCUCAUCAUAUAAGACAAUGUACGCUGCCAGUGAAUGGAUAAGAUAAUCACUCACCUUGAUGGUCCCUCCUGUUGCUUGUGUAAAAUUUUACAGACCAUUAGAUAUACCAGAUUCUGAAGGCUGUCUUAAUUCAAUUCGGCAGCAUCCUCUCCCAAGCAGCAAAAAAAACCUAUAAAUGUUCUCUUUUUUUUUCAGUGAACAAAGUGACACCUGGGACAAUCUCAAUAGAGUUUGAACAUUAGUGCAAUGAUCUAUUACUCCCCUUUACAUGAAUAUACUUACUAAAGGGUAGCUAGCAGAGUAUACAUGUGAAAACCAUUCAAACACUUCAAAGUACUCUACUUUCCUCUAGCUGAAUUAUAACCAAUACCUGAUGUUGUAGUGACACAGACAUAGUCCACAAUUAAAUCCAAAACCAAUUUCAGUACAGCAAAAGAAUGAGAUAAUAAUCAAGCCCAAACCAUGUCUCAAAAUAAACCAGAUUGCAAAUAUUGAAAAAAAUGCAGUCUUUCUACUAAGCUGACUAUGUUAUCGUGCGCGUGCAAGGCACGUUUUGGCAAUAUAAUUAACAAAUGAAGAAAAAUCUACGGGAUCUUUUUUAAUGCAAUGCACUCCAUGAAAACAGAAGGACUCAGCCACAAGAUCAUUAACAUGGCAGUAAUAAAAGUAAAAGCAUUGAGACAACUAAGGAGGUUCUAAAAGGCAGCAAGUUUCAAACAAUAGGACAUCAAGUGAGAAAUGCAUAUGUAACGGUUUGGAACAUGGGCACAGGAAGUGAGGAACUCACAGCAUCAGGCAUGGACUUGAACUUGUCACCACCAAAUCAACCAAAUCAGAACACACAUUGUAGCAGGCAACGCAGCAGAGGAACACAAACACGUCACCAAGAUACCUGCUUGACGUUGGGGUGCUCCUUGCAGUCCUUCCCUGCUGAAACAAACACGUCACACCAAAUCGAUCAGAACGCCAAAUCGAUCAGAACGCACACCCAAGCCACCUUGAAUGGAGAACCAGCAGCACAAACUCUCCUUCCUCUCCGUCGCGGCGCGAGCAGGGAAGCAGGCGGUUUGGGCAGGAGGCGGCGGCGGUGGGCGCAGCGGCUCAGGCGGGAGGAGGCGGCGGCGAGUGCAGCCGCGCGCGAGCGGAGUGGCGCCGGCGGGCGCGCAGUAGGCGAGCGGUGGGCGCGUAGAAGGCGGCGGCAGGCGGCGCCGCGCAGGAGGAUAGCUUUUCUUUUUUUUUUUUUCUUUUUCGGCGUUAGUGGAUUCUUUUCUUUUUAUUUUCGCUAACCGCUGGUUACCGACAUGGGAAUCGCUAAUUGAGGGGCAGAUCUUGAUAUAAGCUGUUAGAUGAAUCGAUCUAAGGGUCAGAAAAGAUGGGUGUUUGAUGAACUCGUACUUUUUUAUAUUAGUAUAGAUAAGUGGGAGCCAACUUAGAAUCGAGCGUUCGCUGGGGAAGAGGAAAAAUCAGGCGCUAACGUCAGCAUGACGCAUUCGUGCAAAACCACUUUAAACUAUUUUUUUCUCUUAAAUUAUUUAUCUAAAUCAUGAUUUAAUUACACCAUUAAAUUCGUUGCAAUUAAAUCUUUAAAACAAGACCACACAUGGAUAUAUUCUGACGAAAAAAAUUUAGCUUAUUAUUGAAUUAUUUUUAAAUGUUGCACGAUGUUCCACCAAGUAUAUCGGAAUUGUUUCACUAAGUAGAUCGAAAAUAUUUCAAUCGUUUAAAUCGGGCAUUGUUUCACCUUAUAUAAAAACAAUGUUUUAGCAAAUAGCGAAAGAAUGUUUCAGCUCACUGCAAUAUUAGAUCUAUACAUAGUGAAACAUUGUGAGUACACUAGGUGAAUCAUUUUUGGUGGAACAGAAAUGAAACGAAAUCCCUUAAUAGAGGGUUUCUAAAAUAUGUGGCUGAUUUGUUGCAAAAGAAUGCUUCAGUUCACUGCAACAUUUCAUCUAUACAUAGUGAAACAUUGUGAGUACACUAGGUGAAACAUUUUUGGUGGAACAAAAAAUGAAACGAAAUCCCUUAAUAGAGGGUUUCCAAAAUAUGUGUGUGAUUUGUUGCAACGGAGUAUGUGGUAGGGACACGUAGCAGGUAGACUGGGACACAUCGUGGGGCUAGGGUGCACGUGCGCGCAUGUCGUGGGGGGGAGGGAGCGACCGAUUUUUCCCCUCCCCUCCCCAGGCGACCGAGGCGUAGGAUAAUCGAUAUAAGUGAGAGAUAGAGAGAGGAGAAGAAAAUUGUAGCCAACCUUAUAGCUAAUCUCUAUUAUACACAUGGUUCAAGAAGGCGCUAGGCGCUAGUUGGGCGGAUAGGGGGCGCCUAGCGCCUAAUUGGCGCCUAGCCUCGCCUAGGCGGCGCCUAGCGGGCGCUUAGGUCGGGUCAAAUAGUUAAAUUCAAGAAAUUAGUAGGCAUAUUGCAUAGAAAUUAGACUAUAUAACACUAAAAUAGCAAUAAAACACUACCUAAGUAAUUUAACCGCCUAAUGCACCAUUGAAUGCCUAAUCGCGGCGGCUACCCGGCGCCUAGCGCCUAAUGGGCGCCUAGGCGGCGCCUAGGGCCGAUUUUUAGAACACUGAUUAUACAUGUAGGCUUUAAGAUGUAUUAGUAGGAAGUUGGCUCUACUAUUAUCCUUGCUCUAAGGGCGAUUUCAGUGCGGCCACCGCAUUUGCCGCGCUUCGGAUGCCACCUAGACCAAGCUCCUCAAACGAUACAGUGCAAGUUAUUUAUUAGGCCAUAGCCAACGCUCCACGCUAGAGUGUGGUCUCAUCCGUCCCAAGGCGAAUAUUCACGCCAGCUCGGGCGGGACCGCAUAGUUUCGUCAGCUUGUGGGCGAGGAACUGCGUUGGGGAGAUGCCUCACCCAAGCCAUCGCCCCGCGCCGGGGAAGAAGAUGGAGAAGGGGUGGACUGGAGAGAACCGCCGCCGCGUCGAUCCGACGCUACCGGGGAGGGGAGAGGAGAGAAGAGGCAGCGGGAGGAGAGUUCGAGCUGGAGUCUGGAGAGGCGUGGGGAGGGGAUUGGGGUGUCGGUGGGGAGAAGAGGGAGGAGGAGAGAUUUUAUAUUAAUUUCUGGAUUUUGGGGUGUUUAGUGUAAAAUUUGAACUUCUAUAUAAAUUGUAAAAUUGUGAGGGCUAAAAUGAAAAACACCAGGGGCUGAAAUAAAAAAAAAUGAGACUACCACCUGAAGCAACUUGGGCUCUGUUCGGCUGCCAUUAUUUUCACUGUGGUUCAGCCAACAAGCACUGUAUAUUGUUUCUCCGGUUGUGGCAGUGCAGCAGCGGUACAAAGUAGCCGAAUAGACCCUUGCACUGUGGGAAAUUAGCUUUUUGGGAGUGUUGGCCCAUCCUAGGUAGCACUUAGGGUACCCUGCGUUGGCCAUGCCCUUAGGGGUCUUAUAUUGCUCGUAAAGUCUAUCCUUACCAACAAGCUUUUUGCUCCCACAGGAUAACCUGCACAAUGCAGCUAGUGUUGCAUUGUAUUUGGGUGUUUGGAUGGGAAAGCUAGCUAUCAACCAUCCCUUCAUGUGCAUGGUUGCGGGUGUCGAUGCUGGUGCCGAUGCUCAUGUAUGGCUGUAACAUUGUAAAAGUUGAAAGUUGUUCCAGAUAGGAAUUUUUUUUUGUUAAUUUCGUGUUCAAUGUUCAUGUUUUCAAGCUGAAGGGCAAUUACGUUUGUGUUGAAAGUUUUAGAAUUGGAAUAUAAAUUUUAGUGAUUUAUGUUGUAAGUUCAUGAUUUUGAAGUUGCAAGUUCAGACAAACUAAAGAAAAUGAGCGACUUGAGUUGAAAGAUUAUGUAAAAGAUGCUUUCAAUUUGUUUUACUGUUUGAAGGUUUAAUUGAACGUUCGUAUCUUGACUUCAAGGUUUCUACAAAUGGAAAAAGUUUGUACAGGUGAAAAAUUUUCGUUUGGACUAUCUUGGACAACAAACAACAUACCGUUUGUGCAUCAUCUAACACCGAGGGCUCAAAGUUAGAUCUAUCCUACAUGCCAAAAGGGCUUUGGUCUGCAUGAUAUAAUCUAAUACAUCUAAAAUAAUGAAAAUUUUGGGAAGGACCCAACAAUGUUGUUCUUGGUGGAGCACAUGUAACAAUAUCCUUUUACCUUCCAACAUGUGAGAUUUAAAACUUUUUUUCUAUUGAAGCUGUUUUUUGCCAUAAAAAUGUUGGUUUUGAUCACUAUGCCGUACACCCCAACAUUCUACAAUAGAGUUGAGUACGAAGGUCUACGGCUAGGACUUGCUCCCUGCGUCAUAAAAUGUAAGUAUUUCUAAAGGUGGACACAAGUAUUAAAAAUGUGAAAAAUGAUUGGUGAAAUAUUUUGAUUGGUUAGAAAGAAAAAGUAGGUAGAAAAUAUAAAAUAAAAAAUAGUUGUGAUUGUUUGAGAUGAGAGAGCAUGUGAAGAAAUAACUUCAUUUUAAAUAAAGGUGGAGUAAUAAAAUAGCUUUAUUUUAUUUUAGGACGGAGGGACUUUUCUAUGAAAAAGGUUUUUUUUUUUACCGAGAGUACAAUUUAGAGCGGAUCAACAUGCAAAUUACAAAGUGCCUUGUGUACACAUCCUCUGUAAAUGAUUCAGAUAAUGAUGGAGGCAUCGAAGUGUAGCUAACUAGGUAAUGCCCCGCGCAUUGUGGUGGGUACUUUUAUAUAAAAAAAGGAGAAUUAUUUUUGAAGGUGCAAAAUAGAAAAAAAUUGAACAGUGAUAAUUGUUUAUUUUAUUUUUUACCAUGAUUAUAGUUCUCUUUGACAAUGCCUAGUUUGAAAAUUGAAGGAAAAUAAUGCAUAUGAUCGUGUAGGUCUAGUUUUACUUAAAACAUGAGAGGCUAGGCUCUUUGUACUAUUAUGUCACUGAGGGUUUUCCUUUUACCUAUAUAUAGGUAUAAACAUUUGUGUGGGGGUAAAUAAAAAAAUCCAAUGUGUAGAAACUCUCAACUUCAUUAUAAGGAACUUAAAAGUCACAUGAGUAUAGAAUUACUUCAAAUAGUCAAAACUUGAACAUGCCUUCACAUAAGCUUUCCUUUAACUGAAAAGCCAUAUGAUAUACUUAUGUAAAUUAGGUAUAAUGGACAUGUGUAAUGUGAAGCCCUCCAAACUAUUGAUAUGAACCAGGUGAAUUGAGUGGUUAUGGUACUGGUCAUGAUAUAUGUUGCAAUAUGCGUUGUAUUUAUGAAUCAUCUUCAAGACAACUAUUUGGAGGAAGCUUUGAAAAUGCAGAAUUUGCUGGAAGUAGUUGCUAUCAAGUCUUGUUCUAGAAAGCAAACUUAUGGCCCCUUUGAUUUGGAGGAAAAACAUAGGAAUUUCGGAGGAUUUCAAACCUAUAGGAAAAUUUCCUAUGAAGCCCUUUAUUGAUUGAAUCCUAUCCAAUCCUUUGAAAUUCCUAUGGAAUGGACAAUUCUAUAGAGAUUUUGCAGGAAAUUUAGCAAGAGGUUCAACCUCUUGGUAAACUUUCUUUUGAGUCUAUCUCUCUCAUCCAAUUCCUAUAUUUUUCCUACGGUUCAAUCAAACGGUUAUUCUUAUAUUUUUUCUGCGUUUUGCAAUCCUCUGUUUUAUACUUACAUUCCUAUCAAAAUCCUAUAUUUUUCCUAUUUCUACGUUUUCUCAAUCCUGCGAUUCAAAGGGGCCCUUAUAUUGCAAUACUGUUAGUAGACAGUAGGUACCACUUCGUAACCUGAAACUAAUUUAACUAACGUAGCAUAUAUUGGAAAUCUAGAAAGACAAAUAUAGUAAAAAAAAUAUAUUUGCUAUCCUAUAAAGUGGUUGUGUGUCUUGUUUUGUAUGAUGAUUGAGUUGUCUAUUAGUAAAACUUGUUCUUGUAUGUGUAUUGGGGAAUAAGCAAAUUUGUUGAAACUGGACCAAUGAAGUGCUUGAAAACUUGAUAAAAAAAGGAUGUGCUUAAAAUUUGCAAUGUGUGUAGAAAUAAGGGAGUAGAAGCAAUGAAGCACUUAAGAUUUAUUUUCAAUCUGGGAAGAACACUAUAACAAAAACAGGCAAGUUAUCCUAUAUUACAUAGAUAAUCAAUAAAACUAAAACAGUAGAGGAAAUUAACCGAUGCUGGACCUGUGAUUAACAUGGAUCAAGAAGGACGAUACACUCGCUCUUAAGAUAGAGGAUGCCGAUGGGGUGUGAGGACUGUCCUAAUUAUAGGAGGAAUUGCAAGAGACGUAUGAGAGAAUAAAUGAGAUUAACCAUAGGCAAUUGUCUAACUAUUGUUAGUGGUGGUUUCUAGUUUAAAAAUUGCUUUGAUGGCAGUUUUUAUGGCUAGAUGUUUCUAACAUAUGCAUGCAUACGGAGACAUAGGAUAGGAGGAAAGUGAUUUAACAAUUGCUAUGGAAGUUUGAUAUUGAUCUAACACAAAUUUUGACAAUUUGAUCCUUUGCAAAAACUAAUUUUACAAACGAACCGUGGCCAAAACUUAUUUAAAAAUAACCGUUUUGUUCAGCGCCAAAUCGUAUGGCGCUGAAUUUAGACACCUCAGCACCAAAUAGUACGGCGCUGAAUGCACGUUGGCACGCCGACUCAGCCUCCCAUCCACGAUGGCACGGCAUUCAGUGCCAGUUGACGUGGCGCUGAGGUGUAUAAGUUCAGCGCCAUACAAUUUGGCGCUGAACAAAAUGGUCAUUUCUGAAAUAAGUUUUGACCGCGGUUCAUUUGUAAAAUUAGUUUUUACAAAGGGUCAAAUUGUCAAAAUUUGUGUUGAUGUAAUGGUUGAAAUAAAUAAGAUGAUGUGGUAGCCUAGAAUCACAGCUCAUGGGGACAAUUAUAUAGGAAUAGUGAAUAGUGAAUGUGUGGCUAGCAGUAACACCUAUGGAGGAAGAAGCAAAGUUAGAAUUUCCUGCGUUAGUACUCCCUCCAUUUCAAAAUAAACCAACCUAGUAUGAGAUGUGAUAUUAAAUUUGUCGUACUAGGAUAUGUCAUAUGACCAUAUCUCAUAGUCCCCCGUCUCAAAAUAUAACAACUUUUAGCCCUUAGGAUUUGUCUCAAAUAUAACAACUUCUCCACCAACAUUCUCUUCCCAACCAAUCACAAUUCUCCACCACUCACUUCUACCUACUUUCUUAAUAAUCAUGUACAACUCUAAAAUUUCUCGUAGUAUAGAACAGAUGGAGUACUAGAUUGAUUUAAAACUAACUUGUAGGAAGAAGCAUUGGACUAGUACACACAAACAUCAGCCGUUGUCAUGUACACGACCUGUUAGACUAGAACUUUCUUUCUUUUACUUUUACUCGAGUGUUUCGUUGUGUGGCUACCAUGGUUGCAAUCAAUACGCACGGAAAGCCAUCAAUAAUCGAUGUUAAGCUCAACAUCGACUUUUCUCUCUACUCUUCCUUUGCUAUACCACAGAAAUUUGCCUUAGUGGCAAUUUUAAGAGCCUAAUAUUAGUGACUGUUAUGCAUAACUAUGUUUAUUGUUUAAAACAAUAAUAUUAAAUAAUCAAACGAAACUAAUAUUGUAUUGGUUAGACCUUAUGCUAGAAUUCCUUCAAAAGGAAAUUUUCCUUUCAAGCAAUCCAAAAUGCACUUACAGAACCUUAAUCUUUUGUUCGAUGAAUUGCUCUAUUUUUAAUUUGAAAAUUCCUUGAGAACACAAUUAGCCUACUUAAUUUUCCUCCAGUUUUCAUUCGACCCAACAUCAACAUGUCAUUAUUAUGGUCUGGCUGUCCUAAUGUGAGUGUGCUUGCUCACCAAAGCGAGCUGCUUGUACCUGGGCUGCGCCAUAGACUUCCACCAGAUCCCACUCCAAGCCACACAGAUUGUUUCUCAGGUGAAAUUUCACCAAGUCUUGAGUAACUGCACACAUUGCUCGGGAAACGUCAAAGUUGGACGUUGCUUAACAAAGUUACAAAAAUUUGCUCUCAUCUCUUGGACAGAGUACCCUUGGCCUUACAUGUGUGCUAGGAUACAAAAUUCCAAACGUACGUUCCGCGCACUGAAUUUUAGUAGUUUAACAUCGACUCUUGGUAAACGAUUCCAAUAAUCAUGGAAUCUAGAAAUCUGCUCUUAUGGAUAUCUUAUGACUUUACGAGCAAGUACCAACUAUAAUUGCUAGCUGAAAAUCUGCCACAUUGGUUUUAAAAGUAAGCUAGAGAUGGGACUUGAGGAGAGACAACACAGACCAGCGACUAAGAGCAUAUGCAGUGUUGCACUUAGAGGAGGCACUACGAGAGAGAGAGAGGGGGGGGGGGGGAGGAAGAUAGAGCCACACCCAUACACCGUGCAUGGUAUCAUUUUUGGCCAAUCUCGAGCAAGAGCUGGGUACUAAUCAUAGUCCAAUUCUAAUGGAAAGAGAAUGUGACCGAGCCCACAUGUCAGACAAAUUAUGUCUUUUGCCAGUAUGUUGAAGAGAGAUGACUGGUUUUCUUUAUCUUGUUUUAAUCUAUAUGGGGCCGUGAUAAUAUCUUUCGUCAAUUUAUACACUGCACCAGUUCUCACGGGGUGCUAUGCCUGACAUAGGCCCCACAUUUAAUACCCAUGCAUGCAUGAUAUACUCCCUUCGUCUCGUAAUAUAGUAACCUAGAACUGGAUGUGACACUUUAUAGUACAACGAAUCUGGACAGGAAGCAUGUCUGGAUUCAUUGUACUAUCAAGUGUCCCAUCCGGUACUAGAUUGCUAUAUUAUGGGAUGGAGGGAGUACUAUAUAUGGAUCCUAUAAGUACUAGCUACACACACUCCAAGACAGACAAUGCCCACUGUUAGGAUAGAGCAUGAUAUGAUAUAAGGACUACUAUACAAUAGUUUAGUAUUGUACUGACAUGAUAUUUUAGGAGUAAGCAGCCGAUUGUACAAUCUAUGGCGGAGACAGCGUGGGGGUGGGGCAGGGGGUCUUUAGACCCCACUACCCCCUAAGGCCAGUCACAAUGGCUAGUGUCAUUGCACGGCUACCCAAAAUAUUAUACCAUCUUCUCUCAAAUGAAAUCUUUUAUGAAACAAUCCCCACAGUGGAGGGGUUUCACUUUGACGUUUCCAAGACUAAGCAAAGCAUUUAAUUGAUACAAGUUGCUGGGAUCAUUUGUACCCAAAAUCCGGCGCGGCGCGGGAGAAUGCGGAGGUCGCACGGCGGAGGCGGACGCAAGAGAUCCGGUGAAUGAAACGAAUCGGCCUCAACGGGGGUUUCACUCUGUUACCGAGGACUUGGAAACGACGCUGACGAGUUUCACCAGGAUGAAACUCUUUCCUUCUCUCUCAUCCCCAUUUCAUGCAAAUAAUCAUUUUUUAUUCAGUCUUACCCCUAUUAAAUGUGCAUGACACACCAGUGAAACCCCCAUUGUGACUGGCCUAAUGAACCAUUAGAGCCCCCUUAAUACCCCCUAAAAUUCUAAUCCUAUGGGAGGGCUAAGAUAGACUUUGUUUGAGAUUUUUAGAAAGCACAAAAAAUCCCCACAACCCUACCCAACCCUAAUCUCCUGCCUCCAGCCGCAGAGAGAGGACGACGGCUCUUGGCCUCCUGGCGGCGUUCCCGUUGACGUGUGGCGGCGGCAGACGAGCGCGACGGGCCGACGACUUCCAGAAGGAGUUGCGGCGGCUGGCGGGGGGGGGGGGGAGGGGGGGUCCGGGGACGCGAGCGUAGCGGCGGCGCGCCGACACUGCAGCAGUCAGGGCACGCGGCACUCCGGCCGCUGGCUACUGGCGGGCGGCAGCAAGGCAGGGUGCAGGUGGGCUGGCGGCCAGCUGGGGGAUGCGGCGGCGUGACGCGGCAUCAAGCAGGGAAGGGGGCAUCUGGGCAAGGUGCAAAGGGCGUCAGCAGCAAGCAGCAGCACUGCAGCAGGUCAUCAGCCCAUUGCCCAGCACAGCAGAUUGAGGAAUUGUGGUAUAUAACAUUUUUGAUUUGUCAUUUAAAAUCAAUUUCAAUUGUCAAGUCUAGUUGUUACUAAUAGCUCAAGUCUUCAAGAAAUCAUAGAGAUAUUGAACUGAAAAAUUUUGUUUGUGAUUCCUAGUUGCUACUUUGUUAUAUUGCUAGGUUGUGAAGAUGCCGAAAAGAACACUGCUCACAUAUUAUUCUAGUUUAAGUAACACAAAUACCAGCGAUCCUCCACUCAAUAAUGAGAUUGCAAGUCAGUCAAAGAGGCCUAGGGCAGAGUUUAGUCAUAUGGAUAUCAUUGGUGAUCCAGUGGAAUGGAAACCAAUUGAGAAUUAUCAACCUGAAAUUAGAGAUCAAGUAAAAAGGAUAUAUGCAUUGAGUGGUCCAACUCAACCAGAUUUUUGCACAUUUCCUCGUAAGUGGCAAAGUGGUGAAUGGAGGUCCUUUCAAAAAGCUUGGUUCAAUGAGUUCGAUUGGCUUGAGUAUAGUGUUUCAAAGGAUGCAGCUUAUUGCUUGUAUUGUUAUCUUUUCUUUUAGCUAGGAAAACCUAAAAAUUUGGAAGUUCUGUAUUUGCUAAGGAAGGUUUUGUUAAUUGGAAGAAAGCUAAAGAUAGGCUUGCUACACAUAGUAAUUGUAAGACUCACAAUGAUACUAGGAAAAAAUGCAAAGACUUUAUGAACCAAAGGACAAGUAUAUUUAGGAAAAUUGAGAUUGUUAGCAAGGAGGAAGACAUUAGAUACAAGAUUCGGUUGACAUCUUCUUUAGAUGUUAUAAGGUUUCUCAUUAAGCAAGGUGAUCCUUUCCGUGGACAAGAUAAGACCAAUGCAUCCCUCAAUAAGGGUAAAUUUAGAGAGAUGGUUAAUUGGUACAAAGACAAGGUCCCAUAAGAGCAAUAAAAAUUGCCAAAUGUUAUCACAUGACAUUCAACAGGAUCUUACUAAAGCUUGUGCAGAAGAAGUGACGGCCGUGAUUAUGGAUGAGAUUGGACAUUGAAAUUUCUCCGUGCUUAUUGAUGAAUCUUGUGAUGUAUCGAUAAAUGAGCAAAUGGGUGUCAUCUUGAGGUUAGUAGUAACACUAUUAAUUUUUUGCCAUUUUGUGAUGCUUUCAUUGUAAAAUUUCAAUUUCUUUUUAAGUACUAACCCUAUUAAUUUUUGCCAUGCAGAUUUGUGAAUGAUGGAAGGGAAAGUGAUGGAGAGAUUUUUGGGUCUUAAACACAUUGAGAGAUGUACAACGGUUGCAUUAAAAGAAGCUUUGGUUGGUAUGCUUUCUAGUUAUAAGUUAAUCAUCUCUAGGAUUCGUGAGCAGGGUUAUGUUGGAGCUUCUAAUAUGAGAGGGGAAUUUAAUGGUGUGCAGAAAUUGAUUAGGGAUGAAAACCCUUUUGCUUAUUUUGUCCAUUGUUUUGCCCAUCAAUUACAGUUAGUGGUUGUUACUGUUUCAUCUUCUACUGCAGCCACGAUAGAUUUUUUUAACUAUGUGCCUUUAAUAGUCAACACUGUGGGUGCAUCUUGCAUGCGAAAGGAUGCCUUGCUUGCAAAACAUCAUGAUGUAUUGUUAGAAAAGGUAGAGAAUGGUGAGAUUACCACGGGAAGAGGGCUGAACCAAGAAUGUAGCCUAGCUAGGCCUGGAGAUACUAGAUGGGGAUCACAUCUUAAAACUUUGCUUCGCAUUAUGGUAAUGUGGGAAGCUAUCAUAUUGUCAGGGUUAUGGAUACCACAUACCUAAUAGUAGUUGACUAAAUCUCGGCAGGACCCACCACAUACCAUGUCUUAUACGGAAACAACCUUCGGAUAUAGGAGGAGUUCCGCAUAAGGAAAGAUGAGUAUAGUUCUACAUGGAAACGACAAGGACUACUCGGAUUGUAUCCAUAUUGGUUUCCCUAGUUCUACUUGGACAAGGGGACACCUAUGGGUAUAAAUACAAGGCCCCCUAGGAGGAGAGGGGACACGGAACAAUAGAUCAAGACACAAGAUCAACAUACAAGCCAACAUACGCUAAGACAAGAUGCCGGAUAUCGACUUCAGAGAUAAGCAUGCCUAGUCCCCUAUGGUGUCUACGGAUACUGUCAGGAGAGACAAAAGCGCUGUCUUUGAUCUCGCCGGAUGCGGAUUCGAGGAGGAAGGCUACCCUGUUGUUGACUACGAGUCAACACUUCAGACCGCCAAGUCGACAACAGAUAGAUAGGCUACCCCAAAUAUUGUAUUGGUGUGAUUAUGAUGAAUAAGAGCAACGACCGGCUUCGGCCAACAGGAGUAGGGUCAUUACCUGACAAUUCAGGGGCCCGAACCUAUAUAAAAAUCUUCGUCCCCAUCUCUUUUAUUACAAUCUCGCAUAUACCCUGGUACCAACGAUCCCCAUACUAUGCAAAUACUGGAAUCGCGACAUCAAACGUCGACACAUAUAUGUGCUUGAGAAUGUUAAGAAAGAUUCUACUAAACCAACAUUUAUUGGUGGAGCAUUUGGUUUGAUGGGUAAAAUGCAAUGGUUUGAUUUUGUGUUCAUAAUGCAUUUGAUGAUAGACAUCUUGAGUAUAACAGAUGACAUGUCACGUGCUUUGCAAAGGAAGGAUCAAUACAUUGUUGAGGCAAUGAAUUUAAUCAUUUAUGUUACACAAGGGAGAAUGGAUGGGAGCCUUUGAUGAAUAGAGUAGCAUCAUUUUGUGUUAAACAUGAGAUUGAAGUUCCCAAAAUGGACAAGGAGGUAAAUGAAAGUGGGACAUCUCUAUGUCGAAAGCACAAGGUAACAAAUAAGCAUUAUUACCAUGUUGAGAUCUUUCUUGCAGCCAUAGAUGCAAUUUUGGCAGAAAUGAAUCGUCAGUUUAGUGAAGUUAGUUCAAAGUUACUAAGUAUGCAUGUCAGCCUUUAAUCCAUGGAUUUUCUUAUCUAAUUUUGAUGUGGAUAAGCUUGUGAGGCUUGCUGAAAUUUAUAGUCAAGAUUUUUUGGUUGGUGAUCUUAUGCUUCUACGGCCUCAACUUGCAAAUUUUAUUACCAAUAUUAGGAGAGCUAAAGAAUUUGUUGGAUGUAAAGAUCUUGCAAAGGUGGCAGAAUUAAUGGUUCAAACAGGAAAGAACAAAACUUAUCCAUUGGUGUAUAGGCUCAUUGAGUUAGUAUUGAUACUUCCGGUGGCAACGACUUCAGUUGAGAGGGUUUUUUCAACCAUGUCUCUUAUAAAGACAAAUUUGAGAAACAAAAUGGGGGAUGAAUGGCUAAAUGACUUGAUGAUAUGCUAUACUGAGAAGCAAAUUUUUAGAAGUAUUAGUAAUGAAAAAAUCAUCCAAAGGUUUGAAGAUAUGAAAGCGCGUCGGAUGUUACUACCUAAAAAUAAUUAUUUGAAGCUAUUGUUUGUCAAUUGUCAUUAUUCAUUAAUUUGACAUUUCUUUUUUAUAGACUACCCCUGAUGAAGAAUAAUUGGCGAUAGGGUGUACUAGUGUCGCACAUCAUGCAUCAUCUAUUGGACAUUUCAAUAUUGCUUUGAUAUGGAUAAUGUUUAUUUUUCGGUAACUCUAUAUAUUUAUACUUUGUAUUAGACAUAUAGCCAAUUUAUAUGAGACAUAUCUCAACUUUUAUUGGCCACUUUUGGUUUAGCCCCUACUAUAAUUUUAUCCUGGCUCCGCCACUAUGUAUAACUAGACUUGUUUUUACCAUCACAUAUUUGCAAGCGGUUAAAUAGUCACAUUUUUUCAAAGUAUUGUGUCAUCUUUUCAGCUUUCAUAAAACCAGAAUACGACUCCUAUAUUUGCUUGGUAAGUCCUAUAAACAAAAAAAAAAGAGAAUAUAUUGAGCCACACAUAUUAUACCAAUUGCACACUACCUCCCCGUUUUCCGCGCGAUAGGGCAAUUUCCCAACUUCUAACUUCUCGUUUUUCGUGUGCAUGCUUUCUAAACUAUUAGAUGUGUUUUUUUCAAUAAAAUUCUAUAGAAAAAUUGCUUUAGAAAUUCAUAUCAAUCCAUUUUUUAAGUUUUUCAGCUAAUACUUAAAUAAUCAUACACUAAUGAGUCGCUCCGUUUUACAUGAGAGAAGUUUCUAAUCCUUACAUUAGAACGCACCUAAGGAAUGUACUCCGUACUUAUCACUAGACCACUUUACUGUUGACAACUAUCAAACCGGACUAGCGGACCAAUGUUGCUUUGGUUCAGUUUAUUGUAAGGACAAAAUUUAAAAGGUUCAGUUUCUAGCUGGAAGAGACCUCCUAUCAUAUAUUUCUAGCAGGAAGAGACCUCUGAUCAUAUAUUUCUAGCAGGAAAAGACCUGUGAUCAUAUAUUUGGGUGUCAGAUAAAUUCAGCUGAACUAAAAGCUUGUCAUACCUUCAGUUACCUACUACAAGUCUACAACCAUGAGUCCAUGAUCAACUCUGAAUUCAGAUAGGUGGAAACAUACUGCUGAACAACAUAGUUUUCUAUAGAUAAAUGCAUGCACAAGGAGAGCCUCAAGGUAGAAUCUGAUUGAAACGUCUUCACAAGACCGGUGGCAUUUAUUCAAGGAGAAAAAUCGUCCUGCAUUUGUUUCGGAUGCAAUAGGAUCAUAAGUCCCAUUUUAGUUCUUGGAGUUUAACAAGUUUCCCUGUCCUCCACAAGGUUCCAUAAAUUUAUGUUUUCUUAGAGCAAGUUUAGUAGUACAGCCCACUACUUACUAUAAGCCAAUGUUAAAGCUAACAUAUAUAAUAGGUUAGCUAUAAGGUUAGCUUUAUUUUUUUCAUCCUCUCUCUUUAUCUCUCUACGAAUUUAAUGCAUAUUUCUUAGAGCUUGUGUGUAGCUAGCUCUUGCAUGAGAGCCAACACUCUCCACUUUUAUUUAUCUCUCUCUUCCACAUAAGCAUUUAGCUUGCUUAUAGCUCACCAUUAUCCUUGCUCUUAUGUACAUAUUAUACCCAUAUUAUGGGGAUUAACCGAAGAACAAGGCCUUAAUGGGAAAUUAUCUUGGAGGCCUCCCCAACUGUUCAACAGCAAUGAAGCACCAUGUAUAAUUGACCAGACCACUACGAACUACGAAAUUGAAAAGCUUGAAUUUCUAACAAGUAAGAGACCUGUCAUCACAUAUUUGGGGUCAGUGAAUUUCAUUUGAACUUAAGCUUAUCAUAAACAAGCAUUUGACCAACUGUGGUGCUUGCAGAUGGGUUUGGACAAUUUUCUAUGGAUCCUAAUUGAUGGAAGACAAAUGCAAAGGUCAAGAGCCAUGCUCAGGAAGAAAUUCAAGUUUCAACCUGAUUGGAAUGCGCCAUGGCAACAUUCCCCUCCUCCAUGUCCUUGAGAAAUUCAGCGAAUGCAGUGCACGAUGAUCCCCCUUCCUUCCAUGCUGCCGCUGCGCUCUCCUUCAUCGCCAUGACCCGCUCCAGGACUCCCUGCUGCGCAUCCGAUUCCAUGAUCCGCCUCAAGAUGGCAUCGACGAUGUCGGCCUGGACAAGUGCCCCGGGUUUAUACCCUCUGACCUCGAUGCCAAUCUUCAUCUCCUCCACGAUGAACACCUUGUUCAUCCACUGCUCCGCGUCGAGCGGCCAGCACACCAUUGGAACGCCGGCUGCGACAGCCUCCAGCGUCGAGUUCCAUCCACAGUGCGUCACGAAUGCGCCCGUGGAUGCGUGCUGCAGCACCGCCACCUGCGGCACCCAGGACGCGGUCACCACGACGCCUCUGUCGGCUGUCCGCGCCAAGAAUCCGUCAGGAAGAAGAGACAUCGCGGCGUCCGGCUUCGUGCCCGCGGGCGCGCGCAGCGCCCACAAGAAUCUCUGCUCGGACCUCUCGAGGCCCGUGGCCAUCUCGCUGACCUGCUCCGGCGAGAGCGCGCCGCGGCUCCCGAAGCAGAGGAACACGACGCUGCGCUCCGGCUGCGCGUCCAGCCAAGCGAGGCACGGGUGCCUCUCCUCCUCCGCGCCGCCGUCGGUGAUCAAUGGCCCGACGCAGUAGACCGGCGGCGUGGCGCGGUUGGAGAGGCAGCGGCCGUCCCUCAGCGCCGCCACCCCGGGACCCUCCAGCGCGUCGAAGGUGUUCACCAGAAUGCCGCGCGCGUCCGCCAUCCGGUCGAACGCGUCCAGCAUGGCCGCGCUUAUGUCCGUCCCACGGUCGAGCACCUCCUCGGGCAAGUGCGACGCCGGCAGCGGGCGCACGCCGGGAAACGACACGGGCGCGUCGCCGAGCUCCCUCAAGCUUCCGCUGCUCCCGGCGCAAAACCGUGGCAAACGGAGGAAAACGGCGAGGUUGGUGGCGCCGGUGCAGAAGAGGAGGUACCCGGGGACGCCGAGCUCGGCGGCGACGUCGAGGGCGUAGACGGAGAACAUGUCGGCCACGAGCGCCCGAGCGGCAUGGGGGCCACGCAGCAGGUCCCCGAGGGCGGGCGCGUGGGCGCGGAGGACGGCGAGCAUACGGAGGAGCGGGUGAGCGGCGGCAUCGGCGCCGGAGGAGGCAGGAGGAUGAGGAGGAGGAGGGAGUGGAUGGACGGAGAGGGAGGGGAGGCGGGAUGCGUACUUGCGGAGCGCGGCGGAGAAGGCGGGGGCGGUGGUGGCCGGGUCAGGGACGGCGACCGUGACGGCGAGGCCGUGGCGGAUGCAAACCGCGGCGAGCUCCAGCAUGGGGGCGAGAUGGCCCACGCCGAGGCUGGGGAACAAGACCACUCUCCUUGCAGCCGCCAUUGGAGGAUCGCUGCUCACCUCUGCUCUUGCCUUUCUUGAAUUCUUGGUGGGCAAUCCGCGACGGAUAGAGACGAUGCACUACUAAUCAAUCUGAGGGACUUUCUGCCCUUUCUUUUUCAUUUUUUUCCCCUUCUUUCGUGUGGACUAGCGUGGCGUGGUUGCUUUUCCGUUUUUGUUUAAUCAUCACUGUCAAAUAUAUACACAUAUCACUGUAUCUGUUCAACUAAUGACCUAACUUUCUACUUCGUACUAAAAUGAUCCAAAUGGAUUUGGGGAAGACUGCAAAUUGUGCGUUCGAUUUCUGAAAAUUUAGGCGUUGUUUCACCACUUCUAUGUAAAUUAUUUUAUUACUUUUAAAUGUAUCAACUAAUUACACAUUAAAAAAAUAUCGCCCUUAAAUCAAUAACCACUACAUUAAACAUUAAACCCAAUUACCAAAAUAUCGAAAAUAUUGAAUGUGCAACGAGUCGUAUAAAUAUUGGCUUCUCACACACGGAUCAUUAAAUUUGAACGGUUGAUUUUUUUUCUUUAACAUAUAAUCCUAUGGCCUCUUUCAAAUUAAUCAAAAUGAAUACAACCGUAUAAUUGUAUAAUUGAGCAAAUACUUUAGGGAAAAAUUAGAACAUACUAAUAGGGUACUUGGAUGGAUCAAAAGCAUGGGUGUCAGCUUCUAGCCUUCCACAGACCACAGCUAACACGCUGGAUCCGGCAGGUGGCAAUUAUGGUGGAAAGACCGCUUCUCAAUCACUCCACAAAUUUUCUCUAAAAUUACUCUGAAUUGGGCCAUCUAUCUAUCUAUUAUAUACUAAAAAUCCAUUAAACUUUAUAUAAACGCUUCUAAACCACCAUAUGGUAUCCUAUAAAAGCUCCUAAGCUACCACAUGGCACUCUCAUAAAUCGGUGGACCCACUAUUUUUAACUAUUAAAUUUCUUUUUAGAAAAAAAAUAAAACCCCCAUAAGCAAUCUCUCUCCUUUUCCCUAUUGGCCUAUAUGGUACAUGAUCCUUCACUUCUCCGCUGGCGGCCCCAAGAGAAAAAAGCAAGAAAAAAAAUAAUAUGCACGUACGUAAAUAUAUACACGUAUUCAUGGGGAAAAAAAGGAAAAUAAAAUAUGUACGUACAUACCCCAGAAAAAAUAACAAAACUGAGCACAGUAUCGAUGGAAAAAAGAAUUAAAGAACAUGUACCUACGUACAUAUGCACCUACCAUCGAGAAAAACAACGAUCAAUAAAACAUAGAACAUCCAUGCUCUCUAUAAUAAAAGAAAAAAAAUACUACAUCACGUAUUAACAAUAUUUUAAUUAAAAAAUCACAAACUGUAUUAUACCUUUUUAUGCCUUUUCUCACAAAAUAGAGUUAAUAAUUACGGAACACCACAUUCAUUUCCAAACAUUUCCAUCUACUUCACCUCCCCCUCCCCUUCCCCUCAUGUAUAUCCCUGUUUGCUCCUUCCUCUUGCUUGAACUGGCACUAUUUAUUCUUUUCCCCCAUUCCUAUUAUUUGGUUAUCCAACUAAAAUAGAAAUAAUUUGUAAUUGUAAUUUUCAAAUGAUGAUAAUUUUUAAACUACGUGCUACACGUAUGAUUUCUAAUAUAACUAUUUCUCUAUUUAUAAUUAACCAAACAAAUUAAGAUUCAUAUACCUAUGUUUUUCUAUAUAUGAAAUAUAUAUAGUCAAUGCAUGUAUUAUAUAUGCCAUCCAAAUAACAAAGAAAUAUGAUAAAGAAUAUCAACAAAUAUUACAUCAUUACAUAGAUCAUUCUAUAAAUAUGCAUAGCUAAACUAAAUUAGUAGAAUAAAAAAUAUAUAUUUAUAAAUUCAAGUAUGAAAGAAUACUUUUAUCGAUAGACAACACUUGCCUUUUUACAUGUCGUCUGAAUUGCAAUAAAAAGCUACAAAAUAAUUCAACAACACAUGUUGCGCCCUCAUAUAUCAUAUGUAGAUUUUUUCUACAUCUUUCAGGUAUGAACACAAUUCCAUUUAUUUCUUUGUGCAUGAACCAUUAAAAACAAUUGUCAUAUAUUAUACACACAAAUUAUAAUAAAUUUAUUCAGACUUUGGAACCCAGACAUUUUCUUGCGCAAACAAGUGCAUGGGAGAGAAAGAGAAGUACGGAGAGAGUUAGUAAGCCAGUCUUGACAAGCUAAGAAUAAUGUAUCAAUAUUAGAUGGGACAAGGCACAACGAGCGUAUUUUUUAGGCAUGGAACAUAUUUACUAGGAAUUAGAUAUGAUCGUAUAGCAACCAAAUAAUUUUCAUGCUAGAAAUGAAAAAAAAUGAAAUAAUUCAUUUGGUCUUGGGAACACAGGGAUUUUCUAUGGUCUUUGAUACGAUUAGCAACUGGAUAGGUAUUAUAGGCUUUAUAUAAUAAUAUAAAUAUACUUAAUACAUGCCAGGUACAGGCUAACUAAAUAAAAAUUAAAAUAACAUAGUAGUCGAUCUCAAGUAAAAAUUCCUAAUAUUAAAUUAAUUUUUUUUAUGGAAAAGUAUUUAAAUCAUCUAAACAAUCACAAUAUACCACAUUCUAAAAAUAAUGAUGCAUGCUAAUUAUAUAAUUUUAGUUGUUCGAUUGUGUUCACGCUAGGUUGCGUGAAGCCUCACACACCACACAAAUAGUGUUCAUAAAUAGAUUGUGUGUCACACCACAUAAUCAUGUUGAACUCUACAAACCCAUGUACAUAGUGUAGUCUCAUGUCCUAUCCAAUCCACCAAUUAUUGACCAAUGAGAAUAUAUAUUGGCCUUACCAACUUAUAUAAAAUGUCAUUGAAAUUUCCAUGGAAGUUGAAAAAAAAGUGUAAUGCUCUGUUACUAUUUAUCAUAUCACAAAUUUUAUACUUAAAAUAAGAUUUAUAUAGAAUAAAUAGAAAAUACAAAAAAUACCAAUUGGGAGUAAAUUUAACCAAUUGGAGAAAUUUUGCUUCUUACUUCACACUUAAAUUGAAGCUACUAUUGCAAUAACCAUUUCAUAAUAAUUGCCUUAGAUAAUUGGAACAACUCUGAUAGGUUAAAAAAAAUUAUUUAAGCAAUGCCAAAAAGAAAAUUAAUGAAUAAAUAAUACAUUUGAAGCAUGGCAUGCAAAUGUUAUCCAAUUAAUAUUCUGCUUCUAUAAUUGUCUUAAAUGAACCUUACAAUGCAUGCCCGCACAUUCGCGUGGGCUAACUUUCUAGUUAUAUACUAAAAGUCCAUUAAACUUCCUAAAAAUGCUCCUAAACUAACAUGUGCCAUUCUGUAAACGCUCUCGAGUCGCCACAUCUAUUAUCUAUUAUAUACUAAAAGACCGUCAAACUUCCUAAAACCGCUCCUAAACUGACAUGCCCGAUAAACGCUCUCGAGUCGCCACAUGUCACUAUAAUAAAAUAGACAAAUCUGAUAAUUAAUUUUUAUUUAAAUUAGUGGACCCAUUAAUUUUGAUCGUUAGAUUUAUCUUUACAUGAAAACAAUAUCCCUCCGUAGGUAAGUACGAUCCCUCCACGCGCAACAUAUGUGCUAUGCAUCCGACCUCUGUUUCAUUUGUUCCUUUUUUUUAUCCCCAUAAUAAUUAAAAUUAAAAACCUUUUUGGGCCUAAAAAGCCCAUCAACCUAUUAGAUAUAGCUAGCUUUUCCUCUAUCCUCUCCUAAUAAAUAGUCUAUUAAACAUUAUCUAAAUAUUUCUAAACAUCUAUAUAACACUCUUAAAUUAGAGGAAAUCUAAGAAAUUAUAUACUAAAAGUCCAUUAAACUUCCAAAAAAUACUCCUAAGAUUCCAUGUGGCAUCUUAUAAACGCUCUCGAGUUGCCACAUGUCACUCUAAUAAAAUAGAUAAACCUGACAAUCAAUUUUCAUUUAAAUUAGUGAACCCAUUAAUUUUGAUCGUUUGAUUUAUCUUUACAUGAAAACAAUCUCCCUCUGCAGGUACAAACGAUCCCUCCUCGCGCAACAUACGUACUAUGCAAUCCGACAUCCAUUUCCUUUCUUCUUUUUUAUCCCCAUAAUAAUUAAAAUUAAAAACAUUUUUUGGGCCUAAAAAGCCCAUCAACCUACUAGAUAUAUUGCUAGCUCUUCCUCUAUCCUCUCCUAAUAAACACUCUAUUAAACAUGAUGUAAAUAUUUCUAAACAUCUAUAUAACACUCUUAAAUAAGAGGAAAUCUAAAAAAAAUUCUAAACAUCUAUAUAACACUUUUAAAUUAGAGGAAAUCUAAAAAAAUUAUAUACUAAAAUUCCAUUAAACUUUCUAAAAAUGCUCCUAAGCUACCAUGUGGUAUCGUAUAAACGCUUUCGAGUCACAACAUGUCACUCUAAUAAAAUAGAUAAAUCUGACCAUCGAUAUUCACAUAUAUUUCUAAAAACGCUUUCGAGUCGUCACAUGACUAAUAAAAUAGAUAAAUACGAGCAUUGAUUUUCACUUAAAUUGGUGGACCCAUUAAUUUUAAUCAUUAAAUUUAUCUCACAAGAAUAUAAUCUCCCUCCGUAAGUAAUUAGGAUCCCUCCGCGCGCAACGUACGUGCUAUCCAUCCGACCUCCGUUUCCUUUUUUCCUUUUUUUAUCCCCAUAAUAAUUAAAAUUAAAAACUCUUUUUUGCCUAAAAAGCCCAUCAACCUACUAGAUAUAGUAGCUCUUCGUCUAUAUAGCAUUCAUUUGUUCCGAAGGAGCAUAUCGGAAAAUCUCCACAUCCUACAAAAUUCUUUUAAAAAAGAAAAGCUUUUGUUCCAAAGGAGCCCGUAUUGUUAUUGUCAAGAAAGAGAGCAAAAAAUCAUCUCAGAACGGGCGACCUGGGCUUUGUAAUAAACCAUGUCUCCUAAACCGAUACUUUACAAAUGAUACCCCUCCGUCCUAUUUUAAAUGUAACCAUGAGUUUCCAUAUCCAAAUUUAAUUGUCCGUCUUAUUUAAAUUUUUUUAAAAAAAUUAAAAAAACAUAAGCCACGCUUAAAGUGCUAGUCAUUUUUUAUCAUCUAAUAACAAUAAAAAUAUUAAUCAUAAUUUUUUUAUAUAAAACGAACUAUUAAAGUUGGACAUGGAAAAUCAUUGGCUGACGUUUAAAAUGGGACAGUGGGAGUACCUAAUAAUAGCUCAUCUCUAGGCUAAUAACCUAUCUAAUUAUUUAGGGGAUAGAUGUUACUAUCGAGCAAGGUAAAGAGUUUCCUACAUUACCAACACCUAACAGGCUAACACACAUAGAAUAUGUCCUCAUCAAUUGGUUCUUCCUGUAGUGAUGUUGGUAAAUUGGCAUCUCUUACACGCAUCAUAUUCACCCAACGCGCACCAUCUCAAAUGCAACUUCCAUUAUUACAAUGUUGAGCCAUAUCAUUAUUAUAUGUUAGAAAUCUGGAUCUUUAUCUAAUUAAAUCUAGGAAGGCAGAACUUUAUGACACCUGACACCUCCUAAUUGGAGCCUGGAUCAAGAUUAGCCAUGUCCAAGGAAAAAGUUGUCUCAGUGCCAAAAUUACCUAUAUCCAGGAAUGGGUCAAGUGAGUCCCACUCAGUACCAGACACGCCUGAAGCAUCACAAAUCGGUGCGGUGUGCCUUGCCACAUUCUGGCUACUUGAAGCGGCACCUGAAAUGGUCCUUCCAUGCUGGUCGUCUUUAUUGUUUGAAAAUGUAGCACCCCCAAGAUCCUGAGUAUCAGGUGGUGUUAUGCUGAUGCGAGCUGAAUCAACAUUGAAAAAGUGAGUAGGAUAACCCACCAUGUAAUCAGCAGGGCUGUUGUAUGUUCCUCCUUUUGUUCCUGCAAUAGCCACAUCGGCAUCAAUUCUACUGGACGUUGGAACCAGCAAUUCCCCAUGAAACUUAUUUAAAACAAUUUCUUGAUGUUCUCCGAUGACAGUGUCCUUCUGCACCAAAUGAUCUCUGGACAUCUCCUUCACUUCAUGGUUCUCCGCAGUAUUGUCUUCCACAAAAGCAUCAAUUGGAGCAUCGUCAGUAGAGAAUAGCCAUUCAUUGACUUCAUCUCCUGAAUUCUCGGUAGCUUGGUUUUUACAUGCAGAGUGGAGGUUCUUACAUCUCCCGGAAUCUAAUACUUCAUUGUCUGAAGCAAUCGACAGGGAUCCUUGAUCACCAUGAGCUGCUCUUCUGAGAGGAAUCUUUGGAUCAUAUUGUAGACAAUGUUCACGAGGGUGUACAAGGACAUCCAAAGCCAGCAAAGCAUGUGAACAAAAUUUUGCAAGCUCGGUACCAGUCUCUAGCCUCCCUGUUAUGACAAGAAAAGAUAAAUACUACAACAAACAAAAUUAACACGUUUUGAGAAUUACAUGGAUGUAAUUAAGUAAAUGAACUGCUAUAUGAAAUGCAUGAUUUAUUUAGCUAGCUUAACAAAUUUCAUGCGUAUGUGUCCUAGUGGGUUUCUUCUGUAUAUCGUUAACUCUACGUUUUACCAAUGAAUUAGCAAAACUGGAAUGCAUGUGGAAAUAGAUGAUAAAUACAGCAAAUACAGAUUGGCUCAGAACCUGGAAGAAGGUAUUACCUUUGUUGAAGAGCUCAAGACCUCGUUCUAAAUAAGGACAAUUGUCAGGAGAAGAAAGAAAGGAUGCCAAUAGAGAUUUUAACAAGGCUAACUGGAAGUCUGAAAAAGUUGGAUCUCCUGCCAAUAGUGGUCUUAGUUCAUACAUCCCCAUAGUACAGAAAGACUCUCUUGCAACAUUAAUAAGAAGCAGGUCUAUUUGUGUCCUCCAGUAGCAUGCUCUGAAUGAACCACCCUGCUCAUGUUGAGAGUCAAUAGCCAAUUUCAACAGAAUAUACGCAAGAUUAUCUACUACUAGUCCCCCAUCCCAAAAAGACUUCAUUUCUAGCUAUGAAUCUGGACAAACGAAGUCUUUUUGGGACACAUGUCUAUACAUCCUAAAAGUAAGAGUGGCACAAUAAAUAACACCUUGGAGGCAACCUAGCCAAUUGAGUAGAGAUACGAAAUGAUGAGUGGAUUAAGAAGAUAAUGGUACUCUACAGUAUUCUGUUUGUAUUAAUGACCAACAGUUAAACCGUUCUUAUAAGGAAUGCCACCGUGAAAGUAAAAUAGUAAUACCAGUUCAAAUAGUCACCGUUCAAAAAACAAAAUGCUAGAAUUGCACAUGAAAUAGAUAUGAACAAAAGAACUUGUCUUGCAAAUGAAGACAAAAGGAUGGAUAUACAAAGGGCAACUUUACAUAAGAAAAUAUACACUAAAGGAAGUUACAAUACGUACAAGCGCAAACAAAACACCACCGCAACCAUGGUUUUCAAGUUCGAUUUAGGCCGAAAUUUCAGCCAUUUCGGUUCUAUCGAAAUUCCUGAAAAUUUGGUUUUUUUGGACCGAUUUUUUUUUUGAAAUUUUAACAUAAAUUUACUGAAUGACUAAAUUAUGACCAAAUUUGCAUAAGUUUGAGAAAAACAGAAAAAUUCGGCCGAGAUAAUCACUUGCCCAAGAGGGGAGGGGGUCCAAAAUUACUGAAAUUGCAAUCACUGACCACAACCACCCAAAACCAACAAAUAGAAGUUAUGGACUAGAAAUAAUGUUUCAGAGAGCCGCAUCACAUGCUGGUCAACACCGCUAGAUCAUUUCCUCCUCAACCCCCCACAUCUCCACUUGAAUCCCCUCUAAGUCCAUAGUGAGGUCAAUUGCAAUGAGUCAAUAGACGACGCAGGCGAGAGCAUAUGUGGCCUCAUCACCAUGGUCGAACACCUGCUGAGGGUGUCCGGAAGCAUGACAAUGUUGGCGACCAAGUCACCGUGGGAACUCACUACCUACAGCAGAUCAGUAGACGCUGAUGCAGGAAUGUCCACUUUGAAGACUUCAUGACCUCUUUGAAUGUUCCGAGAAAUUUGAUAAUAAGCCACUAAAUACGCAUACCUUUGCAAACUUGCCAUCCAAUCCGCAUGCCUUUUCUAACGCACCAUUAGGAGUGCUAAUUUUUUUUUAUUUCAUACCACUUUCUCUCUUUCUCAUCAUUUUCUCAUUUUCUCUCAUUUUCUGUUUUAUCCUCCUUUUUCAAACUGUUUUACCCCUGGCCCCACCUAUCAGGUAAGAGAGAGAGAGAGAGAGAGAGAGAGGUUUUACCGCAGAAGGGGAUCGGGAAGGGGAGGCGACACUUGUUGUGCUCCCAUUUUGCGCCGGCGCCGUCUCCAGGUCCCGUCGCUGGACGCCGCCACUAGGACCCAUCGCCGGGCGCCGCCACUAGGACCCGUCGCCGGCACCGCUACCAGCCUCCUUGCCCAUCACCCUGCAACCCGCUGCCACCGGCCAACCUCCUUGCCUCACUGCCAGCCAGCCUCCGGUCCCUAGGGUUUGAAGGGAGAGGGGGAAAGGGGGUGACGGUUCUGCUGCAGAGGAGAUCAUGGCGCAAGCGGCAUGCUCCUCGAUUCCAAGUGAACUCCCUUCUAGGUAAUGCUAUAACCCUCGACAUCUCCAUUAUUUGCACUAACGGGCUGAGGAGCAGAACUAGGACGUAAUUGGUUAGCGGGUAAACUAAUGAUUUUUUUACUCUCAUUUUUCUUGUUCGUACGCGAUAGGACUGACCAUGAUGUGGAGUUUAGCGUGCACGUUCAGUUCGGUCAGUUUACAACUAAACUUGAUGAUGGUACUUGUGUUGAAGUGGCGCGUAAAUGGCUUGAAUGGGUUGUGGACUAUCAUCAGUGCACAUUGGAGAGCUUGGAAAAGGACCUUGCAGCAAGGGUAAAAUGCCAACAUGUUCUGAUCAGUGGCUAUGACAUGAGCACCGGCGAGGAAACACCGUUUAAGGAUAAUAUGAAUGUAGUCCAUGCAUUAUUUGUUAUGAAGAGUGAUAGAAAGUUGAUUUUAUUUGUUGAUGUGGAGGAUAAGCCUAUUCAGUUGAUAACUAACUCGAUAGUUUUAUAGGUCAAUGAGGUAGCAAUGGGUGAAGUUGUGAUAGGCAGACAAGGUGAUGCUCAAGAAUGUAGCAGUUGUAUUGAUUGGGAUAGUCUAGAGAUAGCUCCAAUUCUACAUAACCAAGUUCCUCAGCUUGCUAUUGAUUGGGAUGCAUUCGAGAUAGAACCAAUUCCACAACAUCAACUUGGAGGAAAAUGAAAUGUAUACAUUUGUUGGACUUAGAACUGAGGAUGAGAGAGCUGAGCAAGCUAGAAUUGAAGCUGAGAGGCAAAGGAAUUAUGUUCCUACACCAGGUCCAGCUCAUACUAAAGGGAAUUUGAACCUUAACAAGGUAAAGAUUGCUGUUAAUGUGUAAUACCUGGAGAAUCUGAAAUUUUCUAUGACAGGGAUGAUCCUCCUAUGGAAGUUGAAAGCUCAUAUGUAAGCAUGAAUGAAUUUAGGUUAGCUGUGAGGCAACACGCUAUAAAGGGACAAUUUCAGCUUGGGAUAGAGAAGUCUGAUAAAAGAGUUUAGGGGCUUUUGCACAGCUAACGAAUGCCCAUGGGCUAUCGCGGCCAGGCUGAUGCCUAAAUGAAAAAUCCAUGAGGGUACUAAUAACUAACUAAACAAUGUCUCAUAUUUCAAAUAUUGGUUUGACUGUAUGAGUUGUCUCAUGGCUGUUACCUUUUUUUUUGCGUAUGUUGCGGGUUACCUUGAACAAAUUUGCCCAUACUUGUGCAUCAACUGGGAGAAUAAAGACCAAAAUGGCAAGUUAGUGGGUGGCAGAGAAGGCAAUUCCUUUUCUAAAAAAGGAUCCAAAUAUGGGUGCAAAGAAGUUGAUGGGGGAACUUAGAAACCAAGUACAAUGUCACUUUAGGAAACCAUACUGUGUUCAUGGCUAAGGAUAAGAUUUUUGGUCCUGGCUCCUGACCUCUUUCUCUGGCGAGAAGAGGCAAGGGCAGCAAGCACCCUGGCUCCUAACCGCAGAGCAACAGGUAAAACCCUCCCUCUCUCUGUUUUACCUGACAAGUGGGGCCAGGGGUAAAACAGUCCCAAAAAAGGAGGAUAAAACAUAAAAAGAGAAAGAAAAAGAGAAAAUGAUGAGAAAGAAAGUGGUAUGAAAUAAAAAAAUUAGCACUCCUAGUGGUGUAUUAGAGAAGGCAUGCGGAUUGGAUGGCUUAUUGUCAAAUUUCUCUUGAAGUUCCCUAGCAACCACAACAGGAGGCUACAGCUUGGAUCUCCUCCAUUUGCCACACCUUCUUCCUUUACCGAGAAGAAAGGUCUUGAUUGCCUCAUUAUUGCUUUGGAGUUCAGCGCUGUAUUUCUUGGCCUCAUCCAGCUCUGGCUCCGAGAUGCUUAUUCUCGAACUGCUGCCAGCAACACCAAUGACCAGGCGACACCGGUGAUUAGCACUGAUGCAUCUGUGAUCGUGGGGGCUGAGGAAUGGAAGGCCGGAGCAAUGGCUAGCCCGACUGCAGGCAUCCGACUAACAGACUGGUCAGAAGCAACAGGGGAAGUCCUACAAAGACAAGAGAAAGCUCUCAGCAAAAGAAGACUUCCCGAGAACAAGGAAAAAUUAAGUCUACAUAUAUACUUACGUGGCUUACGGCUUUGAGGAGCAACGCGGAGUGAGGGGUGUCAACUAGCCUUGGGACUAGUGACUAGUGAAAAUAUACUUACAUCUUCGAGGAGGGACUAAGUCUACGUAUAUACUGUCGGCGCUCGAAGGAAGAGAUGGCUGAGAUGAGAAGAAUGGACUUGAAGGUGAAAUUCAAAGGCAGCCUACAAACUUUAUCAAAGAGAAAAAGCUUACCAAGGUUGUGCGUGUUCUAGAAUCUGGAGCGAAGAUGGCAUUCACCACCUCAAAGUGCUUAGUCCAUUUACAAUCAUUCUGAACUCGAAAAUACCUAAUUGAAACCAAUCCGCACCUAUCCAUUUCACCUGUGCACUCAAACUGAGCAAAACCCAAACUAAAAAUCAGCUCAUUGAACCCAUUUGAUCCCAACCAAGCAGGCCUAAACAUGAGGGAGCCCUCGCUCAUCUGACCUUAUUUGCACUACCAGAUAAGCACUAAGCAUAGUUACAAUAGGAAAAAUGUAUUUAAUGUGGACUAGGAAAAAAAAUUUAAGGCAUUUAGAAAGCUGACGUUAUGAUUUGGUUACAAUAAUCUAGUUGAGGAGCCAAAUAGGUGAAUUAGACAGUUAUGCACUCUUGUUUAACUACAAUGUAUUAGUAAAAGAAAUCUAUUUCGCUUAAGCAUGAGAAGUGAUUGCUUAAGCAAAAGAAUGCGUAAAUAUACAGUUAUACACAUACCAGAGUCAGAAGUACUUCAAAUGUUUCCAGUGCUGCUAUUUUGACACACAGUGAAGACAUUGAUUUUCUAAUGCAUGUAGGUUCAGGGCUCCCAGCAAUUGAGCUUUUCCCAUGCAAUGCCUGAUUGUUGCUGGAAGAUCUUUCUAAUGAAGACUGAUUUAUUCCUCCUAUUGGAGCUGAACUCAUAACGAAUAGGCUGUUGCCAGAAUUAUCAUCCAGAUCAGCAGAAAUGUUGCUAACUACCACCUGAAGCAAGUGCAUACCCAUCCCUGGUCAAUUAGUGGCAAGAAAUUUAAGAGCUUUAACAGAAAGGUGCAUUACAAGUGAAAUAUUAUGAAAUCAUCUGAGACAUAUCCAGUGAAUGCAGCAUCCUGGACUACAAAACCACAGUUGUUUGGCUCAGACUCAACAGGUGGUUUAACAUUUGAUACGUCCAUGUUAACUACUAAAAAAAUAACAGUUACAGCAAGUACAUAGAGUAAAGGUUUUCUCCCGGAACCCCCUUUCCAAGCAUAAAACUUCGUAGAUCAUCUGCUAAUGGCAUGAAAAUUUAUUUUGCUCCAAGGCUCCAAGCAGGCAUAAAGUGACUUAGUGUCAGUAACAUAAAUAUACAAAUAGAUUCUAUACAGUUCUAAAUAUAGAGCCUGACUGUCUAUUUGAUAAAGAAAAAGAGAAUGCCAGCUUGUCUGGUUUGUACGAACGUUGUUGUCUAAGCAAAAUUCAGCUGACCUGUUUCAUGUACAAACCCUCUAUAUAUCCUUUCCAGCAGAAGCGAACACCUGGCAUAUGCUCACUUAUGCAGCAGUUUUAGAUUAACAUAACAUUAUUUUACAUGGAGUCGAACUCAAGGGAUAGUGCUUGGGAGCUUUACUGCUGUGAGAGGACAAGAGUGGCGUAGAAUAAUGUCAUUAACCUCGUUAGCCCGAUCGGGCAUCGGAACUGGAAGAGUGGACAUGUCAAUAUCUCGAUCAGUUUUUAAACUACAGUAUUCUCCCUUCUUCAUUGUGCCAAGCAAUAUUGGAUAUCUAUCACUGUGUAAUAGGAAAUAUUGGCAACUUUUUUAACUUUUCAAAAACAAACACAAUUUGAAAUGUGACAAGUACAUUACCAGUGUCGUGUCAGUAAGAAAUAUCUGUGCAUACCAGAACCUGAUAAUUUGUGGUAACAUGUAUAGAAAUUUCCUACAACACGUGUAAGCGACAAUUCACUAUUGAAUGUGAAAGGGGGCUAUGCAACUCUGCGAAGAAAUUAAAGAUGUGAUAUUUAUUAUAACAAAGUAAUUAAACAAUAGAAUCGAUGACAAAAAACAGCACGCGAAACAUAUCAAUUUCCAUUCAGGACUAUCAUUUCUGAACACUUGUACGAUUAACUCACAAGUUGGCUAAUUUCGAUAACCCAACUUCAAAUAUGCCAAACUAGUACUUUUAAUAAGAAAAGUUAAAUGAAAACAUAUUAUUGGUUGGCAACUCAGAUUGAGAACACUUAUGGAGUUCUCUACAGUUGGUUUGAUAUCCUUUUCCCCCCAAAAAACUCAACAGCUCAUUAUUUCCUAAGACCCCCGAAAUGAUUUUCAAUGGUGCUCUGUCUAUUCACAAUUGUACAGACAGGCCCCCAAAGAGAUCCAGAAAUGACAUCAACAGUAGCUAAUGGUAAGAGUUACAAAACAAGUGUUUUGAGUUCGAGAGGAUAAGGUGCAUACUAAAGAUGAUUAGAGGUUAUUUGGAUCAGACAUUAGUUAUCAUUUUCAAAUAUUUGAGGCCCAAGGAGGCAGGGAGAUUCCUCAAAUAUCAGAUGUGGAUUGUGGAGAAUGGAGGCGAUAUUUCGGAUGGAAUAUGAUAAGGCCCCAGGACAAUAUGGUUUUCCAGCUAGAGUUUUACCAAGUUUUCUAGAUCAGAGGGACUGAUUUGAUGGCCAUAGUAUAUGAUUCGCAAAGGCACACUUCCCCUUUACUGCCAUCUUUGGUACUACUAUGUUGUUACAAAAAAGCAAAGAGAUGACAACUAUACAACAAUAUAGAACCAUUUGUCUACUAAAUGUGAGUUUAGAGAAAAACUUUACUGAAGUGACCACAAUGAGAAUUGCUGGAGUGCAAAAUUUUUAUAAGAUCCACGCAAACAACUUUUAAGCUUGGACAUUGUACCAUGGAAGGAAUUACAGUUCUUCAUGAAACAAUCCAUGAGAUUGCUUAGGGAAAAAAACCAAAUGGAGUGAACUUUUAACAACAUACUUAACUAAGAAAUAUUAGAUGGGACUCUUGGAUAGAACAUUUUGCAACAGGGGGAGUAUGAUGGUAAAAGUGAUGAUAGUUUGAACUUCCGAACUAAGACAGGGUGACCCAUAGUGCCAUAAUCAACUCUAUUAUUUAAUAUUCGGUGGUUAUGUUGGCAAUUUAGUAAUAUACUAUUCACUUUAAUUUGAUAUUAUACGUGGCUAUCAAUUUAUAUUUGAUUGUUUUUAAAUAAACAGUAGCAGAAUCCCUAAGUUCUAAUCAACUAAAAUUUUGUUCCAUAGGGCUAUUGUAGAGAAUAAGUGAACAAAAUGGACAGAUAGAAUUGUGAUUGGGGAACUCAAGUAACAUCGUGAUUAUUUUAAGUAGUCUCUACGCAUGUAUCCCUAUUAUACAUGCUUUGGGCCACUGGCUCAUCGAACUACAAGGUCCAUUACAUCAACACUAUUUAUCCACUAACUUACAGAAGAAAUGCAUCAGUGUUUUGUUUCGACUACUAAUGCAAGUGGUGUGUUAAGUAUAUUUUUUAUAAAAGUGUGAAUGACCUACCAACACCCAUCGAGCUCAUCAAUAAUCGCACAAUAGUGUAGAGUUUUCUUCUUACUGCAGGCAGCUUUGCUCCUUUGAAGUACUCAGUUAUGAGCGUUACAACACUACCAGCAUGUGGUAAUAGUGAACUGCAGGAGAAAUUAUAACUAAAAAUUAAAUCAAUUUAUCAUCUUAACAUCACAUGAGAUAUCUAUGAAGGCUACAAUACUAUAGCUAGUACCAACUGCAAUUAAAUUAGAUAAGGGGUAUGGUAAUCAUCAUUAGCCUCAUUUGCAAAAUUUCAAGUGAUAAAGCACUUCUGGAAAUCAUUUAGACAAACAAAAAAUCAAAGUUAUUUUUCUAAAGAUCAUAAAUUUCAAAUAUUGUACUGAAGCUUGUCUGCUAAUGAUGUGUGUGUGCGCGUGUGUGGAAUUAUGUGUUCUGUUUCUUCAUAUGUUCUUUUAAAUUUUUUUUUUGUGAAAGAUCACACAAUUACUCACCAAUCCUGGUGAUUUGUGUGUGAAUAAUUUUGAAAGUAAGGCAGAAACAAAAGAUCAAGAAUGCAUGUUACCUGCGCAUUCCUUUAAUAAUGGCACCAAGAAAAUCCAAGAAAGAUGAAUGCAGUUCUAGAAUCUCAGAAAAAGAAAGAUGACAUGAAGGGGUGUCUUGUUGUACUAGUGAUGAUUUAUGAAAUGUUACAUCUGUCAGCAGCACUCGUUGUAUAAAAGUUACCACCGCAGGCACUGGAAUAUUCACCUUCAAUUAAAAUAAGGGCCCAAGAAUGUCUGUUAGUGCUAAAGAUUAAAAGCAAAAACAAUGUUUCUAACAAACCUGAAUUGGAUAAGAAGUAGUUAACAUCAUGGAGCAGCAGUGUAUAAGUGCUGAAAUUGUAGGAACUGCAAAUGUGCAAAAUUUCUUUGCUGAAUGAAAGUUCCAAUCUCCAUAGGUUGUCUGGCCUCCUGACAGUGGUGGAGGUUUACUUCCAGGUGAAAUUAGUGGCAUCAACUCAAAUCCAGUAUAGCCUGCAAAAUGAACUUGUGGUUCAACAUUGCACAAAAUUGUAGUACAACUGAGAAGGUAAAAAAUGAGGCACCAAAUAUCUUUGCCUUCAUCCAGUCCAACACAACUACCAUUUAACAAAUUGUUGACCACAACCAAUAUCUUCUGGAUCAUCAGUGACAAACUAUUAUGUGAUACUCUGACACAAGGCAAUAGUGCUAAAGUGCUCGCAAGUUUCUGAAAGAUGAGAAAAAUGAAAGGAUCAGUCACAAGUGGCAAACUGAUGAUAAUGAAAACUAAAUCAAUGAUGGAAUCAAAUGAAAAUUAAAAUGGUUCAAUAAAAGCAAAUUCCAUGCCUUUGAAUGUUGUAGAUUGCAUUGACCACUCAUAAUCUUUGCUGCAAUGAUGGAUUCAACCUGAAAUUACUAAUAUCAGUAUAAAACUUACUACAGUCAGUGAGACACAACCAAUAGAUCCACACUUUGAUGUAAGAAUGUCAGCAUUAUCCAUAUACUUGUGAAGGUGAGCGUAUAUCAUAUUGUCACAUAGAAAUAUCAUUGCAAGGCAUAUAAGAAAUGAGUGUGGGGUAUGCUACCGACCAGAUGGAAACUGUGAAUCUUUGAUCAGCCAGAUUGUGCUCUCCAUUUUGUACUUAAUGUGUCAAACCAGGUAAAAGGUAAGAGAUGCAUUUGACGUGCUAGAUUCAUAAAUCAACUUGAGCUCAAGGUACCAACAAAUUAUGACAACAGAAUGAGCGGUAGAGGUUAUUAUAAUCUCUCUAUUCCUAUACUUCUGAUUACUAAAAUAAGCAUUCCCAAUAAGCCACAUCAUAGAAAAAUUGGAAGCCUUUGGAUGAAAGCAUAGAAGAAUAAUAGCCAUUGAAUGUUAAACAUGUAUCCGACAUCUACAGAUACAAGAAUGGCAGUUACCAAAAUCAUAGGACAUGAAGUUAGCCAACCAAACCAUAUCAUAACUGCCUACAUGAAAUAAAUCUCUCCGUGGACAUGCUUGCGCUGAUAAAGCCCAUAACAGACGGAUAUGCGUCAGUUAUCACUUCACUACACAUGAUCAAAAACCUUUUAUAAAAUAAAUUACAAAGAACUGUCAGCAAAAUAUGGUUUAGAUUCCCCACAUAAAUAGAAGUGUGUUCUUCAUUUAAUUUCAUAUCCAGAAUCGCAAGAUGGUUUGGAUUAUCUGUUCCAAUAAUGAAUCCUUUUCUAAGUAUGGUGAAUUGUUAUGCUGCUCCUUUUAUGUUCUAUGUUUAAAACAAAGUCCAGAUCACUUAAACAUUGGAAGAAACGGAUCUAAACAACCCUAAAAAAAUAAAUCACUGUACCCAAAAUAAUAUGAAAAUUGUGUAAUUCUUGGACUUAAUUCCUGGUGAUAUCUGUGUAAAUUUUGGACUUCAUUCCUGGGGGUCAUUAGACAGGUUACCAGCCUGCUCUGGAAUACAAGUUUAUCCGUAUGUCUUUGCUACAAACCAGGAGGAGUUGCUGAACAUGAGAUUCAUUUCAAGAAAUAACAGCAAUUUCUUGGUGUCAAACUUUCAAUCAGUGUGACUUUCUGUAUACUCCCUCCUUUUCUAAAUAUUUGGCACCGUUGACUUUUUAGCACAUGUUUGACCGUUCGUCUUAUUCAAAAACUUUUGUGAAAUAUGUAAAACUAUAUGUAUACAUAUAAGUAAAUUUAACAAUGAAUCAAAUGAUAGGAAAAGAAUUAAUAAUUACUUAAAUUUUUUGAAUAAGACGAACGGUCAAACAUAUUUAAAAAAGUCAACGGCAUCAAACAUUUAGAAACAGAGGGAGUAUUAUAUAGGAAAUGCUCAAUCAACCUGUCUAAAGGAACAGGAAGGUUAUGAAUAUUCAUGAUGAAAAUCAGGCAAAGGAGUAAUAUGAACGAUCAAAAGCCACAGACACCCGUACAAGUUAGCAUACAUCUAAUGCUGUCUAAUCACUCCAUUUUAAUGGCACUGGACAAUCAAAAUGUAAAACAAUAACCAGAAAGAAAUUCACUAUACUUUUAUGAUGUGGCUGGUACAAACAAAGAAAUUCACAAACAACAAAGGAGAUUACAAAUAAAGUAGCUCAUACUUUGUUGAAGUGCCGAUAUACUGAUGAUGGGAAGAGUUUCAUAAUUAAACCAAGUAAGUCAGUUGCUUUCUCCUGCACACAUAAACAACAAUAUAUUUUCUUAGUGGAGAAGUUUGUAUUUAGGAAAUCAUCUUGCUUGAAGUGUAAAGAAGCUUAUACCGCAACAGAACCAUCCUUGUCCAACAGCCGCAGCAAUGGUUGGACAACUUUUUGGGCUAACAAUGUUGCCUCGUCCUUUAAAUUUGAAAACUUCGCCAAUCUGUUAAAAAAAAUAUGGGUUGCCUUGCUUUUAUGCUAAGCAUUCUUAUACUAUGAAAUUGCAACAAAUGAGCAAUAAUGCUAGCUUUUUAGGAGUGGUGCACAUUGCUUUUUCCAUUGAUGCCCUCCACUAGAAUUCUCCCCUUGUUAAAGAAUUUUAUUGAGAUUGUUGAACUCAAUAAAAUUCAGUGGCAACCCAGUUUGGUGACUGCAUGAUCAAUCGCACUAUUUUUCUUUUGACUUAAUUAGUCAGUUUGACUUAAGUGAAACAACUAAGGAACUUUACUGUCAUGAACACAGAAAUAACAUAGAACUCCAAGUUUUGAUCAUCUAGUACGGACCUUAAUCAUGCAUUCUCAGACACAAGCAGUACGCCUCAGGGGCAUACCUAUGUAUAUCUUCCCAUGUGCACAACACAGGACCAUCGGUAGAUUGUUCUCCUCUAGUUGACUUAUGCCAUGCUAAUUAUCAUAUUAGUCAAUGGUUAGAUCAUUAGUACGUAUAGGACCCUCGGUAACUUUUGUACUAGAUUUGCCACUGGUACACCUGCUGAAUAUGGGCCUUUAUAUGCUAUAUAUAAUAAUACUUUGGGCAAGUAUAAGUUACAACCUGUAUAGGUUAUAACAAACUACCAAACUGCACAUUUAAACUUGUAGUUCAAAAGACUACAAAUUUUACAAACAAAGAUAGUAAGGAGUUGUAAUAUUUUACAUCCAUAAUGAAAUGACGUUAGAAUGCCACUAAAAGUGCUUAAUUUCAAGGUUUAACCUCAUCUUCGUAUAUAUUUUCUCUUUGAAGGAAUUUGCAUUUUAUUACCAUGUCCUAUGCAUUCUUUUUAUUUUACUUGUACAAUUUUUGCAGCUCUAUAUAGCUGAUGUGUUCAUGAAAACCACACGUGAUAGAUGUUGACUCACUGUUGAAACAUUGCAACCCAUUUGUAUUCCUUUAUGCUUUACUAUUAAAUGAUCAUAAAUGCACUCCCCAAUAGGAUAGUCAAAAAAAUUCAGUUAGCCAUACAUGUCACAUACCUCAUAAACAGACUAGCCAUAGCAGUACAAGUGGCUAUGCUUACCAUUUUGUUGCUAGAUGGGACCUGCUCAAAGUAUUAUAGAGAAUCUAUCAGUUUAUAUUCCAAGAAACAAUAGCCAUGCCAUGCAUGAGACAAUCCAUAUUAUAUACUAAUACAACAUAAAUAAUCAAAUUUGGAACAUAAACAGAAUAAUUUAGAUGAUACCAUUCUUCUGUUUGUAGAUUGGCAUGUGUUGGAACAAAUUAUAUGUUAAUUUGAUUAGUAACAAUAAAAGGGAAUUGAAAUGGAUACAACUGUUUGAAGCAGUUAUGUUCUGAAGCACCUUAUGUAGAGAGUCACUCAGUCACAGACUGUAAUGACUUGAUUUAUAAUUAUUUGGCAUGUCAUGUAUCAGUAAUAUGAAUUGAAAAUAAAGGUAAUGUAGUUUUAAAAAGUAGACAGAAUCUCAGUCCCACAUACAGCUUGAAAUAGAACAAUAUUGUAAUUUUAUAUUACAGGAAGACCAGAAACAACUCUGUGGAUCAUUAUAAGAGCUGAUCAAUUACUUCCUAGAUUUCAGGAAAAUAACUAAACAGGAACAUAAGAAUCCUAAUACAUAAAAGUUCUUUUUGCCUACAUUAAUUCAGAUAGACCCUCCUAUUAAAAAAAUUCAGAUUGACCUUCACUUAUAGUUUGUUUUUGAGCAUUCCAAAAGCAUUUGAAGUUUGGACUGUUUUUUCCUGCCUUCUAACAAGGUGUGCAAACUAAAAUGUUCUGGAUCUAGGAGCAAAAAGAAAUAAGGAUAGAGUUGAACCAGAACCCAACUUCUUCAUUUGCAUUCACUGUUCAGAAUUUUAUUGAUCAACGAUUACUAAGACCAAAAUAGAUUGUUCAAUAGAAUGUCUAGUGUGCUAAAUCAUAUUUAGAACAACAUUGUCUGCAUGAGUUGUACUGAGGAUUCCUCAUUUCUUCUGCACAUUCUUAAAAUAUCUAAAUAUUUAUAACAGCAAAAUUCACUAUCAUCUGAUCACACAUAUAGUAACUUAAAUGUCAAACUUUCUUUUCCAUUAGAACUGCAAAAAAGUGAAAAAAAAAAACAUAUAGUUCACAACAGAAUUAUGAGAAAUAUAAUGCAUGAAACCUACAAAAUGUGAAUACAUGUAUUUAAAACUGCAUUAAAAUAUGUAUGUUACCUUAAUUUUUUUCAUAAUCUUCUCAAACCAGAAAGAGUAUGAGUUUGCAAAGCGGUCCUCACUGCACUCUUCAAAUGUCAAACCAAGAAAAGAAGUGCCCACCCAACAACUGUGUUCCUGACCAAAAUUUGAAUAGGGUAGUAUAUUAGUAAAAGUGCAGUUAUAGUACUGUUAAUUUGUUGAGUUAUCAUAUUAUCACAUAGCAAAACAAAAGAAGAUACCAGCAGAAGGUUUGUUAUGGUUGGAAUACAGUACAGCCCAUAGCUAAGAUAGGGAAUCAUGCUCCGGGCACAGGACAGAGCAGUCUAGCGUGGGGCAAGGCAACAUAUGUCGCAGUGCUGGGGACACGAGAAGGAUCGCAAGAGAGUCUGAGUGGGAGUAGUUUUCAUCUACAAAAGUCCUAGUCAAGUCAACUCCAAGAAUCAUGGUCCAGUCAUCAUUGUUGUCAAGUCACGGACUUCACAAUCAAAGAUAGAAUCCUGAUCCAGGGGAUGCUAGAAGCAACUUGAAUCCUAAUAAUAUGUUGUCAGCAACCAGGGAGAUCCCUCUUCUAUUUGCUCUCAUUGCCCCAGCACACAACAGAAUGUUAUCAGUGUCAAGAUCCAUCACACCUGGAAUCCAGGGCACCAUGCUGAAGAACACCAUGAAGCUUGAAGAAAAGACUAAGCAGCUUGAUACGGAGAACACUCAGCUCUUCACAAUCAACAUGCACCUGGAUAGGCAUAAAGCACAUUUCAAACACAUCGAGAAGAUGAAGGUUUAUGGUGAUGCCAACAGUAUCUUGGUGUCAUGAUUGAAAUAGCACUGCUACAACUCCAGCAUGCACGCAAGAUGACAAGGAAGGCACUAGGGUCCUCAAUAUCACAAACUGGAGUUCUCUGUAUUAGACAAAAAGGAUGAUCUACAGCAAUCCCUCAUUUCAGCUCGACUACAAGAUGUCUCUGCAGGGAGAGAUGAUGUCGUUGAGCUCUAGUAUAGCUAGUGGCCCAAUUGGGGAGUCAUGAUCCUAGGCACAUGAGAAGGAUAUCAAGAAGAGUGUGAGUCAGAGUUGUCAUCGAUUCGGAGUCAAAGAUUUGAAUCCUCAUCUAUUAGGGGGAACCUAUCAUAUAAUGGCGGCCAAAUCUAUUGAGAAAUCAAGCAAGUUCAAUCUAUCUCUCUCUGUCCCUCAUUUUGCCAUGCGCUCGUGACUCAGUCCUCUGUGCUGUUGAGGCUUUCCAGUGCUGGCAACCAGGGAGGUCCUCUCCUCUACCUGCCUUAAUUUCUCAAUCUCCCAAGCACAUAAUAACAGUAUUAAGUUAUAUUUUCGAGCAGAAAUAAUUGCUAGAAAAAUGAAUCAGUUUUCUAUAGAUAAUCCAUAUAUUAUCUAAGAGGUGAUAACAAGUAUUGAGGGUUAAAAUGGUUGAAAUUUUCACUAAGACAAAUGUUCAAACAAUCAACAGACAAAUGCAAUUUCAUCUUCAUACCCUAUAAAAUUGGUGAAAUUUUGUGUAAAUUGCAGUGCUGGAGUGUUGAACUGUUGAUAUCAUUAUGUUUUAGUCAUGUACAUAUUCAUCGGCUACUGUCAUUAGCUUUAGCUAGUCAACUAUAUAUGUGAUAGCGUCUUGGUCUAUAAUCGGGUGACAGUCAUCAACACCUGUUAGACCUGUUUAAAAUGCGAGAACUGUCCUUGGUCCCUAAGGGAUUUGAUCAUUCAACUGCUCAUGUAAAACAUAUACAAAUCUCCAUUUCAAAAGGGACCUAACUCAAAUAAACCUCUUAUGCAGAGUUGUGGACGGCUUGUCUCAUAAUCACAUGAUCUAAGAUAUUAAAUUGACAGUGAAUGCGAAUAUGCCAUAUAAAUAUACUCUUGGGCCUUGGCCCCAGUGCACCAGAGACUGAACUUCCAAGAACUCAGUGAUGCUGAUAAACAGAAGAGAUGAUGAAGUACAGUGCGUUCUAUGUGCAGUUGAGGUUGCAGAGUCAACAAUUGUGCUUCCUUUCUUGAUUUGCAACUUGCCUGAUUAAUGGUCACAGUUGCCUAGUAUGAAAGACGUCCUCAAGAGAGGAUGAGCAUCUAACAUUGGUCACGUCGUACUAAUAUCAAACCAAACUACCAAAGGAAAAAUUCGGAACUUGGCACUGGUCAUCCAGCAUAAAAGAAAAUCUCAAAAUAGGGUGAAUUCCGCCCCCAACAAAGACAUAAUGAUUCACCAAUACUUGACGAAACAAAAACGGGAGACGUGAUCGGAUCGCACUCGCAGGUAUAGGAAGGAAACCUAGGGGAUAGGCAGAGACGCGGAGACAUACCCUGUCGCUCGCGAGGAGCGCGACGAGGCGGUCGACCCAGGCGUCCACGGCGGCGCUCCACUCCUCGAGCAGCCCCGGGUCCGCCGCGCCCUCGACGGCGAGGAGUCCCUGCUCGCGGACGGCGGAGAGCGCGCGGGCGAGGUCGGCGGGGCUGCGCGUGGGCUGGAGGUCCGCGGCCGGAUCCGGGAGCGGGAGGCACUCGGCGAGCACCCGGCGGAGAAGCCGCGGGCGCAGGCGGAGGUCGUGCAUCCCGGUGAGGGGGAGGUCCCCCGCCGCCGCGGCGUGGAUGUGGGAGGCCAUCGGGCGGAGGAGACGAGGGAAUUGGAGACGGCGAGGAUGGAUGGUUGCAAGAAAGUAGAGAGGAGAGGAGGCGAGGGUUUGGAGGUUUCGUGGCGCGGCGGACUAGCCGUUACCAGUACCCAGUUGGGCUGAGGCGUGUGGCCGUGGCCACCGCGCACAGUACACAGCUGGAUACACAUAACACACGUCGCGACUAGGAUGAAAACGGCUCUAGUGACUCGAAAACCACCGCAGAGCCCAUCGGUUUGUCUAAAGGCCAUUCCUCAGUAUAGAAGCACAAAUAACCUGGGUGUUGGAACUUAGUCCUAUAUCGUAAGCAUGUACUAGUUAUAUAUUAAACAUUAUUAGUAUAAAAAUACAGUUGUAUCAUAAUUCCCUAAUAUUUUUUCUACUAAACAUUAAUACAGAGGUGAAUCUCAUGUGAGUCUACUAUCUUAAUUAUAUUAUCUUACCCCUUUUAAAUUAUGGUGGAUUAAUUACAGAUUGAUUAAUGAUGUAUAAUUAUCUUUACGACACUGUCUUCCCUGUGAAAUAUAAAUAUGAUACCCUUAAGAAUAUUCAUGAGUGAAGUGCUAUAUCGGUAUCAGUGCACUUGUAGAUUUAUCUGUAAACGUAAGAAAUACCAAUAAAGAUGUCGAAUGUCUGGUUUUGCAGAUUAUGGGGGUAAUUCGUAUUGACGUAGUAGUUUAGGGGAAAAAGAACAGAUUAUAGAUGGAACGUUCAAUCAAGAAGUCAAUUAGAACUUCAGCUGAUCAAAGCACUGUGGCCGGUGACACUACGGCAGUCGGUGCCUGGUGAGGAUCCAUUAUGCUUCUACCGUUCAGAUCCACUGCCGGAGACUGAUCUUUGUUGGGUCACCAAAAACUACACUAGUUCUGGUUCGAAUAAAAAUUGAAACUAAAGAUUAUUUUUUAGUUCCGGUUAAAAAGCUGAAGAGAACUUUUUGAUCUUUAGUUCCAGUUGAUGUUACUACUAAGGUGAUAAUGAUAAGCUCUUUAUUUUUAUGUCCAUUGCAUCUUCAUUUAAAGUGUACAAAAAACAGGAAACACAUCCGAAGGGGACACUAAUUAUGUCUAUUGGAAAAUCAGUCUUCUGAUGUUUGGAGCUUGUUUCUUACGACUUUCUCUUUCAGCAGGCUUCUUUUUUAUUAGAUUCCCUAGACUAUCUUUAUAAGAAAUGGUAAGGAGGCGCUGCUAUUGAUUUGUAAUAUUUGGUGUCAGUUGUGCAAUGUCUGACCAGAUCAUUAUCAUACACAUUAAUUUUUAUGGUCAUUAACUGCAGAAUCUGAAGAAAGCAGAAACCAACAUUUUUGUUCUCCACGAUUUGAUCUAUGAUCACAAGGAGACAAGAUAUUAUUUUCAAGAGGAUUGGAACCAACAUUUUUGUUCUCCACAGUUUGAUCUAUGAUCAAAAGGAGACAAGAUAUUAUUUUCAAGAGGAUUGGGUAAGUGUCGUAAUUGUCAGUUCAGCAAUCUCGGCCAAGCUUGAUUCUUAUAAACAGAAAUCGAGCCCACCUUGGCACUAAUGGAUGUCCAUCCGUAGUAUUGUAUUUCUGAUUUCCUAAAGUGGUCUUGGUGAAGGUUGAUGAUUUGUAUACUUUCACUAUAGUUUCGUUGUUUCUCUGUUAUUGAAUCAUACUAAGAUAUGACUCAAAUUUAAUAGUUGAAAUAAGCUUAGGCUUUUAGACCUUUCUUCCGUUACGUGUACUGAAUGCAUUAUUAAUGUAUUAAAUUGAUUUUAAGAUAAUAUCCAUGUUUAGUGACACUUAAAAAAGAAUCACGAAGAAAUUUAACCCUACCAGAUUUCCUCCUAUGUAUCAUGACAAAAUAAAAAAUUAUAUCCCGUGCCACAAAUAUAUCUUUUGAAAAUUAAUAUAGUAAGGAUAAAAUCCGUCAUGUGCUUGUUUCCAGGUUUAUUUUACUGUCAUGUCCUAUUAGAGAUGAAAUGGCUAUAAUACUGAUUGUUUGCUCUUCCUAUGUAGGCCCCAUGGUACCGAGUGCAUUAUAUUAUACCCAUAGUUUGUACUGAAAUUUAGUUGAGCUUUUGGUGUAGAAAAGGUAAUUGGUGGAGGACGAGAGGCAGAGGGUGAUUCCAUUGAAUGCUUGAAACAUUUGUUUUGGUUUUCUGUUUUAAGAUUUCCUGGAAGCAAAUUUAACCAUAGCAUGACAAAUGCCUAGCCCUUCAAUGAAAAUAUAGAUGUUUUAACAGUUUAAAGUGCAGCUAUACCUUUUCAUCGUAUUUGAUAUGCAAAGUAGGUCAACUAGUGCAAAACCCUUUGGUCAUCCGAAAACCAACGGUGGUGUGGCUUUGAAUGAAUGUGGAUUAUCUUCAGUGUUGUAGUGCUCUUUCGUAUGGGUUAAUUGUCAUUAGGAACUUUUGUUGUAAUUAUGUCAAAAAAAAUGAUUGUGCUGUAACUAUAACUACUAGCAACUGUGGUAGUUUAGGUGUCUGAUAACUUUUGCUACAAAUACUAUCAAUGAGCAAUGAUUUUCAUUAAUCAUAUGCAGUUUUUUUUUUUUGCGGGGAAUCAUAUUGUGUGUGCCCUUAAAAUUUAAGCUAGCUGUGUACAGGCGGCGCGCGCCGCCUGUAGUGAUGAUCCAACGGGGAUGGAUCGAGUCUCCAGUCUCCACGCCACGCACGGUGAUAAAUAUCCCACUCGGAGGCAGGGAUGGGAAAUCUAGGUAAGCAUAUCCUCGAUCGAUAAUUCUAUGAUGCGUAAUCUUUUUUUUAUUAUUUAUGGAUUAUGGAAACUUAGAUUCGACUACACUGGCCAAGGUCACCUGUGACGGGCCCAAACCCUCAUCUUUGACGGCUUCAUGCAUGGUCAGUGAUCAGUGGUCACUGGUGAGUCCAGUUACCUUUGACGGGUGGCCGGCCGUCACAGGUGACACCCAACUCUGACAGGCAAGUUACUAGAAGGCCGUCAGAGGUGUUGGUCUCCGCUAGCCUAAGGCGAGUUGGGACCCGUCACAGGUGACACAUCUCUGACGGCCCUUUAAAUAAAGGCCGUCAAAGGUGAUGGUCUCCGUAGUUAGAAGCUGUCACAGGUGAUCUACCUAUGACGGCCCCAAAAGUAAAGGCCCGUCACAGGUAGGUCACCUCUGACGGGCCUUUAUUUGCUAGUCCGUCACAGAUGAUGUUACCUUUGACGGAUUUUUGUUCCGACCCGUCACUGAUGAGUUAAUUCCAAAAAAAAAAAUAAAUGCUAAAUAUUGGCUAGCCUCAGGAUUUGCUAGUCAUGCCCUCUGAAACACAGAUAAAUCACAGAUAUAUUCCAGUCACCCCCCAAUAUAAAAUCACAGAUCCAUCUCAAACAUCACAGAUCCCCAACAACACAGAUCCAUAUCAAAAAUUGACAUCAUUCACAUAUGCAGUUCAAAUGCCACAAUUUUGCACAGCAAAUUCACACCCCUUGAAAGCCACAAUUUUAGUCGUUGCUCAUAUAACCGCAUAUAUACUUACCAAAUGGAUUAAAGCCAUAUUGUCCUCGACCUCCACAGCAUGUCAAUAAGGAAAAAAAGGAGAAAACAUAUGAAUAGUACAACGUAAAUCAUAGUUGAUCAAAUUUGAUGACAAUUUAGUAAACUACCAUAAAUAUUGCACAUAUGAAAGUAAAUUACAUUGCACUCCAUAAAAACAUAUUUGUUUACAUCACAAGAAAUUAUGAAAACAUCUUUUUUACAUCACAAUAAAUUAUCUAGCCAAGUUCAUGAGUCUAUUUGACGUGAAAACGUCCUUUCUUGUUCAUUAUUUCUGCCAGAAUGAAGGCGCACACUUCGCCUCUGAUAGCGGGGGGGUUGAUGGGUGAGAUCUUGAAGCCAGCUCUACCUUUCUGUUUAAUAAAUAAGAUGUUAGCACGUUUUGAAUAGCAAUGUUGGUAUUGAAAUGAGCUUAUUCGCCAUUAGCAACAACCUCAGGGUCGAAAUCUUUCACCUCUCUUAGAAGUGUUGACAUGUUGUGGCACAUGUGGAAACCACAUUGGUCUCCGAUCUGUUGUGCGCAUGCGAACUUGGUGUCAUGGUAAAGUUCGUCCUUGCCCUCCUUGUGCCUACCACCCUUUUCCACAUAUGGGCCCCAAGCCAUAUUUAAGGCCUUGGUGAUUUCAGUGAAAUCAUAAUCUUUGGACUUAUUGGAGUUAAGGUAGGUAACCCUACUCCACUUAGGUACGAUGACUAGGAGAAUCCAAUGUCGCCUGCGUAGUGGCUACGUAGCGUUAGUACUAAUAACCUUAACUUCAAAAAUAAUAUACACAAAGGGUAUUGUCCUCUUACUCUUGGUUGUGUGCGCACAUGAUGUACUCCUUGUCUUGAUGGGCCCAUAAACACUGCUUGACAUAGUCAACUACCUCAGUGAAGCUCUGUCGUAAAUUAACCUCGUUCACCAUGGAUGGAUCAAGGAACCCAACCUGAUUACCAAGGCGACGACUCUCGAUCCAACAAAACCUUAAAACAUUUACGUAUUAGAACUAAUUUAAUUAGGAGAUAUAGUCCAAUCAUAUCACAAGUAUAGAAGGUAUGCACUUACAAGGAGUAGCAUUUUAGAAGACCAGUGUCUAACUUCCGGAUCCUGAAAAGGUCGAAGAGGUCAUCAAAGCCUAUAGUUAUAUAGGCAGGCAAUGAUAGGAACGGCUGGUGGUCGUGAUGUCCAACUAUGGAUGACUCCCUCAUUUUCCGCUUGGCAUUGCUUAGCUCCAUGUAUUGCUUAUGUAGCUCUCGGCAAGCAAUACCCAUCACGGCUAACACAUUGUCCUCCACCAAUGGCAUGCCUAGCUCAAAUUGGGCUGGCGCCCUCACGACCUUCCCCGCUUUGCUCAUCGGCAUCGACGUCGCAGCCUUGCCCCUUUUUGGCUCCGGCGCCAACUCCCCGACCUUCCCCUUGCCGCAUUCACGCUUCUGGCCCUUGACAAGUGGUGGGGAGCUAUUGGCCUUUCUUGUGGUCUUUAUUGGAGCCAAGCUUUGAGCUAUAUCUGCCAAGUCCAUAUCAGCUCCACCAGGAGAAUGAGGUACCGACAAUGCUGGUCCACGAGGAGCCUCAAUUGAUAGCUUAGACUUGGGAGGUGUGAGCUCCAUCGGUCGACUUGGACGAGGAGUCAUCUUCACAACUAUGUCUUCUUUGGGCCAUUGUAUGAACGUCUUGCGCGCAUCGCCCAAAGUCAUGAUUUCAUCAUUGGGGGGCACGUGCAGCGGAUAGCCUGACCAGGUGUCCUUUACUGUAUCGAUGGACACCUUGGCAUACCCAGCUAGCAGGUCUGCGCCGUGGACCUUGUCUGUAACCGAGGGCUUGAACGCCAUGCCCUCAGUGACUUUGGGAGCGAAAGUUAGGUGGACCCUCGCCAGUAGGACACACUGUACUACACCCUGCAUAUGUGAAAGUCUGAAUUUAAUAUUGGAACGUGUAAAGGUUUUUUUUAAUAGAUAUGGAUUGUAUAACAUCAAUUACCUCUAUGUGGUCCACUGCAGCUAGUGGUGCGACCAGGAGACCAGGGGCCGGCACCUCUGUGGAUGCACAACUACUCCUAUGCUGUGAUGGACUCGUGUCGUGUUGUGCACGAGGAGUUGGAUGCACAGCAGGUGUUGUGCCUCGGGGUAUAUUCAUGUCGGCGAGGACCUUGUUAACCCUUUCUUCCACCCUAGCGUUCAUGCUAGCUUCUAGUUCUUGAAUGACCACAACCUUAAGUUCGGCCUUCAAACGAGCGUCCCUCUCUUCCUUGGAGACUUUCCGUUUCCUGUAUUGGGAGCUGUACUGCGGGAGUCCAUGCUUCCAGGGCACAUCGCUACCAAUUCCCCUAGUCCGCCCAGGAUGUUAUUUGGUUCCGAGCGCCUUUGUGAGGAUGUCAUCUUCGCGCCUCCUCAGCGCGGACUCAACCUCGCUUUGUGAAGCUUGUUCAGCAACCAAGCCCAACUAGAAAAAAAAGAGUCGUUUAUACGAACUUCUACUUUAUACGAACGGAAAUUAGUUAGGUUAAGUAGUGAACUCACCAGUUCCUGAUAGACGACAACAUCACUUUUGUUCUCAAAUGUGACAGAGCCGUCCGGGUUGACUUUACCCCUUGCCCACACCCAGUUGCGAGCUCUUUGUUCAGGGAUGUCUGAAAACGGGGCAGGGACAUUUGCUGCUGCAGUGGCUGCAUCUUCUUGGGCCCAUAUUGCCUCCUUGCCGAUGUACCCUGCAGUGCCCAGCCGAUAUGGGUGCUCAUUCCGCUAUUGCAGUAGGCGAUGUGCCUCGCUUGAUUCCCUAAACUCUUGGGUUCUUGAGAGAGCAGAAUUCCUCCCACACCGCUUCAGUUAUUUGAGGGUAUUCAUCGAACGGCGUAUGAUUGCCGGGCGGGUUGACAAACUCGGUGAAGAGCUUCGACUUCCAAUUCUUCCAAGCUUUGCCCAUCUUCUGGAAUGCCUUCCGCUUGAGCCUAUCCUUUGCUUCAGCUGGAAAUGUGAACCAUUUCUCCAUUGCCGUCCAAGCUCACUCUUUCUCGGCUUCUGUGACCUUGCCGAUAUCUUUAUGGAGGAUCCCGAAGUUCUCACGUGCCGCCAGCCCGCAGUAGUUAGACCAUCUUCCAAUGACAGUCCUGGGCGCCGUGGGCCUACCACUAGCGUCAACCUCUCUUAUAACUUGCACUGUGGUCGGCCAUAUAUUUUGUGACCGCGGAUUUCUACUCGACCUACUUGCAGUUGUCCCGCCUGACAUCGACGUAUGUUGUUCCUGCGGCAAUUCUGCAGCACAAACAGAAGGCAACAUAUGCUAAGGGGUGCUAGCUAAAAUUUAUGUGGUCAUGUGGUGAAAAUUUAUCCUAUAAAUUACUAUGAAUUUCGGGUUGUUCGACCGUCGUUGUCGAGGGAUAACCUUCGGCAACUGUCUCCGUGGCUGGGUUUGCUUCUUCCUGGAUCCUCGCAGGUGUUGGGGAGGGCGGGUUUGCGCUGGGCGUUGUCAUGGUCUAAUUUUCGCGAAAAAUCUUAUAAAUUUCCAACCAUUAUACUAAAUAGCAUUAGAUCCAAUAUAAUACGGGGUAUACUAUGAAAGAUAUGGCCUCAGUUUUGCUCAGAAAUUAUGCAUGAAUUACCAUCAUUUGCAUGAAGGCAAAAAAAAAGAGGAAAUCAGGUGCUAGGAGAAAAAGCAACCCAAAGUAAAGUGUAAAAAAGAACCAAGUGUACAUAGUCUCCUCUUAUCAAUCUAGAAAAAAGAACAAGUGUAGAUAGUCUCCUCUUAUCAAUCCAUAAAAUAGAACAAGUGUAGUUCAUCUGUUCUUAUCCAUAAAGAAAAGAGCAAGUGCAGAAAAUAAGAGCAAUAGCAACAACAGGGCCAUAUAAUAGCAGCAAUAAGAGCAGUAGCAGGGCCAUAUAACAGCAGUAGGGGUAUAUAUGCCACAGGGGCAGCAACAGCAGGGGGAAAUUCACAUAAACAGCAACAGCAGGGGGAAAUUCACAUAAACAGCAACAACAGAGGGAUAUUCACAUAGACAACAAGGGUAUAUAAAUCAACAAGUGUAGAUAAUCUAUUCUUAUCCAUAAAGAAAAGAACAAGUAUAGAUAGAAUGUUAUUGAGCAAUUCAUCCUUGGCCAUUUAACAAGAAGUACAGGGGGCAACAAUAGCAGUGGUAUAUAAAUCAUGUAUAUAAACAAUUGUAGAUAAAAAAAUGAACAAGUAGGCACAAUAAGAGCAGUAGCAGGGCCACAUAACAUCACUGGCCAAAAUUAAUCUAUACUAGUGCAGAAAAAAUUCAAAAUCAUGCUACAUUCAGCCAACGCAGCAAAAUUAAUCCUAAAAUCAUCUAAUACAAAAAGAUUAAUAGCUCUAAAACUGCAUAUAUUUCAUCCACAAACAGUGCAAAUUCAUCACCUCAUAUAUUUCACAUCUCAAAUAUGCAUAUAUUUCAUCAAUCAUGCAAUUCAUCCAUUCAAUUUAAGCAAGUCAUCCAUCCAAACUGCAAUUCAUCCAUUCAUCAUCUCAUGUUCAGGAGGAGGGGGCGUCGUACCUGGUCAGCGGUCGAGGAGAAGAGGUCGGGGAGGCGGCGUCUUGGAGGCCGGCGUCGGGGAGGUCGGGGAGGCGGUGGUCGGUGGUGUAGUUGCCGGCGUCGUGGAUCCCGGCGUCGUCUUGGGAGGUCGGGGACGCGGCGAGGACGACGGCCUUGAUGGUCGGCGGUGCUGGCUGGCAUCGGGAAGGUCGGGGUCGGGGUCGGCGGAGAGGGCAGAGAUGGCGGCAGAGAGGGCGGCGGAGAUGGCGGCGGAGAGGACGGCGGUUGAGAGGUCGAGGCGGUGGUGGAGAGGGCGGUGGAGAGGUCGAGGCGGCGGUGGAGAGGGCGGUGGAGAGGUCGAGGCGGCGGUGGAGAGGGCGGCAGAGAGGUCGGCGGUGGAGAGGUCGAGGCGGCGGCGAGGGCGGCGGUGGAGAGGGCGGCGGAGAGGGCGGAGAUGGUGGCACAGAGGGCGGCGGAGAUGGUGGCAGAGAGGGCAGCGGAGAUGGCGGUGGAGAGGGCGGCGGAGAGGACGGCGGUGGAGAGGUCGAGGCGGCGGUGGAGAGGGCGGCGGCGAGGGUGGAGAUGGCGGCGGAGAGGGCGGGAGAGAUGGCGGCGGAGAGGGCGGCGGUGGUCGAGAGAGUGAGUGAGUGAGAGUGGGUGCCGGAUCUGGAUAGAUCUAGAAGAGGUCCAACCCUAGGUCAACCCUAGUCAAACUCACCUGUGACGGGCGCCAACGAUGGGGCCGUCACAGGUGAUGUCACCUGUGACGGGCGCCAACUGUGGAGCCGUCACAGGUGACAUCACCUGUGACAGGCCCAACAGUCUGGGCCAUCACAGGUGAGGUCACCUGUGACGGCCCCGCAAUAAGAGCCCGUCACAGGUGAGUUUGCCUACAACAAUUUUAUUUUAUUUUAUUUCACUUAGUUCUUUUAUUUUCCUUAACAUAUUUCCACAUACACUAAUAUCUUUGUUAUUCUUAAUUAUUUUAUUUCACUAACAGUAGUAAUUGCACAAUAAUUAUUUUACUAAUUUUAUUAUUUUAUUUCCAAUGGUUAUACUAAUUUAAUUAUUUUAUUUCACUUCUAGUGGGUGCUUCACUUAAUUAUUUUAUUUGACUAUUUCAUCAGCAAUAUACUAUUGAUCAUUGCGAACUUAUUAGAGUCAUAUAGAUAAGACAUGUAGACAUAAACUACGUACAUAAAUUACAAAAAUAAUCCUUCCUCAUGGUCGACGCGUGCAUAUUGAACGUCAUCUUCUUCUUCCUCCUCUUCUAGAGGUAUUUCUUGACCUAUGCUGUGGACGUGCUGGUUGUAAUCAUCCUCGUCUGCAAUAUUGUCCAAUCCAACAAUUCUCCUUUUCCCUUCAUGAACAACAUGUAGUUUCUUGUUACACGAGUCAACUAUGUAGAACACUUGAACAACUUGUUUGGCGAGAACAAACGGUUCAUCCUUGUACGCGUUGUUAGCCAAGUUGACAGUGGUGAAACCUUCAUUGUCAACUUUUACAUUGCGAAGAUCGACCCAUCGACAACGAAACAACGGGACUUUGAACUUCAAGUAAUCUAGCUCCAAUAUUUGCUCAACUCUACCAUAGUAUUGAUCACGACGACCACUGUCACUAGCAGCCUCAAUGCGUAACCCACUGUUUUGCACUGUGCAUUUGCUGUCUUGCUUUACCGUGUGAAAGGUAUAUCCAUUUAUGUCAUAUCCUUGCCAGGUGGUGGCACUCCAUUCAGGACCCUGUGACAACCACUGAAGUGUUUCACUAGACAAGUUCUGCAACCUGGCAAUUCGGUUCUUCAGCCACUCGUUGAAAGAAGACAUGUGCUUAUUUCUGACCCAACUCUCUGAUUGGCCUAGGUUCUCCUGUCGGAGAACUGCAAGGUGUUCGUCAAUGUACGACACCACCUCAGUCAUAUGCUGCAGCACCGUGAAAUGAGCUUUAUCGUACACCUUCUGAUCCAACCUAACAGUUUUUCUUCCAACAGUACCAACACCAUCAAGCCUCCCUUCGUGAUGAGAUCGUGGUAAUCCAAUUGAAGAUGUUUCUGACAUGUAGUUCACACAAAAAUCGAUGACCUCUUCGGUGGUGUAACUCUCGAUGAUACUCCCCUCGGGGUGUGAACGGUUCCGUACAUAACCCUUAAGGAUCCCCAGGUACCUUUCAUAAGGAUACAUCUGCGAGCCAUGAAUGCUAGACCACAGCACUUUGUUUGCCUCACAAGGUGCACGGGAAGAUGUUUCAUUAUGUCAAAGAAAGUUGGAGGAAAGUACAUCUCAAGAUGACAUAGGGUUCUCACAAGUUCUGCUUGGAGUUCAUCUAGUCCCUCGGGAUCAAUGAUCUUCUAGCCGAUUGCAUGGAAGAAGGAACACAACCGCUGGAUCGUGUGUCGCACUUUAGGAGGCAAAAUAUUCCUUAUUGCAACGGGCAACAGCUGUGUGAUAAGAACGUGGCAAUCAUACGAUUUCAUUCCUACCAACUUAAGAUCUUGCAGUGAAACAAGCCUACUGAUUCUUGAUGAGUAACCAGAUGGAACCUUUAUACUACUCAAACAUGUUAGCAAAUCAAUCUUCUCUUCUUUCGAGAGAGUGUAGCAGGCUGGAGGAAGGUAAACCUUGCCGGAUUCCGUGGUUAUGGGAUGUAGUUCCGAGCGAACACCCAUUUCUUCCAGAUCUCGUCGGGCGUUGAGACCAUCCUUUGUACUACCUGGGUUAAGCAGUAAUCCCAUUAAACUCUCGCAUACAUUCUUCUCGACAUGCAUCAAAUCUAUGCAGUAGCGAACUUCAAGAUCCUUCCAGUAUGGUAGUCUCCAAAAUAUUGACUUCUUUUUCCACAUGCUCCUCUCUUUUGUCUUUUGUUUUUCCAUAUGCUCCUCUGUUUUUCUUUCGACGUGCUCUUCUCUUUUGUCUUUCCAACUUUCCUCUUUUUUCCAAACUUGUUGGUUAUUCCCAUCACUAAGUUGUGCACCUCUGUCCCUGUUAGCUCUGCCGGGGGUCCGGCUGUAUCUCUGUGUCCAUUGAAAUUCUUUUUCAUAUUCCUAUACGGGUGAUACCUUGGGAGAAAUCUCCUGUGACCCAUGUAGACCGUCUUGUGUGAAUGCUUCAACCAUUUGCUUCUUGUUUCCUCCAUACACUCCGAACACGCCCAUUUCCCUUUCACAGUUUGGCCAGAAAGGUUGCCAAGGGCCGGAUAAUCGUUGAUGGUACAAAACAGCAUCGCAUGGAGGUUGAAAUACUCUUGUGCAUAUGCGUCCCAUGUUCGUGUGCCCUCAUUCCAUAGCCUUUCGAAAUCAUCGAUUAUCGGUUCAAGGAACACAUCGAUAUCGUUGACAGGUUGUCUCGGUCCUUAAAUGAGCAUGGCAAGCAUAAUAUACUUUCUUUUGAAGCACAACCAGGGAGGAAGGUUAUAGUUAACAAGUAGAACUGGCCAUGUACUGUGACGAGCUCAAAUCACCAAAUGGAUUAAUGCCGUCCGUACACAUUGCGAAACGCAUGUUUCUUGGGUCAUUUGAGAAUUCCUGGUAAAUCCUAUCGAUUGUCCUCCAGUGUACUGAAUCUGCUGGGUGCCUCAGUAUACUAUUGACUUUCCGUUCUUCGGCAUGCCAGCGCACUAGCUUAGCUUGUUCCUUAUUCGCAAACAUUCUCUUCAUGCGCUCCGCAAUUGGGAGAUACCACACCACCUUUGCUGGGCCUCCCCUCUUUGACUUACUUCCUUCACCUUCACUCUUUGCUCAUUUGUAUCUUGAUGCCCCACAGACAGGGCAGACAUCCAAGUCAGCGUAUUCCUUGUAAUACAAAAUGCAAUCGUUCAGACAUGCAUGAAUUCUUCUGACCUCCAGGCCCAACGGACAUAAUACUUGCUUCGCUUCAUAUGUCGUUUGCGGUAAAUUGUUCCCCUCUAGCAACAGGUCCUUUAACAGCUCAAGAAGUUCUGUAAAACUCUUGUCCGGCCAGCCAUUACUAGCCUUAAGCUCCAUGAGUUCCAACACGCAUGACAACUUGAUGUGCUUCGACUUGCAUCCAUCAUACAAGGGCAUCUGACAAUCAUCCACCAACUUACUAAACUUCUCAAAAUCUCUGUCGUUGUCCUCUGCGUCUUCAAUGUCAUGCAACAUUGUAGAUAGAUAUUGAGUGUCCAAAUCUAUGGUCUCUCCACCUUAAGGAGAAGGUACGAACAUGCUUUCUCGAGCUGCGGCGCCGGCGGUGUUCUCUACAUCCUGGUCCAACACUUCUUCAGCUGCGACAUCAGGCGUCUCUUGCUCUCCAUGCUUGGUCCAGCAGGUAUAUUUCUUCAUGAAUCUAUUCAUUAUCAAAUGAGCAUGCACUUCAUCGCUAUCUUCGAUCAUCUGUUCAUUCUUACAGUCCCUACAUGGACACAACAUGUGCAUGCUCAUCCUACUUUUUCUGUCAUUAUCCACAAAUGUGACAAAUUCAAUGACCCCUCUCUAUACUCGGUAGACGAACGAUGCGCAUAGUACAUCCAUCUACGAUCCAUCUGAAAUCAACAACAUACGAAGAAAAAUAUAUGAUGAUCGAUAUAUUGAGAAGGAAUGGAGAAUAAUAUGUUUUUUACCUUGAAUUUUAGCAAAAAAAUCGCCCCCCUUGCCUUCCCAACCGAUUUGUGAACAGUGAACUGGUCGGGAUGGAAAACAGUUGGCGGUUUGGGGGGUAUUUAUAGACCCAAUACACCUCAAACGGGUUAGAUUAAAAAAGCCCGUCAAAGAUGUUGGUCAUACCUUUGAUGGGCUUCAAUUGAGUUGCCCGUCAAAGGUAUUGACCUACCUAUGACGGGCCGUAAAAAAAAAUCCAUCAUAGGUGGCGGACCACCACCUGUGAUGGCUCAUAAUGCCACGGCCCGUCACAGGUGAGGGGAUAACAGUAACGGGUUGGGAGGAAAACACGUCACUUCCUCACCUGUGACAGCUUUUCCUUCCGGCCCGUCACAGGUGAGGGGAUACCUGUGACGGGCCACGGCCGGAUGCCCCACCGAUGACGGCAAACAUAGCGACCCGUCAAAGGUGACGGUCAUCUUUGACCAAUUCAUAGGCCUGUCAAUGAUAUGCCGUCACAGAUGUAGGGUUCUGGCGUAGUGAUUUUUAGAGAUUGAACUUUUAUCAUCCCGUCCGAACACUUAAAAAUGUAUGAAAAUGUAUGAACGGUCAUGUUCUUUUCAAUUAUUUCACCGGAUUAUUUGCUGCACCAUUUUGCAUCUCUAAAAUUAUGUUUUCUUAAAAAUAGUUUUAUUGCAUUGUUUAGAUCACUUAUUGUAAAGUUGUUAUGUUUAUUUAUCAAAACAUUAAUUUAACCAUGUAAUCAAGUGGAUAAUCUGCGAUAAUAAUUCGACGAAUGAUCUCACUACUACAUAAUAGAUUUUCCUGGACGCCACACUAUUUUGUUUCCAUGCGGUCCGUAAGUGGAACCGCAUGGAAAAAUAGGGAACUGCCAUCGCCCACAUGGGAAAAUACAUUAUCCCGUGCGGGCGGCUUAACUCACCCGCACGCGACCUGUCCCUCCCAAAAUUUCAAAAAAAAUUCAUCCUCUCAACUCUCUCUCUCCUCCCCUACCACAUCAUCCUUAUCCUCUUCUCACCACCUCUCAUCCUUAUCCUCUCAACUCUCUCUCUCUCUCCCCCCCUUACUCUCUUCUCACGCGCGCGCCGGCAGGCGCACGGGUGCGGCUCGACGACCGGCGCGCGGGCUUCGUCGGGGAAGCCCCCGGCAGCAGCGGCGCCGUGCUGAGCGCAUUGGCGGCGGUGAGAUGCGCUGUCGGCGUCAGGGGCCGGGCGCGGGACACGGUGGAGGCGGGUGCAGGGAUCGUCGUGGGUGGCGCGGAGCGAGGUGGCCGGCGCCCGGAUCCGCCCUCCGCCGCCCGGAUCCGGCGGCGGCAUCCCUCUCUCGCCCUUCCCCGCUCGAGGGCGACGACGACGACGACGACGAGACGGGAGCGGCGGCGGCUCUCCUCUCCCUACUUUCGCGGGACGGCGGCGACGGUGCGAGGCGGCGAAGAGCGGGCGCAGCGGCGACCAUGGCGGGCGCGGUGAGGCGAUGACCGGGCGGGCGCGGUGAGGCGACGGCGGCGAGCGGGCAUGGCGGCGAGGGUCGACGGCAACCGGCACCUACGCGGCCAGAUCGGGCGGCGGUGGCCAUCCACCGUGGCGGUGAGGGGCGGCGGCGGCGAGCGGGCAUGUCGGCAAGGGUCGACGGCAACCGGCACCCACGCGCCUGGAUCGGGUGGCGGUGGCCAUCCACCGUGGCGGUGAGGGGCGGCGGCGGGUGGGCUCAACGGCGACGCGACUGGGUGUGUCCAUCCCCGCGGCGGUGAGGGGCGGCGGUGGCUGGGCGGCAAUUUUUCUUUUUUUACUUUAUUUUUGGUUUUUUUAUUCCUUGCGGGCGGUAUAAUAUGACCGCACGGAAUAAUCGAUUAUCCCGUGCGGUUCUUCCGCCCGCACGCGAAAAUACUGAUUUUCACAGACAGCGGUGUGCUGGUGGGCCAAAUGACCGCACGGAAAAAUAGAUAUGCCCGUCCGGGAAAAUGAGUUAUGUAGUAGUGUCUAUUUCCAACAGGUCAAAAUUGAAUCUGUAUUGACGAAAGAAAAUAUCUGGAAAUAUCUGUCUUAGGAGGUUAGUUAGGAGCAUGUUACCAUCUUGGAGGGCCGGUUUCAAGAUCCCCGCAAAAAAAAAAAAGGCUGAAAAACGACGGUUCAGAUCCGUGACGGGAUGACAACACCUACAACAAGAGCAGAUGAUUUGCAUAGUAUGGCUUUGGUUUUUGCUUGAUUGACAGAUAAACCUUGCAUCAGUUACUGUUCAAAUCAGUGGCAAAGCUAGAAUUUAAGCAUGAGGGAGGCAACUUACCAACGAGUAACAAUAAUAUAUGUUACGAAGAAAUAGCUAAAAAAGAAAAAAAAUCAUUGGUUUCAAAACAUCAUACUUGUAAUAAUGCAUAUUAAUAUAAACAAGUACAUUCACUUUACCAACUUGGCAAUACAAGCUAAUCAUUUUUCAGCUCUCUCUCUCUCCGCUGUCGCCGCCGAGCUCCGAUCCGCCGCCGUCGUCGCCCCGCACCGCCUCCCACCUCGGCGCCACCUCCUUCAGGUUCGCCGCAUCCUCGCCGACCUCACCCACCUCUCCGUUUC
rnacentral:lncRNA from 1 species